AGAGCACGCUUUGAGCCACUAACACAAAAUCCAAUUAACCGUACCACAUUUUGAUGAUGUAUUCUUCCAAUGGUUGCAACUUCACUGAUAAAAUCUUGUCCAUUUCCUUUGGAUUUGCCUAACAUUUUGAUGGCCACAGAAGGUCCACUAAGUAACUUUGCCUUAAAGACAAAGCCAAAUCCUCCUUCACCUAACUUCUCUUUGAAACCUGCAGCCAUCUUCUUGACUUCUUUGUAUGAGUAUCUAAUAGGUGCCAAACUAUUUUGUUCAAGGUAAUUUUCAAUAUUUUCAUACAUUGACAUGUGUCUUUUUCUCCAUUUACAUAUAAAAAUAACAAUUAAGAAUGGCAAUCCAAACAAAACUUUGUAAGUCCAUACCAUAAAGAUAAUACAAAUGACAUAUCCUGUAGAAAUAAUUUACUUGAGUGAUUAUACUGAUACUGUAAAAUGCAACAAAAUAUUUAUUAAUGUAAAUUUUCGUUCAAAAAUGCAAACUUUACACAUCCAUUUACUUAGUAAAAUUUCAAUAAAUAAAUAAAUUUAAUGUCUAGCAUAAACAAUAAACCCUAAACCCUAAACAAUUAUCAACAGACACUAACACGAACACUGAUACGACAUGAAAAUACGUAUAAUAUAUAAAAUGUAGGACAAAGGGACACAAAUCUAUAUAUUAUAUAAUUAUGUAUUAUAUAAAUUGACAAUAAAAAUUUAUGUGCAUAAGUAUGUUCCAGAUUAUUUUUUGAAGCAGAAAAAUGUUUUUCAUAACUGGUUCAAAAGAAUUUGUUUCUUAUUUUUAUAAUCAUAAUAAAAAUUUAUACAAUAAGUUUGAGAUUUUAGAAAAUUAAUGUAUUUUUAAAAAAAAUUGUGUUAGAACCGUACUAGAAUUGUGAGAAAUCCAACAAAUACUUUUUGAAUUGGAUACUUCACAGAUACGUGUCCUACAAGUUUCAUACGAGUGUCGGUAUCCGAUAUGAGUAUUCGACAUCAACACGCCAUUUAAGAGAAGUGUCUAAGCUUCAUAGCGUUGUUGUCUAUAAGUAAAUUGUGUGGAACAUUAAUGUGUCCUAAGACCUAAUUCAAUGAUGCUUGUAAAAUACAAACAUAUUUUUAAAAUAAAAUUCUUUAUAAACUUUUAAAUUCAUUGUGUUACUCUAUAACCUCUUUAACGUAUUAAAAUCACAAUUUUUUAAGUUAUUAACAUUUUAUAUCGGUUAUAAACCUUUAUCUCUAUAACCAGACAAAAAGACUUGCAUUUGAAGUUUUGAUAAAGGUUCUGUUCGAGUAGUAUAAGUCACAGUGUACUCUCUUUUAUCCCUAUAUUCAUUGUUUAAUGAGGAAAUUGUGAUAAUAUUUACAACAAAAUUUUACUUGAGUGAAUAAGCAUCACUGUAAAGAGUCAUUCGAUUACACCCUAAACUUUACAGGACUACUUUUAUUUGUUUUAUAUUAUUUAAAUUGGCUAUAUUAUGUUACGAAAUCAUUUGUUAAAGUUAUACACCUAAAUAUAAUUAAUCUACAUUGAUUACAUUUUACGUAGGCGUAUUUUCGUUAAUAAAUUAAUAUUAACAAUCGAACCCAUGUAAUGAUGUUUUAUUAUAUAAUUAAUUAAUUUAAAACUACAUACAUUUACAGGUAUAAAAAAUUAUGUACAACCAAGUAUGCUACUAAAUAAGGACGUCAUAAAGUAUCAAAACUAAUUCUUAUUACUAUUAUGCUAAAUCAAGUCAUUUACUAUUAUUGAAAAAAUGUGGUGACUCUUUUAUAAAUAAGCGUAACUUUAUAACGAUGAAUGGUUGUAUAAAAAUUGUAAUAAAAUAUGUUUGUAUUAAGACUAUUAUGUUUGUAAUAAAAAUUCUUAUUACUAUUAUGCUAAAUAUGUUUGUAUUAAAUAACAAUGGUUACAACAUAUAGUUAUCAUCAUAUGUCUAUUAAUAUACUCAAAUCGUGUCAAUGCAAAUCGUUCCAUUUUGCAAUGUGCUUCUAAUGUUUUCUUCUUUUCCAUUGUGUUGCUCUCAUCAUCUAUACUCCUUCGUAUUUGUGCUAGUAAGAAAAUUUUAUUUUUAUAUCUAGUACAUUGACCUUAAAUAUGUUAAGUUUUUCUCAUGUACGAAUGAUAUGAUAGAGAUGAAUGACGCCUAGAGGUAGGGAACAAAAGGAAAACGAGACAUCUCAUAUUUCUCCACACAUUUUUCAGUAAACUUUAGCAAGUAUGAUAUGUGGAAAAUCAUCCAAAGUUGGAAAAGAGUUAGUGAAGUGUUCAUAUCUAGGAAACUAAAUGGUAGAGGACAAAUAUUUGACUUUGUGAGAUUCAAAGAGGUUGUGAAUGAAGUAGAAUUGGAAAAACGACUAGGUGAAGUCUCGAUAGGAAAUAUGAAAAGUCACAUAAACCAAAAUACAAGAGUUUUGAAAAUCACACAAACAACUAGAAAAAACAUGAAGGGAUGAACAUGGAGAAAAAGUCGAGAGAACAACAAAGUGGGUUUAGGGCAAUCUUGUUAGGAAGGAUAAAGAGGCGAAUUCUUUGCCCAUUUUUUGUAAGUUGUGGAGGUGUAAGGCAGUACCCUCUGCAGCGCUUAUAGCCUGGAGGUUGAUGGAAAACAAGCUCGCUACUAGGGUAAAUCUGAGUAGAAGAGGGGUAUUGGUGGAUAGCUCGACAUGUAGUUUGUGUGGGAAGGAGGAAGAAUCUUGCAGACAUUUUUUCUUCGAUUGCAACUUUGCUUGGCGAGUUUGGUAUAGAUGGCUUGGGGUUCUGGUCGUGUCCCACAUUGAGCCGAAGCUUAACUUUGAUCAAUUUAGGAUGAGCUUUGCUUCAGAGACAGUUAAUAUCGUAUGGAACACAAUAUGGGUUGGGGUGGUUAGAGAAAUAUGGAAUCUCAGGAAUAACAUAAUUUUCAAAAGAGGAAUGGCAGAUGCGUUUGAAGUUUUUUCUAUGGUGCAAGUAAAGGUUUGGUCUUGGGUCUAUAUAAAUUUUAGGUCAGCUUCGUUUUCCUUUUCUGAUUGGUGUUUAGAACCUAUGGUGUUCAUGAGGUUAAUCACUUGAGUUUGUUAGAUGUAGCAAGGGCAAGGUAUGUUUUAGUUAGUUCUGGAGGUUUUAGGCAGGAAUCGGUGUUUGGGUAUGUAUAAGGGUUGAACCACCCCUGAAGUGGUUCCUAUUUAUUUAUUUAUUAUUGCUGAUAAAAAAACAACAACAAAGUGGGUGAAGAAGGAGCAAUACUUUACUUAUGUACAAGCGAUAAAAUGUUACACUAAAAAGGAAGGUAAAAAGAUACAAUGGAAAAUACAGCUCCAAGUGUAAGAGGAGGAAAAGAUGUAGAUGAACAAAAGUUUUGAAGGGAAAUACAUGGUGUGAGUAAGAUGAAUAUACUAAAUGAAAACUUUAUCUUUGCUGAGCUAGAUUCAUCAUAAUAAGAUAUUUAGGAGAUAAUCAAAUGAAUGAUUUUCAAACACAUUUGAGUAUCCUUAGUCAUCUCAAACAAUGUCAGGAAACAAGAUGGAAUAGGUGAGGUGUAGAGACAUACCAUACCACUAUCCUUAUCGGGUAUCAAAUUUCAAACAAAAUGCCAGUCGUGGGGGUGGAAAGAUCUAUUUAAAUUAUGUGGUGAAGGAGUUACGGUGGGAUGGUUCCAAAAAGCAAUAGGAUGGAAAUUUGGAGUAGGGGACAAAGUUAGAUUUUGGGACGAUAAAUUGGGUUCAUAAUAAUAAUCUUAAAUUUGUAUACCCCAGGCUAUAAUCAAUAUCUUUGGAUCAUGGCUUAGAGGUGGGAGAGGUAGGCGUGUGGGAAGAAUUAGAUUGGCAAUGGAAACUAAGCUGGAGAUGUAAUAGGUUUGAAUGGGAACUAUUGCAUAACAAGAAGAAUUGUUAAGGACAUUAUCUUGUAAAAAACUGAAUAGGGAGGUGAAGGAAACAAAAGUUUGGGAGGGUGACGACUUCUCAGUCAAAUCUGCUUACGAAUGCAUAACAAAUGACGUCAAAGGUAGUAGCAAUGCUACAUUUAAAUAUCUAUGGAUGUCUAAAGCGCUCCCAAGCGUGCUAACUACAACGUGAAGGGCUUUAUUGGAUAGAUUGCCAACAAGAGUGAAUUUAAAUAGGAGAGACGUAGUGGUAAAUAACUUAUUUGUGUUUUGUGUCAAGAUUGGGCAGAAUCGACUCAAUACUUACUUUUGAAAUGUAAGAUUGCAUAUCAGGUAUGGAACUACUAUUUCAAAUGGAUUGGACUUUUGUUCGUCCAACAUAAGGAGUUGAAAUGCCACAUUGAGAGUUUCCAUUUGGUACAUGUAAGUCUAAAGCAAAAUCUUGUGUGAAAAGGUCUUUGAACGGCUAUAUAGUAUGGAUAAUUUUGGACCAUAGGAAUAAACUUUUCUGUCAUGAGUAGAUAAGACUAAGAGGAAUAAGGUGUUGCGUGAAGAACUAUUAGAACAAUGAUUUUUUUUGGUUUGGUGGUUCAUUAAGCACAAAUCUUUCAAAGUGAAGGAAAAAAUUCCUUGAGGUGAAGCAGAUUGGUGCAGCAAAAUUAGACUGCUUUUGAUGCUGCUCUACUUAUAAAUAGCUAGGUAAUAAGCAGUAGGAAUAUAUAAAUAUACUUAUAUCUAGAUAGAGAUAAUACAAUAGAUUUUGGUGUAAUUUUGGUUUGUAAGGUCUAUAACUUAUUGUACUUUGUAUAAGAGGUAGAAUAUUUUUGAAAUGAUUCAUUUUAAUUCAUUUUAUUUUUUUCUGUCAAAAAAAGAAAUUAAGAUGAUAAAAUCUGACCUGGUAUACUGAAUUCCAGUGAUUCAUAAAAUGAUGACCCUGAAAUGAAGGAAAAAAAUAUCAACUUUAGAAUACUGGUAAUCUCAACAGUUAUUCCACAUAAAGUUAUUAAAGCUAAAAUUUUAUUCCCCUAAAUAAACAAAAUUAUUUAUAUCAAUUUGCAUAAACUAAAAUUGGCAGUUAUACUGAUAAAACUACUCAAUAUAUAUAUAAGUUUCUCAUUUAAAAUAAGAAAUGUAAUCAUAUCUUAAUAUUUGGUUUAGGAUCACUCACGGCAUUGAAGCUUCUGGUUAGAAGAGUCCAAAUAGCAAUAUCUAUCGGAAAGUGAACAAUGUUUGUGACAGGCAAGUUUUAUCCAUGAUAUCUCAAAUCCAUAGGCGAGUGCAGUGUGCAUGGAAGAGUAGGAAUGGUAAUCGAAAGUGGAGAGAGAAGUGGGAGCAACAAGCUUUACCUCACACCCAACUUCUAAGUCCUCUGCUUUUAGGUCUCCACCAAUUGCAUAUGCAUACCCCUUCCCCUCCCAUUUCACCCACUCUCCACUCUCCACAUACUUCCCUUUCUCUCUCACCCAAUCCUUACAAUUCACAAACACUAUAUGCGAGAAACUCAGAGAUUCCCAAUUUACAGAGGCUCUUAGACCGGCUUGGUAUGAAUCCGUGUAGUAAGCGUAAGUGUCAGAGAAAUUGGAGCGAGAGAGGGAACGGAGAGGAAGGGAGGAGAGAUUAUGGUGUUGAAGAGCAGGAUCAACCACUCUCACUGUGUAGUUAUUGUAGUUUAUUGACUGCACAUGAUAUUUUGCAGAGUACAGAUACAACACCGUAACGUUAUUCUCACAACCAAGUUCAUACCUUUCCUCACCACACUUUUCUGGGUCGCCUUUUAAUCGAAAUGGAUAACUGAUGUUGCUGAUUUUACCACAGGAAGAAGGGGGACAAACGUGUUCUAGGUCGUCCUUGGUAGCAGAAAUAUGGUGGAGUAGAAGUAGCAGUACCACCAACACUGCUCUCUCUCUCCACAUCAUGUCUAAACUGUUUCUCACUGAAUUCAAGUGCAAACAAAUCCAAGUUAGAUAUUUAUAUUUAAACAUCACAUACUGGAAUAUAUAGCUAUAAAGGACCACAUUUUUUUUUUUUGAAGAGUUAUGAUACUUAAAACGUAGACUUUGACUCAGAAACCGCGUUUCUAUCUGGUUUCCGCAACUAAUUUUAAUCAAUACAAGCUUAUAUUUUGAAAAAUAAUUUUAAUGACUUUAGAAUUUGAGUCCCAAAAUAAUGUUUGUUUGGUUAAGAAACUUCAACAUGUGAUUGGUACAUAUAUUAUUUUGGUUGAAUUUUUCCCCGAAAAUGGCCUCAUAUAUAUGUUUCUUUGUGUUAAUUUCUUGAACAUAAUCUUCUUGGACAUGGAGCAAGAAAGAGUGCUACCAAGUGUGGUGGCAGAACGAAGCACUAACAAUUUUCUGUAAGUGUAAAAGGUAACGGACAGAGAAAAACAUAUGGAAGCAAUUCCGAACAGGCCUUAUUUAAUAAAUUUGUUUUCAUAAUUAAACAAUUAAACAGAUUUAUAAUACCAUUUUAAUAAAUCUAUUUUCAUAUUACAAAAAUUAAAUACUACACAAAGUUAUACAUCAAAUUGAAAAAUAGAACAAAGUUAAUGUUGGUUUAAAAGUACACCAAGGUACAUACACAAAAUAUUUUUAAAUAUGAUAACAUUGUAUUAGAUUAUUACAAUCAUUUUCCUUAAUCAGUUUUGUUUUCACCACUUCAUUCAGUGAUGAAACAUCACUUCACAUAAGGUGCCAACAUCUCGUACUUAAAAUAGAUAAAAACUAAUUUCAGAUUAUUCAUUUUCAAUUUUUAUAACUAUAAAAUAAAGGAAGACACUAAAAAUAAAGAUUUUAGUAUACUAAGUUAUAACCCAUUCCAAUAAACAUAAUUUUAGGUUAUUUGAAAAACCUUUCUUUAACAUCAUUAGAAGUUUUAGAUGUACUAUAAACUAGAGAGUUAUAAAAAUAAAGAAAUGUAUUUUUCUAUUAAAAAUAACAAUUAAAUAUAAUUAUUUUUGAAUUUCUUUAAAGUUUAUAUUAAAAAAAUUACAAUUACUACUACAACUAAUUUAUUUUAUAGUUAUCCUUAUUUAAUGGGAUGUUUUUUCUUACUCUUGAAAGAAAUAAAAUAAUGUAUAUAUUUGUUUAAAAUCGAAAUUCAGUUAACAUUUGAUAAAAUAAUAGAAAAGUGAAUGAAAUCUAUAUUACAUAAAUAUGAAAAGUUAUACAUUUUAUUUGAAUUUUGAUAAUAAUAUUGACUUUGAAGCCAGUGCAUUUUAAUUUAGUAUAAUGAUAUUGACUUGAAUUUUCAGAGUUUGGAAAAUCUCUUAGUGAAUGGUUUAUCCCAUAUUCAUCACCCUGAUCAAUUGUGUGAGACUUGCAUUUUUGGAAAGAAUCAUAAGAUACAUUUUGUUAAGGAGCCUUGGCGUGCGAAAUUUCCUUUGCAGCUUGUUCAUACAGAUGUUUGUGGCCCGAUGAACAUAUCAUCAAUUGGAUGUAAUAAGUAUUUUUUAACCUUUAUUGAUGAUUUUUCAAGGAAAACCUGGAUUUAUCUAUUGAAAAGCAAGGAUGAGGAGGUAUUCCACUGCUUUAAAAUAUUUAAAGAAUUUGUUGAAAGACAGAGUGACAGACUAAUUAAGAUGGUGCGUAGUGAUGGAGGAGGUGAGUACAAGUCUAAUGAGUUCAAGAGGCACUGUGAAGAACUUGGGUUGCAGCAUAACAUAAUUUGUCCCUACACACCUCAACACAACGGAGAUGCCGAGAGAAAAAAUAGAACAAUCAUGGACAUGGUGAGGAACAUGUUUAAAGCGAAUGGUAUGCCAAAUUAUUUUUAGGCUGAGGCCGUAACAUGUGCGGUAUAUUUGAUAAACAGAUCACCCACUUGGAGUGUUCCUAACAACUAUGAUUGAAGCAUGAAGCGGAUUCAAACCCAAUGUGCAACACUUGAAGGUAUUUGGGUCAAUUAAUUAUGCUCAUGUCCCCAAAGCAGCAAGAUCGAAGUUGGAUGAUAAGACAGUGAAUACCAUUUUCAUUGGAUAUAAGCUUGGAGGAUACAAACUAGACAGUCCAAUUACAAAGAAGGUGAUUGUCAGUCAUGAUGUUACAUUUGUCGAAGAUAAGGAAUGACAAUGGAAUGCAACAACUGAAAUGGAUUCGAAAAAACGAUAUAUUUACGUUUUGAACGAUGAUGUAGAAGAUCAAGUCACUCUUGAAGCAUCUGCAGUUCAACCUGAAGCUGUAUUCAACCUAAAGUUGCAGCUCCAAUUGUAACUAUGAUGGAGCGACCAAAAAGGCAACAACGACAACCUGUACACCUUCAAGAUUGCGAAGUAAAUCUUGAGGAUGAAGUUUAUGACAAUGGAUAUUUGGUUCACUUUGCUUUUCUUGUAGAUUCAGAACCCGUGAGACUUGCAGAUGCCAUUCAACAUCCCAAAUGGCAAGAGGCUAUGAAUGAAGAAUUGAUGGCGAUUGAGAAAAAAAAAUACAUGGCAACUCACUGAUCUUCCAAAAGGACACAAGGCAAUUGAUGUGAAGUGGGUGUACAAGAUUAAAGUGAAAGCAAAUGGUGAGAUUGAUAGAUACAAGGCAAGGUUGGUGGCAAAGGAAUCCGAGCAAAGAGAAGGCUAUGAUUACGAAGAAAUAUUUUCUCUUGUAGCUCGAAUGGAAACAAUGAUAUUAAUCAUUGCUUUAGUUGCACAAAGGCAAUGGAAAAUUCACCAAAUGGACGUCAAGUUUGCGUUUCUAAAUGACCCACUUGAUGAAGAGGUUUAUGUAAAGCAACCGUCGGGUUUCAUACAAUCUGGAAAAGAGGAGAAGGUGUACAAACUAACUAAGACUUUAUAUGGUCUUAAACAGGCACCAAGAGCUUGGAACAAAAGGAUUGAUUCAUUUUUUCAUGCCACUGGAUUCAAAAAAAUGUACAUCAGAUCAUGGUCUUUAUGUAAAGACUAAUGAUUAUGGAGAUUUGCUAAUUUUAUGUCUUUAUGUUAAUGAUGUGAUUUUUACAGGAAGUAAUCUCAAAAUGAUUGGUGACUUCAAGCAUAUCAUGAUGAAGGAAUUUGAGAUGACUGAUCUUGGUCUUAUGUCCUACUUUUUUGUCAUUGAAGUCAUCCAAAGAGACGAUGGAAUCUUCAUUCAUCAGAGGAAAUUUGCUGCUAAGUUUUUAAAGAAGUUUAGGAUGGAGGAUUCAAACUCAGUUAAGACUCCAAUUGAAAUUGGAAUUAAGCUUACGAAGGAAGGUAAUGGGCAAACUGUAGAUGCAACAUACUUUAAGUAGAUUGUUGGGAGUCUUAGAUAUCUCACGUGUACUAAACCCGACAUAUGUUAUGAUGUGGGAUUGGUCAGUCGAUACAUGGAGUCACAUCGACAAGUUCAUUUACAAGUUAUAAAGAGAAUUAUGCACUACAUCAAAGGUAGUACAACUUUUGGUUUAUUUUACUCUUCAUCUAAGAAGAUUGAGAUCGUCAGAUACUCAGACAGUGAUUGGGGUGGAGAUUCAGACGAGAGGAAGAGCACUAGUGGUCAUUGUUUUAUGAUCGAAAAGACUGUUUGCUUGUGGUCAUCAAAUAAACAGUCAAUUGUUGCAUUAUCUACUUGUGAAGUUGAGUAUGUAGCAGCAACAACAAGUGUUUGUCAAUAAGUUUGGUUCAACAAUAUCAUGACUCAAAUUUUGGUUUUAAUCUAGAUGUUCCAAUCAAGAUUUAGGUUGGCAAUGUCUCUGCAAUUAAUCUCGCAAAGAAUCUGGUAUUUCAUCAAAGAAGUAAACACAUUGAUAUUCGAUAUCACUUCCUACGAGACCAAAAGUUGGGAAGAACAUGAUCAAAUCGGAAUACUGUUAGUAUUCCUAUUUUAUAACUUCUAGUAUUUGUAAUUUUAUUAUAUAUAUAUAUUAUUGAAGUAAAUCAAAAUGAAUGUAUGAGUUCGACAAUUUUGCAAUUUCGCACAAUUACAUCAUCAAUUUAUACAAUCUUUUGCCUUCUGUUAUUUCCUUCAAUUAGUUUCUACAAAUUUGACAAUCAAACAUAUCAUUAUAACCUAGGUUAACAUAAAUUUAUCUUUCACCAAAAGAUGUUACAUGUCGAACAUAUAAAUAUUUUUAUCUAAACAACAAAAAAUUAAAAACUAAAUAUUGAACUAAAAAACAUAAUUCAUUGACAUGAAAAUUUUGAUAAAGUAGGAUUGACCUAAUUUUUAUCUUUUCCUACUUUAAUGUAAACUUUAUGAUGUUGUAGUUUACACUAUAUGAAAUAGAAAAGAUAAAUAAUCAUCUAAAAAUUUAGAGGAAAAAGUUGAGAAAAAUUGAUUUGCGUAGGUGAGACUCAUGAUACAUUAUCCAUUCAAUUCAAAAAAAAUUAUUCUUUUACAUUCCAUAAGUCAACACAAAUAUAUAUAUAUAUUUUUUAAUAUCUCGGUAAAGUGGGUUUGGCUUACGUAAUGUUUUUCCUCCCCUUAGCGCUAACUUUACUGUGUUCCAUCAUCAGUGGACAUCAAUAUGUGACAAUUAAUUCUUUUUUUUUUCUUAUAGUGGUUAAAUUAGAAUUAUUGACUAUAAUAACAUCCCAUUUAGGUCGAGGAAAUUUUGAAAACUAAAUUCAUGUUUGCAAUAUGAAAUAUUAGAAAAAUAAUAAAUUACGAUGCUUAAAAACAUUUAUUUUGUAUUUAAUCAAUUGUUAAUCAUAUAAAUUAUCAACUAUUAAUGAAAUAUUUAGAAGUGAUAAAUAAUAAUUUUGUAAACAUAUUUAUAUAUUUGUUUAAAAUAUAAAUUGUUUGAGUGUGAAUGAUGAUGUUUGCAAGUAUUAUAUAUAUUUUAAGAAAUAUUUAGAAAUGUGACAAUAUAAAAUUAAAAAUUAAUAACAAAAUAUAUUAAAAAUUACAAUGUAAAAAAUUUAAGUUAAAACUUAAUAUCCGCGAAAAGAGUUUUUUUUAAAAAAAAAAAUUAAAUAUAAUCAUCGCGUGUUUUAUCGACAACGCGUGUAAUCAUUACUUUUGUUUAAUUACAUGCACGGAGGUUUUCUUUUUGCUGCAGCAGUAUUGUGGAUCUGUAAAUGAAGAAACAAUCGUAUUUUUUAUGAUGAAGUAUGGAAGAUCCGUGAAGUUUUGUGAAAAAAAUCCAUUUACUACAAGAUGAUUUUGUUAUGGCACUAAAGGAUAUAAAGGACUUUGCAUGGAUACCUAGAUGGAAACCACCAGUUCUGGGAAAAUGAAAAUAAAGGUAGAUGGAAGCUGAGUAACUAAAUAUUGUGACAAGGAAGUCUAUAGGGAUCAAAUAUCUACGUAGGUCUUUGGCUUUUCUUCUUAUAAUACAUCGAAAGCAAAUUUUUUGGCCAUUUUGCAUACAAUUUAUGCAACUAUUUUAGAAUAUAAUAACAUGUCCUUAUAUCCAUAGUUCAUUACAAAAUACAAAAUAAUAUAAACAAGUGAAACAUCAUGGACAACCAAGUCUUUAGAAUAAGAAGAUGGAUGGCAAAUAACUAGGCUUGUGCAUCGUGGAAUAAUAUAUAUUUACAAGUAAAUAAUUUCAACAUUAAAUAUAUCUAGUAAGAGUUGAUUGUUUGAUACUCUGACACUAUUUCAUCUUCUGGAAAUAAAAUAGGUUUUGGAGGUAUUUCCAACUCUUCAAUAUCUCCUUCAAGCAUUUUCACUACUUUAUUCAUUGAGGGUCGAUCAUUUGGUUUUAGUUGUAUACACCAGAGUGCAACUAUGAUCAUCUUCUUUGCUAUUUUAUUUUCUUCUUCUGUCACAUUUUCGACAUCUACAUCUUCCCCUUCCCUAAUAUGAUCAUAGAUCCAAAGGGGAAAGUAAAUUUGACUUGAGUGGUCUGCAUGAGGAUUUAGAUUCUUCCUCUUACUUGCCAUUUCCAUCAACAACAUUCCAAAGCUAUAAACAUCAGCCUUAUGGGAUAUUCCUCCAAUAUUUUUAUAAAACAAUUCUGGAGCCAUAUAUCCAAUAGUUCCUCUUGUUGCAGUCAUUGUGACGAUGUUAUUAUCUAUUGGAUAUAACUUCGCCAAUCCAAAGUCAGAAACCUUAGGGAUGAAGUUUUCAUCUAGUAAGAUGUUAUGGGGUUUGAUGUCAAAAUGCAAAAUCUGCAUCUCACACCCAUGGUGGAGAUAAGCAAUCCCACAAGCCACUCCAAUUGAUAUAUUAUAUAUCCUUUCAUAGCUUAAAUGUAUAUUUAUUUCUUUUGAGAAAAUAAAUUUAUCAAGAGAACCAUUGGGCAUGAAUUCAUAGACAAGAGCACGUUUUGAGCCACUAACACAAAAUCCAAUUAAUCGUACCACGUUUUGAUGAUGUAUUCUUCCAAUGGUUGCAACUUCACUGAUAAAAUCUUGUCCAUUUCCUUUGAAUUUGCCUAACAUUUUGAUAGCCACUGAAGGCCCACUGCGCAACUUUGCUUUAAAGACUGAGCCAAAUCCUCCUUCACCUAACUUCUCUUUGAAACCUGCAGCCAUGUUCUUGAUUUCCUUGUAUGAAUAUCUAAUAGGUGCCAAACUAUUUUGUUGAAGAUAAUUUUCAAUAUUUUCAUAUAUUGACAUAUGUCUUUUUCUCCAUUUACAUAUAAAAAUAACAAUUAAGAAUGGUAAUCCAAACACAACUUUGUAAAUCCAUAUAUAUGCGACAUCUCCUGCAAUAAAAUUUUACUUUAAUGAUAACCCUUAUAGUAUAAAAUGCAAAAAGGUAUUUGUUAAAGUAAAUUCCCGUUCAUAAAAUCCUAAGUUUACAUAUCCAUUUACUUAGUAACAUUACAAAAAAAGUAAAUUUAAUAUUUAGCAAUAAACGAUUAUCAAUAAACUUCAUUUUUUAUGUUACUCUCUAUAAAUAAAUUUUUCUGUAACAUUAAUGUGUCCUAAGACCUAAUUCAGUAAAGAUUGUAAAAAAUAAAAAAAAAACAGAUUUUUAAAUAAUUUAUUAGUUUCUAUAAACUUUUAAAAUUCAAUCCGUGUCCCUCUUAACAUUUUUAACGUAUUGAAAAUCACAAUAUUUUAUCUUUAAUGUAAUUAACAUUUAUUAUCGGUUAUUAACCUUUAUUUAUACCACUUUAAUUAAAAUUUUGAUUUUUUAAAUUAGAUGAAGAAAAUAUAAGAAAAUUUUUAGAUAAAUUAAAACUGAAUUUUAAAAGAAGUGGAGUACAUAAUUAGAGUAGAGAUAAAUUAAGAUAAUAAAAUAUCAAUUUCAGAGUGUGUUGACAAAAAAGACUGUGAGAUAAUAAAGGUUGUGUUGGAUUAGUAUAAAUGACGUGGAAGAUGAUAAUGUGACUGUAAGAAGAAAUGGACUAAUGGUUGUCCAAAUUAAAAACUAAAUUUAUUAUAAUUUUGUUUCAUGUGGAUUGUCUAGUUUAUGGUUGCGUUCUCUAAUGAUGAAAUAGAGACAACAAAACAUCUGUUUUGUAGAAUGUAAAAUUAUUACUUUAUUAAUGCAAAAGUAAAUUAAGAGGCAAAAGUUCUUACUUGUUACAACCACUAUUAGUUGAGCCAGUAUUCCUGUAUCACCCAAACACGAAGGAAAAUAUAAAUUUCAGAACUGUUAAUCUCAACAACUAUACCAACAAGGCUAUUAUAUGCAUGACGUUUUUUUACAAGCAGCUUAUAUGCAUCAGUUAUAACUAAUACAGGUAAAAUAUACAAAGAAAUGAAUUAUUACUCAUCUAAAUAUUGAUUGAAUAUAGAAGGGUGAAUCAUAAAUAUAAAAAUAUUUGUUUGACAUUUGGAUUAGGAUUACUCACCAUUUCCGCAUUUAAGCUUCUGAUUAUAAGAGUCGAAAUAGCAAACAGUAUAGAGAAAUGAACAAUGUUUCCAACAGACUAGUUGUAUCCAUGAAAUCUCAAAUCCAUAGGCGAGUGCGGUGUGAAUGGAAGAGUAGGAAUGGUAAUCGAAAGUGGAGAGAGAAGUGGGAGCAACAAGCUUUACCUCACACCCAACUUCUAAGUCCUCUGCUUUUAGGUCUCCACCAAUUGCAUAUGCAUACCCCUUCCCCUCCCACUUCACCCACUCUCCACUCUCCACAUACUUCCCUUUCUCUCUCACCCAAUCCUUACAAUUCACAAACACUAUAUGCGAGAAACUCAGAGAUUCAAAAUUCUCAAAGGCUUUUAGACCGGCUUGGUAUGGAUCCGACUGGUAAAAGUAUUUGUGAGUGUAAGUGUCAGAGAAAUUGGAGCGAGAGAGGAAACGGAGAGGAAGGGAGGAGAGAUUAUGGUGUUGAAGAGCAGGAUCAACCACUCUCACUGUGUACUUCUUGUAGUUUAUUGACUGCACAUGAUAUUGUGCAGAGUACAGAUACAACACCGUAACAUUAUUCUCACAACCAAGCUCAUACCUUUUCUCACCACACUUUUCUGGGUCGCCUUUUAAUCGAAAAGGGUGAUUGAUGUUGGUGAUUUUACCACAGGAAGAAGGGGGGCAGCCACCAUGGAUUUUGUGGACUAGAAGUAGCAGUACCACCAUGAAUGCUCUCUCUCUCCACAUCAUGUCCAAACUGUUUCUCAAUAAAUUCAAGUGAAAACAAAUCCAAGUUAGAUAUUUAUAUUUAACACAACACACACUGAACUAUAUUUAUAAUAUGAAGGACCACGUUACUUAAAACGUGGUCUUUGACUCGGAAAUCACGUUUCUACAUGGUUAUAAAUAUUCGUGAAAUGCAUGAAUUCUGAUUUAGAUAUUCUUGUAGUAGUUUUGUUAACGAGGUUCUUUGAAUUUCUAAGACCACCCUAAAUUGUUCUUUUUGGAAGCUUAUAUAAUAUGCUUUCGAAAAAUAAUUUUAAUGAUAUUCAUUGUUUAUUUAUAUGUUUAUCUGUUGUAAUCUUGAGUGUGUGCAUCUCAUAUUCUGUUUUCCAGAAAUUCUUGUUUUCUUCUUUUGUUUUUUGCUCUUACAAGUUGUGCUUUUGUUUCAUUAAUCCGUGUGACUAUGCGUGUGUCAUGAAUUACCAUUUUUAAUAUGCUAGCAGAGUAGGUUGAAUGACCUGCUUUGCCUCCAGUGUUGUUUCUGUUCUUUUUCUUUCUUGCUGAAUAAUUGUUUUCUCUUGUGGGCUAUUUUCUUCUUGUUGUCUUUUUCAUGUAUUUUUCUGAAACAUAAUACAGAAAGCAAGGUUUUGUUACGAAUCUUUGCAAUAAUCCCGCAAGCUCAUAACACUUGCAUCUUGGAGAAAAUUCUAGAACUGCGUUUAUCUCUCCUCAACUCAAUAGAGAAAAUUCCUUCGCAUAAAGGGAAAUUUGUGGUAUUAAGGUUACACCUCUCCUAGUUAAGUUAGAUCUUGUUGGUAGUUAUCCCACCAAAACCCUCCAAGAAAAGGUUUGAGCAUUCUGGAGUGCUCUGACAUGCUAAAAAAAAUUGAAUAAAGUAUUGUUAGCACUCCCAUAGGUAUUUUUUUAACAUAGCACAUGACUUGAAAUAGAGAAUAACCUAGGGAAUGUUUGUUUAAGAGUCCCCUCUCUUAACCAUCCGUUCAAUAAGUGAUUGAUAGAUGUUAUUUAUUGACUUAUUUUUCUAAAUAUCCUUUGUGGUGUUACAGGUAAGUUCCGAUAUUAAGCCUUUAAGGCUCGGUCUGAGGAUUAGUGAAUUGUGUGGCGUUAUAGGUAAGUUUCGAUAUUAAGCCUCUAAGACUCGGUCUGAGACUAGUGGGAUGUAUGGCAUUAUAGGUAGGUUAUGACCUAUAUAACGAUAAUUUGGAUUGGAUGAGAGUGAAUCCUAGAAAAAUUCAUACGAUGAUAUAUUUAAUAGAAGAAUCCCAUUAAUGUCUCCUAAACGUUUAAGACAGUUUAAGGCAAGAAUAAAGUGUUAUAAAGGUAAUUUUGUCAUUUAAUAGUGAAUAAAAACUUAAAGUAGGAACAAAUACGAGGAUCAAUAUAGCAUAAAAAAUGAUAUACAAGGUGAGAAAAAGGCGGAACAAAAAUUAGGGUGAAUUGUUUUCACAAUAUUUUCGCAAUAGUGGAGUCAACUUGAAAUUUGAAUAAAAUCAACUAAUUGAUUUAUCUGUUUAACUAAUUAUAAAAAGCACAACAAGUAUAUAUUAAAAAAUUAAACUACUUGUUAUGAGAAUUCAACCAAUUGAUUUAAAUGCAAAAAGUAGAAAGUUAUUGAUAAAAUAGAUAUCAGAGUAAGAGAGAGAUUGCACUUGAGAUUUACAUUGGUUCACUCUUGUUUAUUAAUUCAGAUUUUAUUAUCGUUAAAUUAUUUACUGUUAUUAUUGCAUUAAUUAUUCCUAUUUUAUAGUUUCUAGUAUUUGUAAUUUUAUUAUAUAUAUUAUUGAAGUAAAUCAAAAUACAGAUAUCAAUUACAACAACAGUUUUGCAAUUUCUAACAUUUUAUUUUCUAUUAUUUCCUUUAAUUACUUUCUACAACUGGUAUCAGAGCCAUUUUGUUACCAUGAACUCUACCCAAUUAUAUGUCCCUAUCCUUGAUGGAAAAAAUUUCAAUCGGUGGUGUGUGCAGAUGAGAGUUUUGUUUGAUUAUCAUGAGAUGAGUUAUGAGAUUCAACUGAGGCACAACGAGUAGCGCAUCGUGACCAGAAGAAGGAUAAGAAGGUUUUGUAUCUCAUCCAUCAAGGGAUGAAUGACGAGACGUUUGAGCAUAUAGAAGGAGCAACAACUGCAAGUGGAGUUUGGAUCAUUUUGUCAACCAAUUAUAAAAGUGAUGACAAAAACAAUAGGGUGCGUCUUCAAACCUUAAGACGACGCCAAUAUGAACUGCUGCAGAUGGAAACCACAAAGACUAUUGAUGUCUAUAUAAAUAAAGUUCUUGCAUUGACAAAUAAGAUGAAGACCAAUGGUGAAACACAUUCGGAGCAGGCAAAGGUGAAGAAGAUUUUGAGGUUUUUAACUCCCAGAUUUGAACAUGUUGUUGCCGCAAUUGAAGAGGCCAAUGACAUUUCAACAAUGACAGUAAAGUUAUUGUCUAGUUCCCUACGAGUGCAUGAGCAGCGGAUGAAUGACAAUAAGAUUGAAAAACCAAUUGAAUAAGCAAUUGGUAGCUCCUAUCAUAAACACAGUAGUUCACGAGGCAGAGAACAGAGACGUGGUGGUAGGUAUUCCAGCAAAGGUCGUGGUGGCCAGAAUCAUGAAGGCGCUGAGCAAAACAACACCAGUUCCAAUCACAAUCCAAGUUCAAAUAACUCUUGGCGCGGAGGACGUGGUCGUGGAGGACGAGGAGGCAUGUAUAAUAGAUCAAAUGUGGAGUGUUAUAACUGCCAUAAACGUGUCCAUUAUGCAAAUGAGUGCAGAUCAAAAGGUGAUAAUCAUGCUGCCAAUUGUGCUCAAGAAAAUAGUAAUCAUGAACAAGAUGAAGAGGAUCAUGCAGUACUAAUGAAAUCUCAAAUCCAUAGGCGAGUGCAGUGUGCAAGGAAGUGUAGGAAUGGUAAUCGAAAGUGGAGAGAGAAGUGAGAGCAACAAGCUUUACCUCACACCCAACUUCCAAGUCCUCAACUUUAAGGUCUCCACUAAUUGCAUAUGCAUAACCCUUCCCCUCCCACUUCACCUAUCUCCACUCUCCACUAUCCACACACUUCUCUUUCUCUCCCACUGAUUGGUUAUAGUUCACAAACGCUAUAUGCUCAACAUUAAACUCAAAAAUAACAUCAAUUUUAUUUAGAAAUUUGAAUGUUCAAUAAUUAUUAGCUUUAAUCAUAGUUUUAAAUAUAAUUAAUUUUGUGACUUUAAAUGUAAUUUAUAGUAUAGCUUUGAUGAGAGAGAAUCUAGAAUUUGAAAAGUCUAUUGCAAGACUAUUUACAGAGACGGUAUUCUUAUCUGAAAAGUAGCAUUGAAAUAAAAGUUUUAUUCUUGGUUAACAAAUUGGUAUGAGAGUUAUGGCCAGUAUAACCAAUAAUAUGUCCCUUCCUCAAUUAACAAAGAUGGUCAAUUAUGACAAUUGGAGCAUCCAAAUGAAAGCCCUUAUGGGAUCUCAAGAUUUUUUGGAGGUAGUUCAACAAGGUUUUGAAGAACCAGAAAAUACCACUGGUUACUCGGCGACCCAAAACAAAGUAUUGAAAGAGACAUAAUCGGAAGAUAAGGCAGCUUUGUACAUGUUGUAUAGAGUCGUUGAUGAGGCAAUCUUUGAGAAGAUUGUUGGUGCAUCCACUUCAAAUGAAACAUGGAACAUCUUGGAAAAGGUGUUCAAGGGUGCAAUCUGAGUUAAACAAAUGCGUUUUCAAACUUUACGAGGUGAGUUGGAGGCCAUAAAGAUGAAGGAUUCGGAAGAUGUAUCUAGUUACAUCACUUGUGUGCAAAUAGUAGCCAAUCAACUAAAACACAAUGGAGAGACUCUCUCGGAUACAAGAGUUGUGGAGAAAAUUCUUCGGUCAUUGACCAAUGACUUUGAAAUCGUUGUAUGUGCAAUUGAAGGAGUCAAGAAAUUUGGAAGAGAUGACCAUUGAUGAUCUCACGGGUUCUCUUGAGGCACAUGAACAACGAAAGAAGAAAAAUAAGCAAGAAGUCUUGGAGGAAGCCUUACAAACAAAGAUGACCAUAAAAGAAAACAAGACGAUGUACGCACAACAUAACCGAGGAAGAGGACAUGGACGCGGACGUCGUGGUCAUGGAAACAACAAUGAAGAAAGGGGACAAAUGAACCAACAAAAUUGGCGUGGACGAGGUCGUGAUCGUGGUGGUCAUUCAUAUCGUUCAAAUGUUGAAUGUUACAUGCAAGAAAUAUGGACACUAUGCAAAUGAGUGUUAUGCCAAGAAAAAAGUGGAAGAAAGUGCAAAUUUAGUGGAGGAAGAUGAGACAAAAGAGGAAGGAAUUCUCAUGAUGGCCAAUGAAGGCGUCAUUCUGGAUAGUGACAUGGUAUGGUAUCUACACAUUGGUGUUAGUAAUCAUAUGUGUGGGCACAAAUAUCUCUUUCUUGAUAUACAAUAGAUAGAAGAUGGACAUGUGUCUUUUGGAGACUCAACAAAAGUUUCAAUCAAAGAUCGGGGGAAAAUAUGUUCUUCCUUAAAGGAUGGAAAAGAAUGCACUAUGGAGGAUGUUCAUUAUGUACUUGAUUUGAAGAACAAUAUUCUUAGUAUGGGACAAUAGUUGGAGAAAGGUUAUUCGGUUUCCAUGAAAUACCGGAUUUUGCACUUGAAGGACAAAAAUGGAUGAUUGCUUGCAAAUGUGGAGAUGGCGAAGAAUCGAAUGUUCAAACUCAACUUAAAGAAUACAUUGUCAGAGAAGUCCUUUUGUGAUGAAAAAAUUGAGAUUGAAGAUUUAAGGGAAAAAUCAAGUAGUUUGGAAGAAUUUUGCAAUUUACUGAAUAAUGAAAAAACAAAACCUUCUAAAUGAAAGGAGUGUCCUACUAUCUCAAUUGGAGAGUGUUGAAGCAAAAUUUGGUAACCUGAAAAGAAGGUUUAGAAAAUUGGAAGAAAAAUAUAUUGAUAUGGAGAAAGACAAAGAAAGUAGAUUCAAUCAAGUUGAAGAACUCCAUUUGUUACUUUUGGCACAAAAAGAAAAGGUGAAUGAAUUACAAUCCAAAUUAGAAACCCAUUAUAAUUUUACAAAUUCCCUUGAAGCUAUCAAGAAGCUAAGGGUAGAAUCAAAGGUGAAUGACAAGUAUCUUCCAUCUUUUGUUAUUGUUGAUGAGAGUGUAAGAAAUAAUACUUCAGAUAGUAUGACUGCAGGGUGUAGUAAAGUUCUUUGUGACAAUAAUGGUUUUGAUUUGGGAAAAGACAAUAAAUGGAAUGUUGUCAAGGCAUCAUUUGAAAGGGAUAUAUGGUUUAAUCAUUAUGUUCCAAGCUCAUUGAAGCCACAGUCUUUCUUCAAUCCUUUUAAUUCAGAGGGUGAAAGUGCAAAAGAUUUUAUUUGGGAGACUAAAAGUAUUUCAAUCCAGAACUCUGCAUGGGUUGGUGCGUGAAGAAGACUGAAGUUGCUUUUAAUUCAUAACAGUGUGUUGAUUGUUGGGAAAAUAUUGGAAAUGUGGGUGAUGACGUUCAGAAAAAAACAAUCUGAAUGAAAAAUAUGAAAGGUAUAAGAGAGGAAUUAGUUAGCAUUAAACUCAAAGUCGUCAUUAGUUUUAUUUAGAAAUUUAAAUGGUAAAUAAUUAUUAGCUUUAAUCAUAGUUUUGAAUGUUAUUUAUAUUAUGAUUUUAAAUGUAAUUUAUAGUAUAACUUUGAUGAAAGAAAAUGUAGAAUUUCAAAAGUAUAUUGUAAGACUAUUUUCAGAAAUUGUAUUUUCUUAUCUGAAAAGUAGUACCGAAAUAAAAGUUUUAUUCUCAGUUGAGACUCGAAACUCAGGUUAUGGUGCUGAAGAGCAGGAUCAACUACUCUCACUCUAUAGUUGUUGUAGUUGAUUGACUGCACAUGAUAUUUUGCAAAGUACAGAUACAACACCGUAACAUUAUUCUCACAACCAAGCUCAUACCUUUUCUCACCACACUUUUCUGGGUCGCCUUUGAAUCGAAAAGGGUAAUUUUUUUUUUUUGAUCAGCAACGAAUUAAUAAAAUUAAAAGAGACACUUUAGGGGUGUCCCAACCCGUAUACAUCAGACCUUAAAGUCUAGACUGUACGCAUAAGCUAAACCGAUUCUGCUAGACAUAAAAGAGCCAACCUCAAAUAUGGUUUACCCAUUUAUCCCAACAGACAAAAACACCACAAAGACCCUCACUCACCACCUAAGACAGAACCAAACUUAACCCUUAUAGUAGACCACGAAAACCUCCACAGCACACCAUAUCAGCACUCUAUAAAACCACCAGCUCCCUCCACGCCAGAAAAGAUACGCUAAGUUAACGGUGUUGAGUAACACCCGUUCUCCACCGCAGGCUCAAUACUCAACAGUCCCCUGUAACUACCGCACACCAACCACACAGCUGCUCAUCCAGGAACAGUGGAUACGUAUAGGGAACCUGCUUAACUUCUUGUGCUUUGAAUAAGACACAGCUCGAGACGCCCUCAACCGAUGCCCUCUACAUUCACCUCGCCACGCAACGGGUUACCCAUUCACAUUGCCUUCGGCAACCACCGACUACGUCCAUAAAGAGCACGCCACUUCCUCGACCAGCGAUUAUCUUUGGAUAACUUCGACCACCACCGACCGGCGAUCAUAUGGAGCACGCCGUUUCAAGUAGCUACGACGACUACCGACUACUCACAUAUGAGGAACGCCGCUUCCUCGAUCGGUGAUCACAUUGACCAUCGCCGUUUUUUAUAACGGGCGAUCAUGUUGAGCGCUGCCAUCUACGAUCGCCGUCUGCACAGAAGUGGAAAGCGCUGCUUCAUCAACCGGCGAUCAUGUUGAAAUCGCCAUUUCAAUUACCGGCGAUCAUGUUGAGCUUUGCACAAUCGGCGAUCACCGACUACAUACAAAUGGGUCAUGCCGCUUCACCGAUCGGCAAUCAAGGUAACCUAUGUAAAGCACCACUUCACCGACCGGCGAUCAUGUUGACUUGCAUACCUUCGACGAUCACCGACUGUAGUAUCAUCCUUCCACAUAACAGUCCUUCAGAUGCUCCAGAGCCAGAACCCUUGCCUUCCGCUACUUACACCAACAAUUGACCUCACCCUUCCAAGGAGAACCCUAAGGUACUCCUUUGCUCAGGUUCGCCCACUGUAGCCAGCUGCAUUGCAACCUUCCAUAGGUGAAUUAAAAGCACCAUCCCGCAAGUAUGGCUUUAGUCAGCAGCCUCUAAACCCUGCAACCAGCACACUGCCAAUGCCUUAUUCCCACGCUAGCAACAUCUCCUCCUUCCCUCCACUGAGCAUGUCACCAAGCUCUGGUUAUCUGUAGCUUUUUAUGCAGCACAUUGGAUUCAGGACCCAAUCCACUAAGGAGUAGUUAAAGGAACUUGUCUUAUGUUUCAGCCAUUGCCAAGAUUUAAUUUGUGCUUGCUGAAAAAUUUCUUCUGCAUCUACAACGCCUUGUUUGAACACUACCAAGUUCCUCUGAUCCCAAAUACACCUGACUACCACUGCCCAAACCCCUUUCCAAACCAGGUUUUGAUUAUGACUAACCUGAAACAGGUUAAAGCUCUCGAAGUGCGUCAUUAUAUCAUUGUGUUGAACAAACAACAUUCCAAUCCACUUGAAGCACAUGGACCACACUUGAUUAGCAUAUUUACAAUCCAAAAAUAGAUGUUGAAACGAUUCAUCCUUCGUCUGGCAAAAAGCACAUAAGGUUGUUUCCAUCAACACCCCUCUCCUUCUCAAACAUAUUCUAGUAGGAAGUCUAUCCAUCAUAAUUCUCCACGCUACAGUCACCGCACUUGGGAACGCCUUAGCUUCCCACAGCGACUUAAAGACAUCAUGUUGAGGCCCUCUUCCUUGUUUUGAUAGACACACGUAAGCAUUAUUGACUGAGAAGCACCCUUUCUCCUCAUUCCCCCAUACCUGGACGUCCUUCUCUUCUUUAAGAAUGGUUGUCGUUGUUAUGAGCACUUCAAGUUCUUGUACUAGAGCGGAUUCCCACACAAAUCUUUCCCGUCUCCAUCUUAACCGCCAGCACCAACCCGACUCUUCCCACACACCUACCUCUCCCACCUUGUGCCCCUGGUUUAAAGACAACGAGUAUAAUCUGGGGAACAAAGUUUUGAGAUUACAGUUACCAAUCCACACAUCCUCCCAGAACCUAAUUUUAUCUCCACAUCCUAAUUUUCAUCCAAUUUCUUUAUAAAACCACCCUUCACCUUCACCCUCCCUACAUACUUUGUGUAAGUCUCUCCACCACCAUGAUUGAAGUUUGACCGGAAUCUGCACUUCCGAGCCAUACUUCGAAUCUAGCAGUUCCUUCCAUCUCCCUUUCUCCUCCGAAAUGUAUCUCCACCUCCAUUUAGCCAGAAGAGCUGCAUUGAACUUCUGGAUCUCUCUCACACCCAGACUACCCUCCUCUCUAUUUUUGCACACAACUUCCCAGCUUACCCAAGAGAUAGACGUCUUCUCCUUCCCCCAACCCCAAAGAAACCUCCUUUGGAUUCUGGUGAUACUCUUGCAGAUCGACGCCGGUGCUUUAUACAUAGAUAGGUAGUAAAGUGGGACAGAGGUGAGAACCGAUUUGAUUAAGCACACCCUCCCUGCCAUGGAUAGGAAUCUACCCUUCCACACAUUGAGUCGGUCUUUUAACUUGUUUAGCACAGGCUCCCAAAACUUGCUUGUCCUAGGAUUCCCUCCUACUUCAAGGCCCAAAUAUUUGAAAGGUAUCCCCAUUUGAGCAUAGUUGAGGGUCUUGGCAUAGCAAUCUAAGUUGUUUCUUUGGACAUUGAUGCCUGCUAGUUUUGACUAGUGAAAGUUUAUCUUCAGACCUGAAGCUAACUCAAACCCCCUGAGUAUUGCCUUCAACGUCACCACAUUGGUGUAGGAAUCCUCACAGAAGAACAUGGUGUCAUCUGCGAACUACAGGAUACUCAACUCAACCUUCUUCCUCCCAAUCUUAAGGCCAGAGAGUAGAUUCGCCUUAGUAGCUUGUCUUACUAGACCUGCCAAGCCUUCUACUACCAAUAUGAACAGGAAGGGGGCAAGAGGAUCGCCCUGCCUCAGCCCUCUGGAAGGUUUAAAUUCCUCCGUCAGGCUCCCGUUUACAAGCACUGAAACGGGGGAACUUUCCAUGCAUCCUCUGAUCCAGCUAAUCCACUUAUUUUGAAACCCCAACCUUUGGAGCAUGUCAUAGAGAAAUUCCCAUCUUACCGAAUCAUAAGCUUUCUCAAAAUCCACCUUCAGACACAAGCUACUCCCCCCACCCCUCCUUAUAUCCUUUACUACUUCAUUGGCCAUUAGCACACUGUCAAGUAUCCCUCUGUUCUUUACAAAAGCUGAUUGGCUAUCAUCAACUAUUGAGGAGAUGACGUUCCUGAUUCUGCCAGCCAACACCUUAGAGAUGAUUUUGUACAUAGCCCCUACUAACGAAAUAGGUCGAUAUUGCUCCAAUUUGAUAGGGUCCCUAAUCUUCGGGACCAAAGCAAUGAAGGAUGCGUUNNNNNNNNNNNNNNNNNNNNNNNNNNNNNNNNNNNNNNNNNNNNNNNNNNNNNNNNNNNNNNNNNNNNNNNNNNNNNNNNNNNNNNNNNNNNNNNNNNNNNNNNNNNNNNNNNNNNNNNNNNNNNNNNNNNNNNNNNNNNNNNNNNNNNNNNNNNNNNNNNNNNNNNNNNNNNNNNNNNNNNNNNNNNNNNNNNNNNNNNNNNNNNNNNNNNNNNNNNNNNNNNNNNNNNNNNNNNNNNNNNNNNNNNNCGUUGCUGUAAAUCUAGAUUCAAAGAGCUUCUUCGCUUCCAACCGAACUGUACAGGGUUCUUCACACCAUUGACCUCCCACCUCCACACCUUUAACUUCAUUUCUAAGGCGUCUCCACCUUAGAGAGGAAUGAUAGAAACUAGUGCAAGAGUCCCCAUACUUAAGCCAAUUGGUUCUAGCUUUUUGGCUCAAUAAGGAUUCUAUCCUCCUAUCGGUUUCCUUUAGACGACUCAACAAGCCCAACCUCUGCACAUUCUCGCUAACAUCUAAAACUCCACUACAUGGCUAGCAAUCAAGAGCCUCAAGCUCCUCCAAAAUCUUCUUCUUAGAAGACUCCAUGUUACCGAAACUAUCCCUAUUCCAAACCUUCAAGUCUCUCUUUAAACAUUNNNNNNNNNNNNNNNNNNNNNNNNNNNNNNNNNNNNNNNNNNNNNNNNNNNNNNNNNNNNNNNNNNNNNNNNNNNNNNNNNNNNNNNNNNNNNNNNNNNNGGUCCACCAAUCCUUCACCAUCGUUAAGAAUCCCUUCUCCAUAAACCACGCAUCAAUGGUCCGAAAGGGUUUAGGUCCCCAAUCCUUAACCAAAGACUUCACCACUAUCGCACAGUGAUAAAAAACCUCUCUACGUUGCACAUACUGCUUACCCAUUGGCCAUUCCUGCAACCAUUCUUCAGAGACUAACACUCUGUCUAACCUGCUCAUUGCCUUCCCAUUUGAACUAAACCAAGUGUAUUUUUUGCCUACAAUUGGUAGUUCAAUCAACAUAUUAGAUUCAAUGAAGUUAUUAAAACUUCCCAUCUCGCUUGUAUGGUUGUCCCGUACACUUGUUCCUUUCCUUUCUCCUCGUUUUCUAAUAGCGUUAAAAUCACCACAGAAGCACCAAAUUGGGUCCAAAGAAGCCCCUUUAAUAGCAGAUAAAUUCCCCCAUAGAUCAAUCUUCUCUCUCAACAAGCAUGCGGAAUAAACAUUUACAACCACACACCUACAGUUAGAUUUAGUGUGCUGUCCAACCACCGCAAUGAACCUCUUCCCCAUUUCAUGACUUUCAUAGGUGAAAGCAUCCUUAUGCCACAUAGUCAGCAAGCUUCCACUCCCAUUUUCUCCACCAUAGUGAACCCAGCCCACGUUGUUGUCCCCCCAAAGGGAGAAACAUUUUACGUCUGUACAAGUUCUCAAUUUCGUUUCUUGAAUACACGCGAAUUCUGCACCUUCCUUUGCUAUAAUAUGCCUCAAGUAUCCAGUCUUUGUGCUUCCCCCCACCCCUCUUAUAUUCAAGUUUACAAUUAACAUGAUUGAUCCUUCUUCUUACCCUCCUCAUAACUCUGCAAAAACUCCAAGUCUCUCUCCUCUAGGCACAUAUAUUCCUUAACCACCUCAUCCUCAUCCUUUGUACAGUACAACCCCGCUUUUUUACCGAUCUCCCAAAGCUUUGGUGGGUCCACCAUAUUACCGGGAUCACAAUUUCGAGUAUUACAACUGACGAAAUCCCCAUCAGAGAUGGACACUGAAGACAUACCAUGUCUAUGAUUAGAGGAAGCCUCAGCCUUAGUAACGCGUGCAUUAAUUCUCACUGAUCUUCUCGGAUUUGAAGUAGAGGCCCCCACUUCAGAGAGCCCUUCAAUCAUGCGCCAACGUGGUGAGAGCAUAAGGUUACUUCCUGCAGCCGCGCCUUCCUCUCCAAACGCGAUAGGCUUCGACCCUCCAACCAUAACACCCUUUAAGGCUUCAUCAAAUUCUUCCGUGCCAUGGCAUUCGUCCACCCUUUCCUUCAAAGGAGAUUCAAUCUCCAUCCCUUGAUUACCUAGUCCACUAACCUCUCUUUCACCGGUUUGAACCUCCUCACGUUCCUCCUCCUGUUUACCUCCACGGCAGCUCAUAGAUUUGAUAUUUUCAUUUGCAUUUUCUCUUCAAGGAGCCUCCUGCAUCGUGCGCGGUCCAACAUCUUUUUUCCCAAAUUGGGUUUCACAAGGAAUAUGGCCCACAAGGCGUUGGGCCUCCACCUUCCUUCCUUGGCCCACAGAGAGAGCGGGGGUCCCUUGUGAGUGAAAACUUUCAAGUUCUACCACUACUUUGGCCAGCUCAGCAUGGGUAGAGUAACUACUGCAGAUAGGGGAACGGCCUUGGUCAGGGUUGACAUCUAGGUCAGCACCUCGACACGCAACCUGGCCUAUUCUAUCUUCUUUCAUGCAAGAUGUGCAGUCUAUACUCUGGUCAGGGCUGUCUUUGUCAGCAAUUAACUUAAAAAACAAAUUUGUCUUAUGUGCACCUUCGUCACCUUCUUCCACCGCCUUGCCACCGUCCUCCUCCCCUUCUGACCGAUGUUCUUCCUUGGACCCAGACCUCACCUCCUCCUCACAGCUUUUAGAAGAGAAAAUCGUUUCUUCAAUAAAAGUCUCUGAUGACGACACACUAUCCGACGAGUCACCAUACCAGGAUUGCGUGUGCCUUCCUUCGUGACAAGCAGGGGGUUCUUCUUCAAUGAGGAUAUUCCAAAACUGUUCAUUAAUCCGCAAUUUCUUCUUCAGCCUGAUGUAGCUUUGGUUCUUCACCAGGACUUGCAACCUUGCGUAUUCCAGGUUCUCCCAUAGCAACGUGGAAGUGUCUAUGGAUACCAGCGUAGCCAUAUCUCCUAGAACCUUUGUAAAGCAAUCCUCAUUCCAGAGAGGUAACGGUAAUCCAUAGCAUCGUACCCAAGCAAUUUUAUGGUCCGCCAUGUGCGACGCCGACCACGGUUUCAGACUCACAAAGAGAUUGUUGUUGGGUUUAAUAGUGUCAAAGUUCAAGAGGGGGGUGAAUUGACCUUUUAAAACUGUCUCGCAGAAACAGUGUUUAACACAGUUUACAGAAAAUAAAUCGAUUUAUGUGAAAAUGAACAGAUUUAUUUCAGCACUGUUUUUGUUUGAAAAGCGUUUAUACAUCAAGGUUAAUCACAAGAUUAUGCAGAUGCACACACACUGAUAUUAGAACGAAAACCAGUGAAACACCAAAACAGCAAACUUCAGUUUCAAGCAAGUGAUUAAGGUUCAAUUGAUAGCAUGCCAAUUAAUUGAGUAACCUUUACAAUCAACCUGUUCCAGUGGCCUUUAACAAACUAUGAGUGUUCUUCUUGAUAUCAAACAAUUUUCCAGAAAUUAAGAACAAUGAAUCACAGAACAGCAAGCUUCAAUUUUAAGCAAUUGUUUAAGGUUCAAUUAAUAGCUUUGACAAUUUCUUGAGCAACCUAUCACAGUCAAUCUGUUGCAGUGGCUUUUAACAAAUUUUAUAUGUUCUUAUCAGAAUCAAACAACUUUUUCAGAAGUUAAGAACAGUAUGAACUGAGCCCAGAAAGAACAGAUUUAUUUUCACUUGAACAUAUUUAUUUCUUUGCUGUUUUAUCAAUUAUGCAGAAACGAAAUUGCAGAGAGUGAAAGAGAAUGAACACAAGCAGUUAUACUGGUUCACUCAACUGAGCUACAUCCAGUCUUCACCAAAACCAGGUGGAAAUCACUAAAACACAGUACAACCAAGUACAAUUCCCACUGUUCUUGAAACCUACAAGAACUUAGGUACUCUUGCUGAAAAAACCUAUUNNNNNNNNNNNNNNNNNNNNNNNNNNNNNNNNNNNNNNNNNNNNNNNNNNNNNNNNNNNNNNNNNNNNNNNNNNNNNNNNNNNNNNNNNNNNNNNNNNNNNNNNNNNNNNNNNNNNNNNNNNNNNNNNNNNNNNNNNNNNNNNNNNNNNNNNNNNNNNNNNNNNNNNNNNNNNNNNNNNNNNNNNNNNNNNNNNNNNNNNNNNNNNNNNNNNNNNNNNNNNNNNNNNNNNNNNNNNNNNNNNNNNNNNNNNNNNNNNNNNNNNNNNNNNNNNNNNNNNNNNNNNNNNNNNNNNNNNNNNNNNNNNNNNNNNNNNNNNNNNNNNNNNNNNNNNNNNNNNNNNNNNNNNNNNNNNNNNNNNNNNNNNNNNNNNNNNNNNNNNNNNNNNNNNNNNNNNNNNNNNNNNNNNNNNNNNNNNNNNNNNNNNNNNNNNNNNNNNNNNNNNNNNNNNNNNNNNNNNNNNNNNNNNNNNNNNNNNNNNNNNNNNNNNNNNNNNNNNNNNNNNNNNNNNNNNNNNNNNNNNNNNNNNNNNNNNNNNNNNNNNNNNNNNNNNNNNNNNNNNNNNNNNNNNNNNNNNNNNNNNNNNNNNNNNNNNNNNNNNNNNNNNNNNNNNNNNNNNNNNNNNNNNNNNNNNNNNNNNNNNNNNNNNNNNNNNNNNNNNNNNNNNNNNNNNNNNNNNNNNNNNNGAAUCUGUUUAUUUAGAAAAGAACAGAUUUAUUUUUAUGCAGUAAACGUGAUUUUUGUAAAACAUGUGAAAAACAGUUGAAGAAAACUUAUGCUUGUUCUUAUCACAUGGCCAGUGGUUAUGAGGUGAGUUACUCAGCAAAAAGCCCUCUUAAACAACCUCUAAGCACUACCUAAGACACACUUAAAGCAAAGCAAAAAUACACAUGAAAUGUACAUAAAAGUCUUCAUCAAACACAAUCUUGAAGGGGCAGCAACCAUCUUCAACCAUUGUCAAACCAUACUUUAUUACAGUUGAUAAUAUCCUCCAUUUUCUCUCCUUCCUUUGGGGUCAACAUCACUAAUCUGUCCCCCAUGUAUCUUAUACUGACUCUGUUCAAACCUACUUUCACAAACUCCUCUCCUAGCUGAUCAACAUCCCAAGCCUUCUCAAACUGCCCAACAACACUAUUCACCAUCCAAGGCAUAGUGUGGGAAAGCGACUUAAGCGAUGGUCCUUUCCACUUCCCUUGGUUUACAUCUCCUUUCACAACGUCUACAAAAGAUCUAUUCGUUUUCUUCUCUACCCAUAUCUCCUUUUGUUUCCCUACGUCCCUCUGUUUUUCCAGGUGGUUCACCUUCGUCUCCCUCCUCUCCUCCUUAACAGAGUCCUUCUGGUGCCUUCGAUAUCGUGGAAUGUUUACAUGGAGUUUCAUGUUUCCGACGAAGAGACUGUCCAACUCCCUCUCAAGACGUUCCACAUUUCUUACGUCAAAGAACCUAACGAACCCAAAUCUUCUACUCCAUUUGUUCAACCUCCGUGAUAUGAAAACUUCUUUUACCCUUGCUCUCCUUUGAAAGACCUUGACCAUGUCCAACUCUCCAUAACCAUGGGGGAAGUUCGAGAAGAAGAAGGUAGUGUAGUCAUUUAACCUCCCUUGAUCGCCUCCCCUGUUGGUUCGAACUCUGCUUCCCAUUAGUCGGCUAAUUCUGUUCUAUUUUUGUUUUCUCGUGAAUAUAAUAUUUCAAAUCGAAAAGGGUAAUUGAUGUUGCUGAUUUGACCACAGGAAGAAGAGGGACAACCACCGUGAAUUUUCCCGACUAGAAGUAGCAGUAGCACCAUGAAUGCUCUCUCUCUCCACAUAAUGUCCAAACUGUUUCUCAUUCAAUUCAAGUGCAAACAAAUCCAAGUUAGAUAUUUAUAUCUAAAACAACACACACUGAAUUCAAGGACCACAUUUUUCCUUUUACAAAAUUGUUUGAAGACGUAUGAUACUUAAAACGUAGACUUUGACUCGGAAACCACGUUUCUAUCUGGUUUCCACAACUCAUUUUAAUCAAUACCAAAUUUUAAAUAUUCGUGAAGUGCAUGAAUUCUAAUUUAUAUAUUUAAUCAUCUAAUUUUGUUGAUGGUGUUCUUUGAGUUCUAAAACCAUCCUAAAUUGUUCUUUUUGAAAACUUAUAUUUCGAAAUAUAAUUUUAAUGACUAUAGAAUUUCUGAGUCCCAAAUAAUGUUUGUUUGGUUAAGAAACUUUGACAUGUGAUUGGUACAUAUUGUUUUGGUGACUUUUUGCCCCAAAAAGGGCCUCAUCUGUUUCGUCGUGUUAAUUUCAUGAACAUAUUCUUGUUGGACAUGGGAGAAGAAAAGAGUGACGGUGGGCACCAAGUGUGGUAGCAGAAAAAAGAACUAACAAUGCCUGACGUUUUCUGUAUGUGUAAAAGGUCAAGGACAGAGAAAAUCAUAUGGAAGCAAUUCCACACACGUAACCCAAAAUUCCACCAUGUUUUUUAGCUUGUGCCUUGAAAAACUCAAUAAUUAAAAGUGCGUUUCCAAGAAUUUGACGAAGUUACUCACCAUUAACUAGUUGGUAUUGGUAGAUCAUACUCUGUAAACUCACCAGAUCUCUCAUCAUCAAGGUUCAUUGAUAAAGGUGUAUCCGAGCCAUCACAACGUGCAUAGAUUUUACAAGUCUAACUAAAACAUGUCCAAAAGAUUCACACUUAUUGUGAAUCAUUGACAACCUAAUAGAGGGUGUAUUGGGGUACUAGAUGUUGAGUUUCAUGGACAACAUAAUAUGCAGCAACAUGCAGCUAUCUUCUUUCAUAUGGUUUGUGUGCUGUUAUGGGUAGGGGCUCCUGUCAUAUGUAUUUUUUCUGGUUUUCUGUAAUCUGCAGCAAUCUUUAUGUUGGAUUUUUUUGGUUUUUAAGUUUUUUUCUUUAGUUCUUUGUAUAAGGAUUGAAACACCACUUAAAUGACCACUUAAAUGAAGUAAGAAGACAAAAACACCAUUGUGAAUUGGGGGUCUAGAUGUUGAGUUUCAUGCACACCUAUUUAAUUUAGAACUAAACUAGAAUGUAUCUGAAUAUGAAGACAAAACAACAUUAUGGUAGAAAUAUUUAUUUUUUCCUUAUUUUCUUUUCUAAAACAUCAUUCAAAAUUUUCGGUGGUUAUUGCAUAAUUAAUUUCAGAUGUAUAUUCUUACGUAAAAAUUAAAAAUAGAAAGUUAGAAUUAUAUUUUCCAAAAAUCAAUGACCCAUCAAACAACUUUGUUCCGUUCUUGUUUAUUAUAAAAAAGUACUUUCAAAAUUCGAUUAUAUAAAAACCUUGAAAAUUUUUGUUUUCUGAAAUAAGAAAUAAAGGUGAGAAUUGGAUUUUCUGUGAACCAAAUUCUCACGUUAACAUAAAUGGUGCUAUAAAAAAAAUUAAAUCUCAAAUAGUAUUUUCUAAGAAAUUAAAUAUGAAAUGGUACUUGGGUGAUGGAGGAGGUAGAGCCAGAUUUCCAACCAUUUUCAGAAGAUAUCGUGAAUGAACCAAUUCUGGCAGAUUAUGUUUUCCCCAAAAUUGGUUCAUUUACAAGAAUGCAGGAUCUGAAUGCUCAUAUAAAAACGUUCAGGGCACAUAUGUUAAUUCAUGGAGGUUCGGAUGCUCUUCGAUGAAAGGAAGGUAUAGCGGAUAUAAAUCUUUGAGCCAUGUCUUACAUUAAAGUGAAAGAAUUUACUAAAAGGAAGAGGAAAAGAGAGGUGAAGAUGGGAUGCGGUCAAAAGGUGAAAAGGCAGUAGUAAAUUUUAGAUCAAGCAAUAACAAUGGAGGUCCGAUCAAAGUAAGGAGAGAGGAUCAGUUGGAUGGAGGACCAUAUGGAGGAAGGAGACAUACGAAUGAAAGAAGGGAGGAGAUGCAUGCAUGGUACCCGCCAAAGUUGGCAACAUCUCAUAAGGAUGUUGUUAAGGAUGUCAAUACAACAAGGUUGUUGCAGUUUCCUGAAAAGAUGGAUAAGAAUAUGGGAAGAAAUGCCAAUGCUUGGUAUCAUUUCCAUAAGACAUAUGGUUAUGAUACUGAACUAUGUUACACGUUAAUGAAGCAAAUCGAGGAGCUUGUGAAGAGAGGUUUAUUACAGAUUGUGAAAGGUAGGGUUUAGGAGAGGAAGGAAGCAUCAGAGGUGUCAAAAGAAUAUCAUGCUGAGGAGGAGGAUAGCCGAAAUGAAGGGGAACACGAAAAGACGGUGAUGGGAGAUUUAAAUAUGAUUGCAGGAGGAUUUUCGGGAGGUGGAGUUUCAAGUGCGAGGAGGAAGCGGUACGGUUAUGCAUUUGGAUAAAUGAUUUUUAUUAUAAUUUAAUUUAUAUACAUGUGUGGAUACAUUUAGGGCACCAUUAUAAACUCUUUAAUAUAAAAACAAAGUUGUUGUCACAAAAAGAAUUUAGAAUAUCUAUUUUCUUGAAAAAACCAUUUAAUGUAAAAUAUUUGGAUUAAAGCUUACUAAAUAUUACUCUAAUAAUGAAAAAGUUAUGCAAUGCAACACAUGAAAAAUAGAAAAGACAAGUAUUGUCUAUGCAAACAAAAACUGUAGAAUGUCACCAUGCAUAUUCAAGUAGAAUGAGUUCAUGAUUGCGCAUUUGGAAACUUGAAAAAAAAAAUAGUAACCCAAUUGUUUUAACUUUAUAGAUGUAAAGUAUUUAAUAGAGAAAAACAAGAGAAAAAUAUUGUAGAUGUACUUCUACUUAAAAGAAGAAGGUGAAUGAUAAACAAAACUUUAUUAUGCAUCGUUAAAUAGUAUGCUUCACUAAAGGAUCAAUUACAUAUAUUCUUAUACUUUACAUGAAAUAAUAUUAUAAAAUAGAAUAGAGAUAAACAAAAGAGAACAGAGGUGAACAAAAGAAGAGUAAAAGAAAGACAAAGGAUAUGAGAAUGAAUAUCUCUUCAAUUAUUCAUAUAAUCAAAACAAAUAUAUACAAGCAGUACACUCAUUCUAGGUCUAGCUAAAAAGAGAAAAAAUCAAUCAAUAAAUAAUAAAAUCAUAACAGAGAAAGACAUAAUAAAGAUUAUUCACCUCUAUAAAGAGAAACAACUAAGAAUUAGAAAAUACACUCAAAUAUUGAUGAGACCCAGCUUGGAACAAAUACUCUUGAAAGAUUGAUAACUUAAAGCUUUGGUAUAAAUGUCAACCAGUUGCUUUGUGGUGAAAAUGGGAAGCAAAUGGAUGAGACCCUUCUUUAAUUUUUCUCUAAAAACGUGACAAUUUAUUUCUAUAUGUUUCGUACGCUCGUGAAACACUGGAUUUGUUGCAAUGUAUCUUGUUUAGUCAUUGUCACAGUAUAAAAGAGAUGGUUGCUCAAAAGGAACUUUGAAAUCUUGAAGAAGAUAAGUUAGCCAUUGAAUUUCACAUGUAAUAGUGGUCAUUGCCCUGUAUUCAGCUUCACAGGAACUCUUUGAUAUUUUUCCUUGCUUCUUUGCUUUUCAGGAUAUGAGAGAAUUUCCAAGUUACACACUAAAACUAGUCACUGAUUGACUUGAAUCACUGUUGAUACCCCAAUCACUAUCACAAAAGGCUUUGUGAUGAGCAGAAGUGUUGAAAGAGAAAAAUAAACCAAGACUUGGAGCUCCUUUAAGAUACAUGAUAAUUCUAAUCGCUACAGUAUAAUGAGAAGCUGUAGGCUUAACAAGAGACUGAGAAAGUUGUUGCACAAAAAUGUUAUGUCAGGUCGGGUAUUAGUGUGAUAUAUAAGUCUUCCAAUCAAUCUUCUGUAGGCUUGAAUAUCUAUGAAAGGAACACUUCCAGUAGAAGAGAAUUUUUCAUGAUUAUCAAUAGUGAAUGCAGGUUUGUAGGCUAAAAGACUUGCAUCUGUUAACAAUUCCAUGCAUAUUUCCUUUGAUUCACCAUUAUUCCUUUCUUACUUCUUGCUACUUCUAGACCAAAAAAAUAUCUUAAAGAUCCUUAUUCUUGAAUGUCUGAUUCAAGGCUUGUUUAAUUCGAGCAAUCUCUUCUUUAUCAUUUCCUGCCAAUAUUAUAUCAUCCACAUACACCAAUAAUGCUGUAAAAGAUCCUUCGGAAGAAUUAAUGAACAAGGAAUGAUCAUUUAUAGAUUGAGUAUAUCCCAUAGAAAGCAAAAAGGAUGACAGUUUGGAAAACCACUCUCUGCUAACUUGCUUAAGGCUAUAUAAAGCCUUUUUUAGUUUACAAACUUUUCCUGGUGGAAUAGAAGUCAAUCUAGGAGGAGCAACCAUGUAUACAUCUUCUUUCAAAUCUCAAUGUAAAAAGGCAUUGUUUAUGUCUAAUUGUUUCAAUUCCCAAUUAUAGAUAAAAGUUAGAGAAAGAAGCAACCUUAUGGUGGUCAUCUUUGCUACUGGAGAGAAAGUAUCAAGGUAGUCAAUGCCUUCUGUUUGUGUGUAUCCCUUUUCCAUUAACCUUGCUUUAUACCUUUCAAUUGUCCCAUCAACCUUAUAUUUUAUUUUGAAUACCCACUUGAUACCUAUGGCAACUUUGUCCUUAGGCAGAAGAGCAGUCUCCCAAGUUUGAUUUGACUCUAAAGCAGAUAUCUCACAUUGUAUAGCUUUUCUCCAAUAGUCAUGUUUCACAGCUUCAGAAUAAGUGUUUGGCUCAACAUGCUAAGAAAAAGACAUAACAAAAUAUGUGUAAGAAGGUGAUAGAUUGUUACAAGACAAAACAAAAUUCAAAGGAUAUUUAACUCUUGAAGAUGUAGGGGAAACAUUAAGAUUACAAUGAUAAUCCUUGAAAUACUCAGGUGAUCUUUUUAUUCUUGUACUAAUUCGGACGGAUUGAUGUGAUUUAGAAUUUUGUUCUAUGUCAUGAUCUUCUUUGAGGCUUUGGUCUAUAUGGGAAGAAACUUCUUUUGGAACCUCAAUGUGUGACUCAUAAUUAUUAUUACUAUUAUUUUCACCAUUAUCACAAGGUGCAAUAAUGGCUUGUGAUGACUGACUCAAUACAGGUUGAGUUUCAGUAAAAAUAAUUUGAUCAUGAAUGUUAGGACUGUUAGUUUCAUUACUAGUAUCUUGAACCCUUUGAUAUGGAAAAACAUGUUCAUAAAAGACAACAUCCCUAGACACAAAAAAUUCUCUUGAUUGAAUAUUCAACAAAAUAUAUCUUUUUGUCCCUCUAAAACCAAUAAAAACAUAUUUUGAUGCCCUUGGAUCAAAUUUUGUUCUAUUUGUUGACAAAGUGCUAGCAUAACAUAAAAAAUCAAACACCUUUAAUCCAUUAAAAUCUGCUUCAGUUUUGUAAAGCGUUUCACGAGGAGAAGAAUAAUUUAAAACAGGUAUGCGAAGCAUGUUUAUAAUAUGCGCAACUGAUAAGUGUCUAAUUUCAGUAAUAUUUCAUAUUAAAAUAUAGGCACUUAUGAGGAUUUAUUGCUAAUUUACAUAUAAAAUAAUCCCUAAUUUAUGAAUUUAUACCUUUUUACAUUUUUUAUGAUCUUUAUUUGAAUAAGAGUAUUUUAUUCCCAAAUUUGGUGUUAAUUGCAGAUUUCUGAGGAAGAUUGGAGAUUUGGAUUAAAGAUGAAUGAUUUGAGCCAAAAAGAUAAAGAUAGAAGGUCCCAGAAUGAAAGAAAAAAAGAAAGAAAGAAAGAUUGGGCCUUUUUAUGUUUUAUCAUUUAGCCCAUUAGCGCGACACAAUAAACAACCUAACCCUAGAAAACUAGGAUAAAUAGAGGGCUAGAGGCUCAACCUCGGUGUGCCAGAUUGAGAGGAAAACACCAUAGAGUGAAUUGUAACCCAAUUGGGAGAAUGGAAGGUGAUAGAAGUAUGCGUGGCUAAUUCUACCCUUUGGGAUUGGGAGUAAUCUGCUCAAACUCUUAUGUAUUGAGGUGAUAUUUUAUAUAUUAAUAUUCAGUUCUUGAUUGAUUAUUGGUAUUGUUGUUUUACUUUUAAUUCUCCGUGACAAAUUGAGAAUCUUAAAUCUGACCGGGAGGUAUUUUUAGGGUUUGGACCUAAACAACAAUACUUAACAUAUUUGAGUGCUAGGAAUAGACUUGAAAUGUUAAUUGCUAUUAAACGUCUGAGCUUCGUUCUAAGUUGUUCUUAUAAGUAUGCGAGGGAUCGAUAGUUAGGGAACAUUCUUAAGGAUUUUAUAUGCGAGGAAUCGAUAUAAAUGAUUUUUAUACGGGCAUCAAUUUCAAUUAAAGAACUUAAUAUUAACAUGCUAAUCAAAAUACAUGAGAGUGAGAGAGAUGAAACUUAAUCCCAAUUUUUCCAAUUGAAGCAACUAAUUCUUUGUUUGUUUUCUUAUUAAUCAGUGCCAACAUAAUCACUUCAAACUCUUUUUUAUUGUUCUGUUGUUAUAUUUAGCGAAUAUUUUACUCGAUAAUUCACUGUUCUUUGUGGGAUCGAUAUCCGUCCUUAGGGACAAUUAUUACUUCUGACAAACGCGGUGCACUUGCCGUAAAAAGUCAUCAGCAACAUUUAUCACCAAAUAUGACCAAUAAAUUUUAGGUAAAUGAGGUUGUAUCAUGAGAGCUCUUGCUACAUUUAAUAAAUGACCAUGUUUCUUUUCAACUAUAUUAUUUUGUUGUAUUGACACAUGAUGUUUGAUGUACUAUUCCUUUAUUGACAAGGAAAUUAGUCAUGAAAAAUUCAGUCCCAUUAUCACUUAUUAUUUUUAUUGCUGUCUCAAAUUGUGUUUGAAAAAAAAACAACAAAAUUUUCCAAAACCUUGACAACUUCAGAUUUUUGUUUUAAAGGAAAAAUCCAUGUGUACCUCGAAUAGUCAUAAACUAUGAUGAAUAAAUAUUUAUAACCAUGAAUUGAUAGUAUUGAAUACGGUCCCCAAAUAUCUACAUGAAUCAAAUCAAAACAUUUAUUUAUUUAUUUAGAUGUACUAAUAGUAAAUGGAACUCUUUUUUGCUUUGCAAAAUGACAAACAUCACAAACAAAAGAUUUGUUAUAUUUAACAAAGGGAAAUUUAUUCUUGAUAACAUCAAUACAUUUAAUUGAAAUAUGACCUAAUCGAAAAUGUCAAAGAGUUUCUAGAUCACUAGCACUGACAUUAACAAUAUUGAUGGUGUGUAUAGAUUUGAUGUGUUUGAUUUGAAGUUUCUAGUAAGAUGGGAUCCUGAGUAUAUAAAGUCUAUCUUGUAUCUUAGCAGAGCCAAUCAUUUUCAAGGAGUUUUUUUCCUGAAUGUGACAACCCUUAGAGUCAAAGGUAAGAACAAAAGAUAGUUUAUCAAUCAAUUUUGCUACUAAAGAAGAUUAAAAGUGAAGCAAGGAAUAUACAAAACAUUGUCUAUGACAUGAUUUUGAUUGAGAAAAACACAUCCAAAAAAAUUAGCAAUGACUUUAUUUGCAUUUGGUAAUUUGACAGAAAUAGGAUUAAUUUGAUGAUAUGAAGUGAAAUAAGUUAAGGAUGAACAAAUGUGAUCAGUAGCAUCACUAUCAAUAAUCUAAGAACUGAAGGAAGAAAUAAAGUUAUUACCAGUUUGUGUUGUCAUGUUGUAAGGAAUAACAUCGACUUGAUUAGAAAUAUUGUCAUUGAAUUUGGCCUAUUGUAAAAGACUUAACAAUGUUUGAUACUGCUCAUAAGUAAAAAACCAAUUUGUUGAGACUCCACUUUUGACUUUGACUUUGAAAUUUCAUGAUUCUGCUCAUUAUUGUCAAAAUUUGUAUUAUGAAAAACUGCAUUAGUAUGACUUGAUCAUGGUUCUGAUUUUUAAACUUGAAAUGAGGUGGAAAGUCAUGCUUUUUAUGGCAUGUAUCAAUGAUAACAACAAUAAAAAAGAAUUAAAUUAAUGAAUUAAUUGAAGUGAUCUAACCCAUAUACAUAACUUUACGUGUAACAUUGUAUUUGUACUAAAAACUAACUCCAACAAAAUGCAUAUGACUCAAAUAAGAACCCAAAAAGAACCUUAGGACAACCCACAACCAUUAAUGGAGCCCUGCCUAUAUGGUACAUAUUCAUUCACAUACCACAAUGGUAAACAAGAGUAGAAAAAAUAAGACUAGAAGGUGUUAGUCAUAAGGCAUAAAUGUGACUCUGUAGCAACAACAGAAGCACAGUAACAAAACCAUAUGCAGAAGUAUAUCAGUGCAUGAACUAAUAACAUAUGUAGGAUGCAGAAGUAUAUCAGUGCAUGAACUAAUAACAUAUGUAGGAUUACAUGCAAACUUUAGUGCUCCAAGUUUCUCCAACUCCCUCCCACAACAAUAACACCCCUUGCUCUGUUAGAAUAAUGCACCUUUUGUACCAAAAUUAGCAUAUUCCUUACUUACAGUGGCCUUAGGCAUUUUUAUGAGAUAAAAUUGUAAUUGGUUAAGGAUUAAUGUGAUGGCUGGAGUUCGGCUUCUUUCUACACCAUUUUCACCAUAAUGUGGAACUUAAAAUGCUUUUCUUUACAAUUAUAUGUUAUUGUACGAGAGAUCUUAUGAAACAAAGCAAAUAAGGAAUUAUUAGCUGAUAUAAGAGAAGCUGCAUUUAAAAAAUAUGGCUGACUUAUUGUACUGAUAGGGAUUUCUUUAGUUUAAAUUAUAAUUUUGAUAAUAUUCGUCUUUUCCCCCUAAAUAAUCUCUUACUUCUUUCAACACGACCAUCACUUUAUUUACCCAUCACACACUUCCAUUUCAUGUUUAUAUUUCAAAGUUAAACAUAUUAAAAGAAAUGAGUACAACAAUUUUUGUUGUUUUUAUCUAACGAAAUAAUAUAUUGUAUAAUAAGACCAACAAGCACAAACUAAUGAGUUUACGAAGAAACCCUCUCUUUAGACAAGCAUGGUCUUAAUCUGAAAGUUUAUAUGCCUUAUGAUAACUUGUUGGGCCUGUUGCAUGAGUUUUGUGAGCGGGUAUUGAUUUUUUUUAAAUGAUUAGAACAUUCAUAAAGUGUCUCAAUUAAUUUAUUUUUUAUUUUUUUUUAUAAAAAAAACUUAGUAGCCUCGUAUUUGUAUAAGCCUUUGCGAAUUUGAAAUUUUUCUUCAAUUGGUGAUUUGAGAUUUGACUUCACGUAAAUAAUUAAAUAAACUAGUAGAAUCCAAAAUUCACUUUUUAACAAAAAUAAAGAACAAAAUAAAAUAUUUGCAUCCGUUUAAAAGAUGUCACUCUUUUAAUCAAUAAAUUUUUUAAUAUGCAUUUUUUAUUUAUAAAUAUAGAUUUUACAUAAGAUUUCAAAUAGAUUUACAAGCUUUAAUUUAUUAAAAUAUAUAAAUCGUUUUAAUCAAAUUAAAGUUGACUAAAUCUAUAACAAUAAUUUAGGUCGAUCUAAAUUUUGAAAACUAAAUAUAUGUUUACAAUACUUGAUAUUAGAAAACUAUAAAUCAUGAUGCCUUAAAAGCAUUUAUUUUAUAUUUAAUCAAUUUUCUUAACCAAUAAUAAUAAAAUAAAUUACCAAAUAUUAAUGAAAUAUAUAUUUAGGACAGAUAAAUAAAAUUUUUGAAUUGUCACCCUAGUUAAGAUGUCAAGUUGCAUAUUGAUGCUUAACAUACAAACUUUUAUAUAUAAAAAAAUUGUAAACAUAUUUAUAUAAACAAAAUUAACAUAACAUAUAUUUAAAAUAUAAAUUGUUUGAAUGUACAUAACAAUGUUUUUAAUUAUUAUAUAUAUUUUGACAAAUAUUUAGAAAUGUGACAAAUCAUAUUUAUUUAUUUUAAAUUAAAAAAUAAUAACAAAUUGAUGUUUUAUUAUAUAAUUAAUUAAUUUAAAACUACAUACAUUUACAGGUAUAAAAAAAUUAUUUAUAUGCAACAUUUUGAUGAUUUGUCUAACAUUUUGAUGGCCACAGAAGGUCCACUAUGCAACUUUGCCUUAAAAACUAAGUCAAAUCCUCCUUCGCCUAACUUCUCUUUAAAAUCUGCAGCCAUCUUCUUGAUUUCCUUGUAUGAAUAUCUAAUAGGUGCCAAACUAUUUUGUUGAAGGUAAUUUUCAAUAUUUUCAUACAUUGAGGUAUAUCUUUUUCUCCAUUUACAUAUAAAAUAAAAAUAAUAAUUAAGAACGGCAAUCCAAACAAAACUUUGUAAGUCCAUAAUAUAGAGAUAUACCUGAGUAUAUACCUGAGAAUCUCUGCAAUAAAUUUUUACUUUAGUUACACACUACAAAAUGCAACAAGGUAUUUAUUAAAUUAAAUUUUCGUUCAUAAAAUCUAAAUGUUACAUAUCCAUUUACUUAGUAACAUUACAUAAAAAAAAGUAAAUUUAAUGUUUAGCAUAAACAAUUAUCAAUAAAUUUAAUUUUUGAUAUUACUCUAAAUAAAUUUGCCUGUAACAUUAAUGUGUCUUAAGACCUAAUCCAGUGAUGGUUGUAAAAUAUAAAAAAAAAAAACAGAUUUUUUAAAUAAUUUAUUUGUUUUUAUAAACUUUUUAAAUUUAACUGGUGUUUCUCUAACUUUUUUAAUUUAUUGAAAAUCACAAUACUUUAUCUUUAAUGUAAUUAAUAUUUAUUAUUGGUUAUUAAUCUUUAUUUAUAUCACUUUAAUUAAAAUUUUGAUUUUUUAUAUUAGAUGAAGAAAAUUGAAGAUAAUAUUUAGACAAACUCAAACUGAUUUUUAAAAAAAUGUGAAGUACAUAAGUUUUUAAUUUUUUUUAUAAAAGUUUUCAUAUUAGGCAUCUUGGCUCAAGCAACAACAAUCAUCUGUCAUCAUAUGAAAAAAUAUUACAAAAAAAAAUUAAAAAAAUAUAUGAAAAACUAGACCAAAACUCAUAUAUGUUAACAAAACUUAUAAGUAGACUAUACCUAUUUAUAAAAAAUGUUAAGAUCAGACUAGAUGGAAGUCUAUCAUCCCAAUAAAAUGAUUAUUUAUGAAUAAAUUUUAAAUUAGUGAACUUAUCAACACAAUCAUUCUCUUCGUAAAAGAUAUAUGAAUAAUCUUAAAUAAGAAGUAAAUUAAGAUGAUAAAAUGUCAAUUUAAGGAUGUGUUGAAAAAAAAAAAAGACGGUGAGAUAAUAAAGGUUGUGUUCGAUUAGUAUAAAUCACAUGAAAGAUUAUAAUGUAAUUGUAACAACAAAUUGAGUCAAUUCGAUUGAGUUGAGUUAAUCGUGGAUUAGAUAUCAGGUAUAUGAAAAAUUUGUAAAAAGAAACUAGUAUGACAACUAAUUCUGGUAGGGUGCUGAUAUAUUAAUAUUUUGAACAGUAAAAACAUACAUUUUAUAUCUUAAUAUAUUUUUAUUUUAUUUUUUAAUUUUAAUUUAAAAAUAUUAUUAUAUUAUUAUAUUAUUAUUAACCAUAUCAAAUAUGCAUAUUAACAGUAAAAACAUUACUGUUGACGGUGUUAACAAAUUUUGUUGGAUCAUCUUUAAAAUAUUUUAUGUAACUUUUUAUUAAUUAUUUGCUAAUAAAAAAAAGCAUAAAUAAAUUAAGAUGCAAAAGUUCUUACCUGUUACUUUCAUUCUUAGUCGUACCAGUCUUCCUGUAUCACCGAAAAACGAAAGAAAAUAUAAAUUUCAGAACUGUUAAUCUCAACAACUAUACCAACAAAGCUAGUAUAUGCAUGACGUUUUUUUUACAAGCAGCUUGUGUGCAUUAGUUCUAACAAAUACAUGUAAAAUAUAAAAAUUACAAAUUAAGAAUGGGAAUCCAAACAAAAUUUUGUAAGUCCAUACCAUAAAGAUAAUAAAAAUGACAAUUCCUGCAAAAAAAAUUUACUUGAGUGAUUAUACUGAUACUGUAAAAUGCAACACAGUAUUUAUUAAUGUAAAUUUUCGUUCAAGAAUGCAAACUUUACACAUCCAUUUACUUUGUAAAAUUUCAAUAAAUAAAUAAAUUUAAUGUCUAGCAUAAAAAAUUAUUAAUAGAUUUCAUUUUGUACGUUGCUACUAUGUAGCACAGACACUGACACAGACAUUGAUACGACACGGACACAAAGAUACGUAUAAUAUCUAAAAUGUAGAACACGGGGACACGAAUCUAUAGAUUAUAUAAUUAUGAAUUAUAUAAAUUAACAAUAAAGAUUUAUGUGCACAAGUAUGUUCUAAAUUAUUUUUUGGAGCAGAAAAAUGUUUUUCAUGACUGGUUCAAAAGAAUUUGUUUCUUAUUUUUAUAAUCAUAAUAAAAAUUUAUACAAUAAGUUUGAGAUUUUAAAAAAUUAAUGUAUUUUUUCUUUUUAAAAUUGUGUUAGAACCGUACUAGAACUGUUAGAAAUCCAAUAAAUACUUUUUGAAUUAGACACUUCACGGUACGUGUCAUAUGAGUGUCAAUGUCCGAUAUGAGUAUUCGACACCAACACGUCACUUAAGAGAAAUGUUUGAGUUUCACAGCGUUUGCUAAAGUAAACUGUGUGGAACAUUAAUGUGUCCUAAGACCUAAUUCAGUGAUGCUUGUAUAAUACAAACAUAUUUUUAAAAUAAAUUUCUUUAUAAACUUUUAAAUUCAUUGUGUUCCUCUAUAACCUCUUUAAUGUAUUAAAAUCACAAAUUUUUAAGUUAUUAACAUUUUAUAUCGGUUAUAAAUUAUCUCAAUAACCAGACAAAAAAGACUUUGCAUUUUGAAGUUUUGAUAAAGGUUGUGUUGGAGUAAUAUAAGUCACAGUGUACUCUCUUUUAUCCCUAUAUUCAUUGUUUAAUGAGGAAAUUGUGAUAAUAUUUACAACAAAGUUUUACUUGAGAGAGUAAACAUCACUGUAAAUAGUCAUUCUAUUACACCGUUAAUGUAAAAUGCAAUAAGCUAUAUACUAUUUGGUUAAAGAAAAAAUUAGUUUCUGAAAUAAAUAUCAUUCGAUUUGGUCUUGGAAGAUGAUAUCUAUAAGAAAAUUUUCUUUUAUGAGAACAAAUUGACUAAUGGUUGUCAAAGUUAAGAACUAAAUUUAUUAAUAAUUUUGUUUCAUGUGGAUUAAAAUCAACAAUUAUGCAAACUUUACAGGGACUACUUUUAAUUGUUUUAUAUUAUUUAAAUUGGCUAUAUUAUGCUACAUAUGUUACGAAAUCAUUUGUUAAAGUUAUACACCUAAAUAUAAUUAAUCUACAUUGAUUAUUUUACGUAGCGUAUUUUCGUUAAUAAAUUAAUAUUAACAAUCGGACCUAUGUAAUGAUGUUUUAUUAUAUAAUUAAUUAAUUUAAAACUACAUACAUUUACAGGUAUAAAAAAAUUAUGUACAACCAAGUAUGCUACUAAAUAAGGACGUCAUAUAGUAUCAAAACUAAUUCUUAUUACUAUUAUGCUAAAUCAAGUCAUUUACUAUUAUUGAAAAAAUGUGCUGACUCUUUUAUAAAUAAGCGUAACUUUAUAACGAUGAAUGGUUGUAUAAAAACUGUAAUCAAAUAUCUAAAACAAUGAGAGUUUGUAUUAAGACAAUUAUGUUUUAAAUUUAACUUAAAUUGAUUUAUUAAUAUGAGAUUUGUCUUAUUUAUAUAUUAUAAUUUAGUUAAUGAUAUGAUAUCUCCAACACGUCUCUUUCACGCUCACAACAUUGUGCAUUCGUAUAAAAGACAUCAAACACGGGAAUUGAAGGUAGUCCAAUAACGGUUAGCACGGAAAUGAGCUUUGAUACCAUAUUAUGAUAGUUUGCUCCACUUAUAUACUAUAAUUUGAUCUUAUUUCUAGUUGAUGUGAAAUCUCCAACAAUUUGGUUAAAAUUUAUUUUAUUGUCAUCUUCAAAACAAUGGUUAAAAUAUAAACUACAAGAAAAUCAUUAAAUAGAAACUAAUUUUAGAGACAAAAAAUAAUUAGUUAUUAUAUUAAAUACAAUUUUAGAGACUGGAAAAAUUAUUGUAUCUAAAGUAGUUUCUAUUAUUGAUAAAUAGUUUCUAAAUGAGUAUCUAAUUAGUUACCAAGAUUUAAGUUAGCAACUUUAGAAUCUAUAAAUAAUUGGUAGCUUAAACCUUAUUAGAUACCAAUUUAGAAACUAUUUAUCAAUAAUAACAAUUACUCACCAAUAAACUUUUUAUUCUCUAAAAUAAUAUUUAAUUUAAUUAAUAUAAUAACUAAUUAUUUUUUGUCUACAAAAUUAAUUUUUAUUUAAUAAUUUUUUAGUAAUGAGAAUCAUCGUCGAAAAUAUUAAAUAACAAUGGUUACAACAUAUAGUUAUCAUCAUAUGUCUAUUAAUAUACUCAAAUCAUACCAAUGCAAAUCGUUCCAUUUUGCAAUGUGCUUCUAAUGUUUUCUUCUUUUUCAUUGUGUUGCUUUCAUCAUCGAUACUCCUUCGUAUUUGUGCUAGUAAAGAAAAUUUACUUUUAUAUCUAGUACAUUGACCUUAUAUAUGUUAAGUUUUUCUCAUGUAGGAAUGAUAGACAUGAAUGACGCCUAGGGAACAAAAGGAAAACGAGACAUCUCAUAUUUCUCCACACAUUUUUCAGUAAACUUUAGCAACACUAGCACAAAAUGUAUAAACAACGACUAUUUAUUUAAUGCGGUUUUAGGGUUAGCGCUGUCAUUCAAAACGUGGUGUCAUUUUUUAAAUUAAUUUCAUUUACGAAUGCGGCUAUUUGUAAUAGUCGCAUUCUUAAAUCAAAGCGCAUGAUUUAAAUAGCCACAUUCGUAAAUCAAAUUGCAUGAUUUAAGAAUGCGGCUAUUACUAAUAGCCGCAUUCUUAAAUAAUUUUUUACCCUAAUUUUGAAGCGCGUCACUUACGCUUUCAUACUUUCUUCCUUUUUGGCGUUUCGCGUUUUCUCUUUGUUUCUGCUCUGGUGUUCCUCUCUUCUGCGAGUUUCAUUGAGUUCUCGUACCAAUGUAAGUUCGUUUCGAUUCGCUCUCUUUCUUCUUCACCAAUGGUUUAUAAAUUUUCUUCGUUUCAUUUAUUUGUUUGUUUUCUUGCAUUGGCGAAUGGUUCUCUGACGCUUCAUUUUCUCUUUUGUUUAUGCUCUCGUGCUUCCUCUCGUUUUCUACGAGCCUUCAUUGUCUUCUUUGUGCCAUUGUAAGUUCUUUUCGAGUUCUCUUUCUUCUUCACAAUUGAUUUAUAUAUAUUUUUUCGUUUCUCUCAUCUAUUUGUUUUCUUGUAUUGACGAAGGUCACCAACUUCAUUGCCUGCUGCUUGGAUUUUUGUUAUGUCGUAUUUGCUCCGUAGUUGCUGCUGCCACCGCUAUUGCUGCCUUAGGGUUUUAAUUUUUUUUUUUAAAUGAAAUAAGAAUGCGACUAUUUACCAUAGCCGCACUUGUAAAUCUUCGAUUUAAGAAUGCGUGUUGAUCAAGUGCGACUAUAUAACCGCCCUUGUACAUGUAAAAUAGCCGCACUAGUGCAAGUAUGAUAUGUGGAAAAUCAUCCAAAGUUGGAAAAGAGUUAGUGAAGUGUUCAUAGUUAGGAAACUAAAUGAUAGAGGACAAAUAUUUGACUUUGUGAGAUUUAAAGAGGUUGUGAAUGAAGUAGAAUUGGAAAAAUGACUAGGUGAAGUCUCGAUAGGAAAUAUGGAAAGUCACAUAGACCAAAAUUUGACCGAGAAUUAAUUUUAGGGUUUAGACCUAAACAUCAAUACUUAACAUAUUUGAGUGCUAGAGAUAGACUUGAAAUGUUAAUUGCCAUUAACAUCUGAGUGUGAUUUCUAAGUUGUUUUUAUAAGUAUGCGAGAGAUCGAUAUUUAGAAAACAUUCUUAAGAAAUUUAUAUGCGAGAGAUCGAUAUAAAUGAAUUUUCUACGGGCAUCAAUUUCAAUCAAAGAACUUAAUAUUAACAUGUUAAUCAAAAUACAUGAGAGUGAAAGAAAUGAAACUUAAUCCCUAUUUUUCCAAUUGAAGCAACUAAUUUUUUGUUUGUUUUCUUAUUGAUCAGUGCGAACAUCAUCACUUCAAACUCUUUUUAUUGUUCUGUUGUUAUAUUUAGCGAAUAUUCUACUCGAUAAUUCACUUUUCCUAGUGGGAUCGAUAUCCGUCCUUAGAGAUAAUUAUUAUUUCUGACAAACACGGGGCCCUUGCCGUAAAAAGUCAUCAGAUAUUUGUGUAGUAGUUUUGUUAAUGAGGUUCUUUGAAUUUCUAAGACCACCCUAAAUUGUUCUUUUUGGAAGCUUAUAUUAAUAUGCUUUCGAAAAAUAAUUUUAAUGAUAUUCAUUGUUUAGUGGUAAUGUAACACCAUCUAAUGCUUUUGGCCAUUUAAGAGGUAUUGUAGAUCAUCUAGGUUCUAGUGAGAUUGUCUAGUUAGUCCUGUAACAAGGCUAUCUAGCCGUUUUGCUAUAUUUUUUUUAUUUUUUUUAUAUGUUUAUCUGUUGUAAUCUUAAGAAUGUGUGCAUCUCAUACUUUGUUUUCCAAAAUAUUUUGUUUUCUUCUUUUGUUUUUUUCUCUUACUUGUGCUUUUGUUUUAUUAAUCCGUGUGACCACUAUAAGAAAAUCAUCAAAUAGAAACCAAUUUUUAGAAACCAAAAUAAUUAGUUGCAAUAGUAACUAAAUUAGAGACCAUUUUAGAAACUAAAACAAAAAUUGGUUUCUAAAUUAGUUUCUAUUAUUGUUAAAUAGUUUCUAAAUUGGUAUCUAAUUAGCAACCAAUGUUUUAUCUACCAAUUAUUUAGUUUCUAAAUUUAGUCUCUAAAACCUUGGUUGCUAAUUAGAGACCAAUUUAGAAACUAUUUAACAAUAAUAGAAAAUAAUAGAAACUAAUUUAGAAACCAAUUUUUGUUUUAGUUUCCAAAAUGGUCUCUAAUUUAGUUACUAUUGCAACUAAUUAUUUUGGUCUCUAAAAAUUGGUUUCUAUUUCAUGAUUUUCUUGUAGUGGACUAUGCGUGUGUCAUGAAUUACGAUUUUUAAUAUGCUAGCAGAGUAGGUUGAAUAAUUAUUUUCUAUUCUUUUUCUUUUUUGUUGAAUAAUUAUUUUCUCUUGUGGGCUAUUUUCUUCUUGUUGCCUUUCUUGUUGUCUUCUUCAUGUAUUUUUAACAUAAUACAGAAAACAAGGUUUUGUGAUACAACACUAAGAACUGCAGCUACCUAUUCUAUCAUUAAUUAUGGUUAUGGCUACUAAAUACUAAGAUUACUAAACUAGGAUUAAUUAUAAACUUUUUUUUUCUAUUUUCAGAAUAGGUCACUUAUAUAUGUGAUAUUUAGGUUAACAUAGUUUGUUGGACAGUAUGUUAUUGGACCUAUCCUAACAUUGUGUUACGAAUCUUUGCAAUAAUCUCGCAAGCUCAUAUUACUUGCAUCUUGGAAAAAUUUUUGGAACUGCAUUUAUCUCUUCUCAACUCAAUGGAAAAAAUCCCUUCGCAUAAAGGGCAAAUUGUGGUAAUAAAGUUGACACUUCUCCUAGUUAAGUUUGAUCUUGUUGUACUUAUCCCACCAGAACCCUCUAAGAGAAGGUAUGAGCAUUCUGGAGUGCUCUAACAUUCUAAAAAAAUUGAAUAAAGUAUUGUCAACACUCACAUAGGUAUUCUUUUAAUAUAGCAUAUGAUGACUUGAAAUAGAGAAUAACCUAAGGGAUUUUUGUUUAAGGGUCACCUCUCCUAACCAUCCUUUAAAUAAGUGAUUGAUAGAUGUUAUUUAUUGACUUAUUUUUCUAAAUGCCUUUUGUGAUGUUAUAGGUAAGUUCAGAUAUUAAGCCUUUAAGGCUCGAUCCGAGGCUUAGUGGGUUGUGUGGCGUUAUGGUAAGUUUCGAUAUUAAGCCUUUAAGGGUCGACCUAAGGCUAGUGGGAUAUAUGGCAUUAUAGGUAGAUUUUGAUAUAUAUAACGAUAAUUUGUUUUGAAUGAAGCAAAUCCUAGAAAAAGUCCUACGAUUAUAUAUUUAAUAGAUGAAUAUCAUUAAUGUCUCCUAAACAUUUAAGACAGUUUAAGUCAAGAAUAAAGUGUUAUAAAGGUACUUUUGACAUUUAAUAGUGAAUAAAAAGACUUAAAGUAGGACAAAAUACAAGGAAUUUGGAGGAUCAAUAUAGCAUAAAAAGGAUAUAUAAGGUCAGAAAAAGGCAGAAAAAAAACUGAGGGUGAAUUAUUUUCGCAAUACUGAGUCAUAUUGAAAUUUGAAUAAAAUCAACUAAUUGAUUUAUCUGUUUAACUAAUUAUAAAAAGCACAAUAAGUAUAUAUUCAAAAAUUAAACUUGUUGUUACGAGAACUCAACCAAUUGAUUUAAACGCAAAAAGUAGAAAGUUAUUGAUAAAACAGAUACUAGAGAGUAAGAGAGAGAGAGCGAUUGCACAUGAGAUUUAUAUCACUACAAAAAAAAAUAUUAUCUAUGAAGUUUUACCCACGGAUCUGAAUCCAUAGGUAAUUUCAACAUUACCUAUGGAUAUUACCAUGGAUAAUAUUACUUACGGACAUUACCCACAGAUUUUGAAUCCGUAGAUAAAUUCAGAGUUACCUACCAACUAUUAUUCAUGGAUCUUAUUACCUAUCAACUUUUAUCUACGGAUCUCUAUUACCUACCAACUAUUAUCCACAAAUCUCUAUUACCUACUAACUAUCACUCACAAAUCUCUAUUACCUACCAACUAUUAUCAUAAUAAUUAUAUAAAUAAUAUUAAAAAUAUUAUUAUAAUAUGAAUAAUUAUAAAAUCAUAAUUAAUAUUCAUAAAUAAUAAUAAUCAUAACUAAUAAGUACACAUAUUAUUAAUAUUAUAAAAUUAAUAAUAUUUAUAUAAAUAAUAUAAUUAGUAUUAUAUUAAUAAUACGAAUAAUAUUAUUAAUAAUAAUAAUAUUAGUAAUAUUAAUAGUAUUCAUAAUAUAACAAAAUUAAUAAUAUUAGUAAUAAUAACAUUAAUAAUAUAACUACUAUUAAUAAAAUUGAUAUUAUUUAUAAUAUUAAUAAUAUUUAAUAAUAUUAAUAAUAUUUAAUAAUAUUAAUAAUAUUUAAUAAUAUUUAAUAAUACUUGUAAUAUUUAAUAAUAUUAAUAAUAUUAAAUAUAUGAAUAAUUUUAUUAAUUUUUAUUUUAUUAAUUAUAUUAAUAUUGAUAAUCAUACUAAUAAGUAUAAUAAUAAUCAUAAUAUGACAACAAAAUUUGAUUGGUGUAAUGGUUAAAGUUUUUUUGGACAUUCCGAUAUAAUAAUUGGCAAACAAUAAUAUUUGUAAAUAAUAAUUGAAAAAAAAAAGAAAAAAGAUUUAAAUAAUAAUUAAAAAUUUAAAAAUAAAGAUAUUGAAUUACCUAUGGACACAUUACCUACGGACUGGAGUUGUUGGAUAAGUGCAAGAAUGAUCCAAGAAGCAAACUCGUUGUUUCUUGGACACAUUAUGGACACAUUAUGAAAAUCGUUGUUUGAAAUAACCAGAUUACAUCUUUAUAUUAGGUAAUAAUGAUUGUAAAAUUGUAAAAGCAGUUUGAUCAUUUAAUGAAAAUAUUUGUUUCAAUUAAAAAUGGAUUGGUUAAUAUAACAGAAUUUUGUUUAAAACAUUUAAUUUUUUUUGAAAUAUCUCAUUAUUUUCUUUAAGUUCAACUGAUUAAUACAUGAAUCAACUCAUUAAAAUAGAGAGAUUUAGAAAAUAAAACUUUGCAAAGAGAUUACUAUUGAAGUAAAUUGGAUCAUAAUGUAAUGCGAAGUUAUACAUAAAAAGCCAUGUUUACUGAACUUCAACCUCUAGAAAGCAAUAACACAUGGUAGAUGGUUUCUCUUUUACCGGAGCACAAACCAAUCGACUGUCGCUGGAUACAUAAAAUCAAGUAUAAUUUUGAUAGGACCAUUGAACGAUAUAAAACUCGUUUGGUCGCCAAGGGCUUCACCGAGGUUGAAGUUGUAGACUAUAAGGAAACUUUUUCUCCUACUGCCAAGCUCACCACUCUUCGUUGUUUAUUAACUGUUGCUUCCCGCAACUGGUAUACUCAUCAACUUGAUGUGCAAAAUGCAUUCCUUCAUGGGAAAUUACAAGAAGAGGUGUAUAUGACUCCACCUCCUGGUCUUCGCCGACAGGGGUAGAAUCUGGUAUGUCAGCUUCACAAAUAUAUUUAUGGUUUAAAACAAGCAUCACAAAAUUGGUUUUCAACUUUUGCAACUAUGGUUAAAUCUACUGGUUACAUAUAAUCAAAGGCAGAUUAUUCCCUUUUUACUAAAUCUCAAGGUAAAAAGUUUAUUGUUAUUCUCAUUUAUGUUGAUGACAUCUUGUUGACGGGUAAUGAUUUACAUACAUGAAAUCAAGCUGCUCAAAAAGUCAUAUGCACAAACGUUUUCUUAUUAAAGACCUCGGUGAAUUGAAAUAUUUUUUGGGGAUAUAAUUCUCUUGUAACAAAAGAUGGAUUUUUAUGUCUCAAAGAAAAUAUGCAUUGGAUAUUUUACAAGACACAGGAUUAUGAGGUGUGAAGCCGGAAAAAUUUCCAAGUAAAACUUGAAAUUGAAAAAUGAAGAUGGCAAAAUACUUGAUGAUUUGAGCAAGUAUCAGAGACCGGUUGGAAGAUUAAUAUACUUUACAAUUACUAGACCUGACAUAGUAUAUUCAAUACACACCCUUAGUUAAUUCAUGAACACACCCCGAAAGCCUCAUUGGGAAGCAACAUUGUGGGGGGAAGCAGCAUUGCGGGUUCUUAGAUAUAUUAAAGGGACAUCAGGUCAGGGUCUUUUUUUACCAUUUGAAAAUAAUUUAACUCUUAAUGCAUACUGUGAUUCAGAUUGGGGAGGAUGUCGUACUACAAGGUGUUCUAUUUCUGGUUACUGUAUUUUUCUCGGAUCACCACUUAUCUCUUGGAAAUCAAAUAAACAAACAAAUGUAUCACAUUCAUCGGCAGAAGCAAAAUACAUAUCAAAGGCAAAUACUUGUCUGGGAAUUGGCUUGGUUGAGAUAUAUACUUCGUGAUUUGACGGUUGAAUUGCACAAAUCGACUUCGUUAUUUUGUCAUAAUCAAGUAGCUUUACAUAUUGCAGCUAAUCUAGUUUCUCACGAACGUACAAAACACAUUGGGAUUGAUUUCCAGAGAAAACUUCAAGCAGGUGAGAUUCAUUCAUGUUAUGUUUCUAUAAAGAUGCAAUUGGCAAACAUUUUUUCAAAAGGGCUUGGUAGAGAGCAAUUUGAAUUUUUAUGCGGCAAGUUGAGAGUUCUUGAUUUGCACUCUCUCCAAUUUGAGAGAGAGUAUUAAGAAAUAUAUCAAUUAUCAUAUGAUAUUAUUAGUCAUUAUAUGAUUUAAUCAGUUAUAAAGAAAAAAAUAUAUCAGUUAUCAUAUGAUAUAAUUAGGUAUUAUGUGACAUACUUAGUUGAUUGAAUAAACAUAAUUAGAUUUUAUAUUACACUCUUUCAAUUCAUUCAAUUGAAAUCUAUAUGUACUGGUAUGGGCGAGACCGAGAUUCGGUCACCCUGACCGAGACUCUGGCUCGCUGAUCGAGACCGAGGAAACUUGACCGAGACCACAGAAACUUGGCCAAGACUAGGGAAAUCAUCAUGGUCAGCCUGGUCGACCGACCCAUACACCCAUUAACACUCAAACCAAGGUCAGUGAAGCUAAUCCGUCAUUAAGGAUUAGGUAAUGCAACCCUAAGUGAGAUCCACUCCACUAAUCAGACUCAAUAAAGUAAGUCCAUUAAAAUAAUAUAAAUAGCACACAUCCCAAGAACAAAGGUACGUCAUUUAUUACUGUUCACCUACCUGAAUACUGAUCACUCGCUUUACUAACUUGAGCAUCGGAGUGUCUUCGCAGGUACCACAUUCGGUGUUCGUCCGAGACCGAGUGCCGAAGGAGAAGCACGAGGACGAGAAGAACCCCAACUCAUCACCGAGUGACCUGCCUGAUCGAAGGAAGGAGAGGAAGACUUCAAUAGUUCUUUAGGUCUCAUCUCCCUAGCAGGAACACUAUCCUUCUUGGCUAGAACACGUCCAUCAUUUUUUUUUGUUAUUCUAAUUUUUUGAACGCGUUCUACUUAAAUAAAUGGAGAAGAAAAGUGUGGUGGUGGACACCAAUAUGCAGUGGUGGAAAAGGUCCAUGAACGACCACAAGAGUUUCCCCACCAGAUUAUCUCUCACUUUUGUCAAGUGAAUGGAUAAUUGCAAUAAAAUAUUUAGAUAUAUAACUUUAAAAUAUUCCAUGAAGUGUGCUCAUUAUACUAUAAUAAGACUACAAUUGACAAGUUUUAGAGUGCAGACCUUAACACUUCAAUCACUAAAAAAAAGGUUUUUAAUAUUUCAACAAACUUAUAAUGACAGCUUGAGAAUUAUAUUGGUUUAAUUUUGUUAGAAAACACACAUAAUAACAUCAAUUACAAUCAUUGUUGUUUUUUUUUACAUACAAUACAAUGACAAUUACUUUUAUAACUAUCGUAGUUUAGUUAAUAUUCGAUAAAAGUUAUUUUUAAAAUUGUCACAAUUAUCUCUUAAUAAGUAUUUUUCUAAUAUUUUUUACAAUGGUUCUAGGUAGUAGAGAUGCGAUGAAAAAUCGUAUACUAAUCACCAUCACCAUUGUUUUGUCUUAAAUAUUUUGUUUUCUUACUUUUUAUUAUGAUGGAAGUGACAUGAUUUUUACCAUAAUUAUAUUAUGUUAAUUGUACAUACUUUGCAGAUUUUAAACAUUCGUAUUAAAAAAAAUAUCAGACAUACAAUCCCAUUCAUAUUUCACAAUUCUUAUCACUUUUCACUUCAAAAACAAUUAUAAAUAAACAGUCUUAACAGUUACACGAGUUGAUUUACAAAUCAAUUACAAGAAAUCUCACCUUAUUAUAGAGACAGAUAAAUAAACGAGUUGAUUUACAAAUCAAUUAGAACAAAUCUCAGUUUAUUAUAGAGACAAAUAGAGACAAUCUAAUAACAAUGUUAGAUCAUCCAGGUAAAAAAAAUCAUGACAUAAAAACCAAUUUUAGAGACACAAAAUAAUUAGUUCUUAUAGUGACUAAAUUAGAGACCAUUUUAUAAACUAAAAAAAAAUUGAUUUCUAAAUUAAUUUCUAUUACGGUUAAAUAGUUUCUAAAUUUGUAUUUAAUUAGCUACCAAGGUUUUUGCUACCAAAUUUAGAAUCUAAAUUGGUAGUUAAAACCUUGGUAGCUAAUUAGAUACUAAUUUAGAAACUCUUUAAUAAUAAUAGAAACUAAUUUAGAAACCAAACAUUUUUUUAGUCUCUAAAAUUGUCUCUAAUUUAAUCACUAUAACAACUAAUUAUUUUUUAUUCUAAAAUUGAUUUCUAUUUCAUGAUUUUUUUUUAUAGUGUAGGUUCUCUUCUAGAUUGCUCAACUUGAUGUUACAUCCAAAUAAACCUUUCCCAACUUUGAAGAAAGGAUUAGCAAUAUUACAAAGAUUCAAACUAAAACACCUUAUAUCAUAUUGAAAAAUAGCUCAAAACAGUAAUAGCAGACAAACACAAGUAGCUAGUAUAGAUAAAAAAAAUAUUAUGUAGAACACCAUGGUACAAACGGUAAAAAAAUUCUCUUGCUAUUUGAUUGUUUUAAGGUAUUGAUUAGGGAACAAUAGCCUGACUGAAAAGGAGAAAAUAACAGCAGGUAGUUUAUAUUUCAUCCAUAACUAAGCCUUUAGCUGAACCAUAAGUACCAAUUCUUCUUCAUCAACGUUUCCAUCUCUAGACACCAUUAUGUUCUUAUAAUUUCAUAUACUCAAAAUCAAUGUUAUCCACAUAAGUUUUUAACCUGGUUUUGCUUUUUUCUUUUUUUCAAGUGUAGCAGUUGAAACUGCUCAAAGUGAACAAAAAUAUUGUUACGUUGGAGUGACUGAAUUCUCACCUAAUGUGUUCCAAGCUAAAAAAACUACCUUACAUUCUAGAAAUAAAGGAGAGUUUGAACAAAUAACUCUCAAUUCCAAAGGAUAGAAUUAGUCACUCAUGUUAAGUAUUACAAGCAUGGAGAGCAAGAAAAGAAAAUCUAAGAUGUUUCUCCUUGACGGAUGUCUCCUCUAGGGUUUCUAACACCUUCUAUUCUCCCAAUGAAUUUCCAAUUCACUCAAUGUUGUCUAGGGUUGUGCUUCAAGCCUCAUAUUUAACCUAGUUGAGUUUGGGCUAAGUGACUUCUCUCUUGGGCAUUAUUGGGCUCACCUGGGCUAGUUGCAUGAAAACAGGUCCAACGUCACUGAAGUGAUCUCGCUUGGGCGACAUUGAGCUCCCUUGGGCGAGAUCCUUUAGGAGCUUCUGGCUUGGGCGAGCUUGGGUGAGUACUAGUGCGUUCCAACUUUCCCAUUUUAUCUUUGUAUAUUCUCUUUUUGCCCUUUCAUCUCCAUUCUUCUCUAGAAUCAUAGAAUUAACACAAAUUUGAGAAUCAAUUGUUCUCAUCCAAAUUAAAAUCACAAAAUAUGUAAAAAGAUUUAAAUUAAUAAAUUAGGAGUUAUUCUAUCAAUUAAUAUCCAUAAGUGUCUGUAUUUUAAUAUGAAAUAUUACUGAAAUCUGACACUUAUUAAUAGAGAUAAAAACUUUUACAUAGUAUAUAGUGGGUGUAAAUCUCACCUUAUAAGUUAGUUUUAUAAGGUUCAAUUUGAGCUUAAAGUACACUUCUUAAUAUGGUAUCAGAGUCAUUUAAAGUCUAUCAUAGUGAAAUUUUGUUGGGCCUAUGAGGUCAUUCGCUAUUGGGUCACCCAUAAAUAUAUAGUUUAACGCACAAGUUAGGAAGUCCCGACGUGAAAGAAUGUUGGAGCUCUUACGUUGACUAGAGAUAAGGAAUUUUCAUAAUAUAUAAGUGGAUGCAAACCUCACAUUAUAAAUUGAUUUUAUAAGAUUGAGUUAAACUUAAAAUUCACUUCUUAAUAUAAAAAGUGAAAAAACUAAAGUCGUGAUCCAACACAACUUCAAAAAUCAAAAGCAAAAAUAGUAUAGAACAUAAUGAUUUCAAUAAAAAAAAUUUAAAAAUAUAAUGAGAAAAUCGUACUUUGAGUGAUGACUUACUUAUUUUUAUAAAAAAAAAGUAAAAAUUUCAAAUACUUUAAAGAAUGGUACCACUACAAGAAAAUCAUGAAACAGAAACCAAUUCUUAGAGACCAAAAUAAUUAGUUGCAAUAGUAACUAAAUUAAAGACCAUUUUAUAAACUAGAAGAAAAAUUAAAAAUUGGUUUCUAAAUUAGUUUCUAUUAUUGUUAAAUAGUUUCUAAAUUGGUAUCUAAUUAGCAACCAAGAUUUUAACUACCAAUUAUUUAGUUUCUAAAUUUGGUCUCUAAAACUUUGGUUGCUAAAUGGAUAUAAUUGAAACUAAUUUAGAAAUCAUUUUUUUUUAGUUUAUAAAAUGGUCUCUAAUUUAGUUACUAUUGCAACUAAUUAUUUUGGUCUCUAAAAAUUAGUUUCUAUUUCAUGAUUUUCUUGUAGUAUACCAUUAAUUUCAGUAAAAAAAAAUCUUGGAUUGUAUACAUUUUAUAUUUUGAAAGGUAAAUUGAUUUCUUCAUUUUAUAUUAACUAAAAAAUUUCUUAUUAACUAAAAAAAUAUAUAUUUAUAUUACAAAUAAGUAAGAUAACAGUUAUAUCAUUGUGAAUGUAAAAAUAAUUAAAACUUAUGGAAUUGAAAGAUAUAAACAUAUUUUAAUACCAUUAAAACAUAAUUUUUUUAAUAGAGAUUCAAUUUGAAAAUACCUAAAUUAAUGAGGAGUUUAAAACUUAACUAAAUCUAGAUUUUAAUUUCACAAGUAUUUAUUUAUAAUUUUAAAAUAUAUACACGUAAGUUUAAUUUUCAUUUAUUUUAUAAAUAAUUAUUUUCCUGAUAAAUGAUUUUUUUAUCAUUAAUUUAAUUGAUAUAAAUGUGUGGAUACAUUUAACGUACCAUUAUAAACUCUUCAAUAUUAAAACAAAGUUGUUGUGAAAAAAAAAUUUAGAGUAUCUAUUUUCUUGAAAAAAUCAUUUAAUGUAAAAUAUUUGGAUUAAAACUUACUAAAUAUUACUCAUUUGGUCAUUGGAAAAGUUAUGCAAUCCAACACAUGGAAAAUAGAAAAGACAAGUAUUUUCUACAACAAAAUUGUAGAAUGUCACCAUGCAUAUUCAGGUAGAAUGAUAGUUCAUGAUUUCGCAUUUGCAAACUUUGGAACAAAAUAAUAAAUUUAGUAACUCAUUUGUUCUAAUUGUUGGAGAUCUCACAUCGACUAGAGAUAAGGACAUUUCAUAAUAUAUAAAUGGGUGCAAACCUCAUCUCAUUGAGCCGGUUUUAUGGGGUUGAGUUAGGCUUAAAGUCCACUUUCGUAAUAUGGUAUCAGAGCUGGCUGCAUAACGUUCAUCUGAUAAAAAUAAAUCAAUAAUUAUUAUUCAAUAUAUGAAUUAUUUCUACAUAUAUUGUUAUUUGACUGCGUCAAAUAUAUACUUGCAGAUCAAGUGUUUAUAUAAGACAAACAUGUGAAACUCAUUAGAAUUUGUGGUUCAAUAAAACUUAUUAAUACGGAUAUUAAUGGAAAAAUGUUCUUUUCGCCACAGGUCUACAUGUGGUGGAACUUUGACUGAGUAAUAAUACAGAGAGGUUAGGAAAAAGAAGAAAAUAAAAGAAAUUAUAAGUUAAUGAUGAUGAGGAAGAAGCUUCGCAACAUGGGUUGUCGUUGUCUGAUGAAAAGAACAUAUGAAUUGAUGUCGAAUUAGAUAUAUGAUUUAUUCAAAUUCAUUUAGGUCUACCAAGUCAAGGUUGAGUGUGGGUUAUGUUUUCUACACACAGUAAUGAGUGAACUUCUUCCAAAUUUAAACCUGCAUUAAGCUUCCUGUCACAAUCUUAGGUCCACACUCUCCUUUAUCACACUAAUCAAAAAAAUCAAAACAUCUUUCAGACUUUUAAUAAUACUUUUACGGUAUAUUUGUUUUCAGGCAAAAAUAAAACUAGAAAUCACAAAAAUUAAUGUAUUUUUAUUUCUUCAAACUUUCUUAAUUUUGUUUAAAGGGAUUUGCUAUAUACUGAUUAUAUAUAAAAAUUAUAUUUUAAUAUAUAUAUAUAUAUAAUACUUAAUAUAUAUUUUUAUAUUAUAAUAAAUAAAAAAUAAAAAAUAAUUUUAAUUAUUAAGAUGUAUCAUUAUUAUUAUUUUUUAUUUUUUAAUCUAUUUUAAUUCUAAUUUAUCUUUCUAAAUUUUUUAUAUUAAAUUUUUUAUAAUCAUUUUAAAUUUAUUAUAUCUAUCAAGUCAUUCACAAAUUUUUCUUUCACUUUUUAUUCUCUUUCCCUCAAUCCAAACUAUCUCACUUUUCACUUUUUUUUUUUCACUCCUUCAAAUUCAUUCUUUGAUGAAAACAAAGCAUUAGUGUACAUGUACGUUCAACUGAUAAAAAAAAAAUCAAUGAUUAUUAAUUUCAAUAGGAAGGUUAGAAGUUGAAAUAUGUCUAUUACAUUUUUCAUAUGAAUGUCCUUUUCUUCAAUCAUCUCCCAAAUGAUAACAGUUUUUAAUCACGAACCUUUGUCUAACGACGUCUUCGACGGUAUAUUUGAGAAUAAGAGAAUCCCAAAUAUAUUUUGCUUCCUUGUAAAAGCAAUAAACAUCGAACAUAUUGUUAGAAAACACCGAGAAAGGUGUGACAACAUACCUUAUUUGCAUGAGCCCAAUCGUCAAUAUUUUUGAAAGUGUGCUUGAGUUGGGUUUAGAAGUUGUAAGUGCAAAAACGACUCUAUACAUGUCCAACAGGGUAGACAGAAAUUCUUGCCAGGGUAGAAACAGUUUUGCAAAGAUGCUCUGUGUUGCGGAAACAUUGUUUGACGUCUCCAGUGUAGACUUGUUGUUUUUGUUCGUAUUCUCAACCAUUAAUUCCUUACAAAUUGUAGUAAAUAAGGUUGAAAAAACACAAACAAAGUUGACUUCUUGAGGCGUGAUGAUCAUUGUUUGUAAGUACUUAUCCACUGUGUAUUACGCAAGUCCUCCAAGAUACAACAGGAACUUCUCGGAUAUUACCGAUAAUAUCAAAACUAACAAACAACUCUUAAAAGAGUAAGAACCCAAGAAAAUAUUAGAAAGGAAAAGAGAAAAAGUGGAAAAAGUCGUGAGCGAUGAUUUUGGAAAGGUGUAUGAAACCCCUGUUUAUAGAGUGAAAAAAGGCAACAACCCAAAAUUGCCACAACUCCAAAACCAACUUUGACGACAUUGUUUUCCAUCCCAACAGCACAACGUCCUGAGGAGAAAGAAGGAGAUAUGGAAGUUCAAGUCUUGCGCGUGAAAAAUCAACUCUGGCAUACAUUCUGUGUACUAAUUAUCUUUUUUUUUUUUUAUCAGCAAAGAAUAUAAUAUAAUAAAAAGGGGUACUUCAGGGGUACCCCAACCCAUAUACAAAAAAACCAAGUAGCACAAAGCAAAGGAAAAUAUUCAUUUUAAUGGAACAAACAGAACAACCAUAUCCUAGCCUAACAAGACUUUUCCAUUUGCCCCACACGACCUCUCAUCCACCUAUUUAACCACAUCUUCAAAGAAAACAGAUCUUGACCACCUGGCCUCUUAUGUUACGUGUCUUCAUAUGCUACCCCCAACACAACUUUCUUUUAAGCCCCUUGAUGUGUACAAAUCAGAAACACCAACAAACUGAUAUACCUCCACACGACUUCUAGCACUGACUACGACACCAAAUUUUCGUGGAAGCCACCUCGCACACCCAAACAUCCUUGGAGCAGCACCUUGAACCAGCUCCUUCUCUGAACCAGGAGCACCUUAUUUCCUAACCUCACAUCCAUUGAAAAAUUGUAGGAAAAAAAACCUCCAACAAGGAUUAUAUUUUCCUUUACUGAAUCAACACAAGAACAACACAUAUUUCACCCUGCAGCACCCUACUUCUCCUUAAACCUGAGCCCUGUAACUUUUUACAACAUUUCCACCACACCUACCAACCAUCCAGCUAACAUAGAUACCUUAUGCUUGACGUGGAGAUACAAGAACAUCUCAUCGACCACCUUCAUAUCAGCAACCCUGCAGACACAUGUUUGGAUUAAGGAUCCGAUCCGAAUAGGAAAAACUAUUGUUAUAAUAACACUACAAGAGAAUCAUUAAAUAAAAACUAAUUUUAGAGACAAAAAAUAAUUAAUUGCUAUAUUGACUAAACUAGAAACCAUUUCAGAGACUAAAAAAAUUAUUGGUUUCUAAAUUAAUAUUGGUAUCUAAUUAGCUACCAAUUGUCUUGUUUAUAAAUUUGGUAGCAAAAAUCUUGGUAGCUAAUUAGAUACCAAUUUAGAAAUUAUUUAACAAUAAUAGAUUAAUUUAGAAAUCAAAAUGUUUUUUAGUCCCUAAAAUGAUAUCUAAUUUAGUUAAUAUAGUAAUUAAUUAUUUUUUGUUUUAAAAAUUAAUUUUUAUUUAAUGUAUAAAAUUCUCAUCUAUCUGUUUGUGGUGUGGGACGGAUGGUGGUGAGGAUGGGUUUUAUUUGGACGAUUAUUAUGAUAGGAUCUUAUGCUUAUUCAUGAUUACUUGAGUUAUGUAUAUACAUAAUUUAUGUUUUUUUAAUAGGGUUGAAAUAUUUUUCAAAUAUCUUAAAUAUAUAAUAUAUUUUUUUUUUAUAAAAAAAAUCUACCUAUUGUCAUUUGACUGCGUCAAUUAAGUACUUCCAUAUCAAGUGUUUAUAUAAGACAAACCUGUGAAACUCAUUAGAAUUUGUGGCUCAAUAAAGCUUAUCAAUACGGAUAUUAAUGAAAAAAUAUUCUUUUAGCCACAAGUCUACUUGUGUUGGAACUUUUAGCCCUUGAAUAAUUUGCAAAUAUUUAAAGUAGAAAAAAAAAUCAAAUGCAUUAUACAAAUAUUGUUUUUCAAUCAGGAUAUAAAAAUUUAUUUCGAUCAUUUUUCCAUGAUUUACUAUAAUAUAUAUUUAUGUUUUGUCUCUAUUUAAAAGUAAGUCCUGAACUAUUUCUUUAAUUGGGUUCUCAAAGUAAUUCCUUAAAAUUGUUUUUGAACAGCAUAUUAAUAAAACCUUCCAAAAGAGAACGAUUUAGGAUGGCUUUAGAAACUCAAAGAACUCCAUUAAAAAAUUUACAUUAUUAAAUACCUAAAUAAGAAUUCACGGUACGUAUCAUACAUAAGUCUUCAAACAAUCUUCUAAAAGGGAAAAAUGUGGUCCUUCAUAGUUAUAUAUACAGUUCAGUCUCUCUUGUUAUCAGUAUCUAACUUUGAUUUGUUUGCACUUGAAUUCAAUGAGAAACAGAGAUGAUGUGGAAAGAGAGAGCAUUCAUGGUGGUACUGCUACUUCUAGUCCACAAAAUUCAUGGUGGCUGCCCCUCCUCUUCCUGUGGUCAAAUCACCAACAUCAAUUACCCUUUUCGAUUCAAAGGCGACCCAGAAGAGUGUGGUGAGGAAGGUUAUGAGCUUGGCUGUGAGAAUAAUGUUACGGUGUUGUAUCUGUACUCUGCACAAUAUCAUGUGCAGUCAAUAAACUACAAGAACUACACAGUGAGAGUGGUUGAUCCUGCUCUUCAACACCAUAAUCUCUCCUCCCUUCCUCUCCGUUUCCUCUCUCGUUCCAAUUUCUCUGACACUUACACUUACACUUCCUUUUACGACUCGGAUCCAUACCAAGCCGGUCUAAGAUCCUAUGAAAAUUGGGAAUUGAGUUUCUCGCAUAUAGUGUUUGUGAAUUGUAACCAUUCGGUGGGAGAGAAAGGGAAGUAUGUGGAGAGUGGAGAGUGGGUGAAGUGGGAGGGGAAGGGGUAUGCAUAUGCAAUUGGUGGAGACCUAAAAGCAGAGGACUUAGAAGUUGGGUGUGAGGUAAAGCUUGUUGCUCCCACUUCUCUCUCCACUUUCGAUUACCAUUCCUACUCUUCCAUUCACACCGCACUCGCCUAUGGAUUCCAGAUUUCAUGGAUAAAACUCACCUGUCAGAAUCUUUGUCCAGAUGAUGAUAGCUAUUGCUAUUUCGACUCUUCUAACCAGAAGCUUCAAUGCCGUGAGUCUAAACCAAAAUAUAUUAACCAAUUUUUUAGAUUUUUUCAUAACAGUUUCAAACAUAUAUACUGUAUAUUUCACUUUACAUAUAUUAUUAUUCACAAAGCAUCAUUGUAAUAAUUCAACCAACAUUUAGAAGAAAAAUAAUAAUUUGUUAUCAUCCUUUACAAUUCUCCCACUCAUAGUCACAUAAGCACGUUAUUAUGCUCCUUACUCAUGUAGUUUAAAUCUUCUAAAUAUACAUUUAAAUUAACUGAAAAGCUGGUAAACAAUUAGUAAACCAAUUUUUUUAUCUUUUAUAUUUUACAUGUAUUUAUAAGAACGUAUGCAUUAAAUUAAACAUUUAUUUUCUUUAAAAUAAAUAACUGUUAAACUUAUUGACCGCUAUAACCUUUAUCAAAAUAUGAAAAUAGCCUUUUUUGAAUAACUGGUGAGAUCACACUAUUCUAAACUUCAUAUGUUCCUUCAUUCCAGGCCGAUCUGGUCUAACACCGCUGGGAGUGCUAAUCCUGUAUCUAGCAGGUAAGACUUUAUAUUAAUUUCUAAAUUCUUUAAUUACACAAAAAAACAGACUUCUAUUAGUAGUUCUCAAAUUUCCAUUAACAGAAAUGUUGUUAAAAAAUAGAAGAUUUGGCUUACAAUCAUCUGUGAUUUUUUUUUAAAUUUUAUUUUGCUUUUAAAAACUUUCGACUACUUUCGACAGCAAUUUAUGAUUAAAUCGUAGUAUUUUUAAAGUAUUAUUUUAGUUUUAAAUUUUUCAACUCUUUCAAUGACUGGUUAUAAUAUGAACUUGGUGAAAGUAAUUAAUAUAUGAUAAUGAUUAUACUAAAAAUUAUUGUAACAUCCAACUAUUAUUCUCUAUUCACUACAAGAAAAUCAUGCAAUAGAAACGAAUUUUUAGAGACCAAAAUAAUUAGUUGCAAUAGUAACUAAAUUAGAGACCAUUUUAGAAACUAAAACAAAAAUUGGUUUGUAAAUUAGUUUCUAUUAUUGUUAAAUAGUUUCUAAAUUGGUAUCUAAUUAGCAACCAAUGUUUUAGAGACCAAAUUUAGAAACUAAAUAAUUCGUAGUUAAAACCUAGUUGCUAAUUAGAUAUCAAUUUAGAAACUAUUUAACAAUAAUAGAAACUAAUUUAGAAACCAAUUUUUGUUUUGGUUUCUAAAAUGGUCUCUAAUUUAGUUACUAUUGCAACUAAUUAUUUUGGUCUCUAAAAAAUGGUUUCUAUUUCAUGAUUUUCUUGUAGUGAUUACAAUAUAAUUCUACACACAAAGUCUUGUAUAAAUGGAGUGUUUUUUAAAAUAUUUCUUAUAUAAUUAAAAUUUAUAAAAGCACAAAUAUUUACAAUUUAUAUUUCAAAACAAACCUGUCAUGAUGGAGGUAAAAACUUCUCAAGUUAAAACAAGAUAAUAAUAAUUUUUUCUUCAAGUUCAUCUAACUUUUGAGGGUCAAUAACUUUACUACAUAUCGAAUUGAAAAAUGAACAUAGUCGAGUUAUUGUAUGUCUAACUUUUUUUGGUAAGAUUUCACGAAUAGUCACUAGUAGUAAUUGUUGCAUUAGAACGUGACAAUCAUGAAACUUUAAGUCAUUUAGUUUCAAAUCAUGCAUAGAUACAAGAGUCUUAACAUUUGAAAACUAGCCUUGUGGUACCUUAACACCUUUAAGAAAUUCACAUAAACUUAUUUUCUCCUUCUUCUACAAAGUGUAACACGCUGCAGGAAAAUAUGUAUGUUUGCCAACUUCUUACGGUGCCAAUUCCUCUCGUAUAUUCAUCUCAAUCAAAUUCGGACAUGCAUUCACAUCAUCCUUCAAUUUACCUUUAAUGUUCAAAAGUAUUUUGAUUAAGUUGUUACACACAUUCUUUUCUAUACAUGCAUUACAUCUAUACAAUGUUUCACAUCUAACUUACUCCAAUACAUAAGAUAAAAAAAGAUUGACCUCUUCUGAUGUGAGUUGAUUUUAGAUUUCCAUUUUAGAGGUGACACUUUACUUAGGAUUGAGAUUUUUAACAAUUAGAUGGUGAGACAUAGGGAAGAUUCCCACUGGACACGAACUUAACCAAGUGGUUAAGUAAGUGUGAAGGUUCACUUCCAAAGGCAAAAGGAAAAACACAUUAUAUGGUGAUGGUGAUGUAUGGUGUGGAAUUGAAAGAGCAUGGAAGGAAACAUAAUAAGAUGACAAAGACCGAAUGAAAAAUGGAGGAAAAUAAAAACAUAAACACAAAGAGAAAAUGGUGGAAUGGAAGAUGAAAAGAAAAGAUGAAGGGAAGCUUAUGGAUGAUGGGAGAGAGGUGGACACGCCACUUGGAGGUUGGUUUCCUCCAAGAUAAGUGUAGAGGGUCGCCACUUGAGAGCUCUCAAAUCACUCAAGAUAAGACCUAAUGCUAAGAGGACACAAGCCUCACAAACACCUCACACAAGUUGUGCAGAGUAACUUUACUAUUCAAAUUCAACAUGAAAAUACAUGAAGUAUGACACCCUAUUUAUAGGAAUGGGUGCCUUGGUGGGCAAGAAGAGCAAGGGUAGGGUGGUAAAUGUGUAAGGGGCUACCUUUAGGGUUUUACUAAGUAAAAAUUGCACCCUAGGCUUGUUCUUCUAUAAACUAGGUCAAAUUUCCUUCCUAAAGGGCUAGAAACAAGAUAAAAUGAUAACUACACCCCCUAUUAUGCUAAAGGCACCUUAUUCUAGCUUAUCUUGCUAUUUGGAUCUCCAAUAUGAGCCCAAAUUAUUUACAACUUGUUUUAUUCUUAAGAAGACUAUAAGGAAGAAUAAUUGAUGUUCUGGUCUUUGCCCAUUUCUCCUUCUGGUAAGGUCUGCUAGAUCCUUGGUGGAUUCUUUACUUGAAAAUUGAGAUGACUUCUCAUAGUGUGGAUGGUAAUGUGAGUCCUUGGUCAUCUCUUUGUGGUCUUGGAUUGUAUCAUGCCCCCCAAGUUUGAGAGAAUUCAACCUCCAAUUUAGAAAUCCUGCAUAUAACAUAGUUAGUUUGUUCACAUAUAAAAGAGUGCAGGGUGUGGGAAGUGAAACAAACUUAUGUACUUUAAGCUUGAGGAAUUUAAAAGGGGAAGCUCUAUAUACAAGCCAUGUUGGGAAAUAAUAUUUGAGGAUGAAAGUACUUGGUGAAAAAAAUCCUCUUAAAAGGUGAGAACCCGUAGGAGGUGUUUGAUUUUCAUCCCAAAGCUUCUUUGUCCAAGAUGUUAAGUAUUUAGAUGUAUUUGUUAAUGAAAAAGAUAAGGAAGAAGGACACCUUCGAGGUGUAGUUUGUAGCAUGGCACGAGUCAACAUGAUUGAUUUAGUUGUGUAAGAUGAUAGUUUGUGACCCGAUUAUCUUUUCUUUCUCUCUCUUUUUUCAUUUUCUCUUUUGUUUUUCAUUUUUAGUUGGUCCUCAUGAACUUCUUUGGGAGAGAGGGGUUUUAAGAUAACCUUGUGCACUUGGAAGUUGAAAGACAUUUUGUUUGUUUGGCCAUCAUGUAGAACUUGUCUAUCAUAUUUCCAAGGCCUCCCCAAAAGAACAUGUGUUGUUUCCAUAGGCACAACAUUAGAUAAAACCUCAUCUUUAUACUUUCCUAUAGCAAAAGUUAUGAGGACUUGUUUAGUAACCAUGAUUUCACCCUCUUUAUUAAGCCAUUGGAGCUUGUAGGGCUUUGUAUGAGAGAUGGUGGGUAGUCCAAGCUUGUCCACCACUCUUGUACUUGCCACAUUAGUACAACCACACCCAUCUAUUAUUAUGAAACAUAACUUGUUGUUGAUAAGGCCGCGUGUGUGGAAAAUAUUUUCUCUUUGGGUGUCAUCCAAAGGUUUUGGAAUUGUUCUCAACAUGCGCCUUAUCACCAAUAAGUCACCUUCACACGGUAUUACAUUUUCGUAAUUUUGAAGGCCACUUAAUGGAUUGGGACAAGUGUCAUUCUCAUAGUACCCAUUGAAAGCUUUUUUCAAUCUACGAUACAAGUAAUCUUUUGUUAGAAAUCUAAGACGUCGAAGAAGUAAACUUUAAGCCAAACUCAACCUUAUAUAGAUGACUCGUAGUAAGGUUUACACACUUAUAUACUAUAAAAUGUCCUUAUAUCUAGUCAUCGAUGUAGGAUAUCCAACAUAACCUCUUACUUCGAGACUAUCAACUCGUGCAUGUGACUAUAUAUUUAUGGGUGAUCUGAUUAGUCCAACAAACACUUAUUAUGAUACACUCUAAUUGACUAUGAUACUAUAUUAAGAAGUAAACUUUAAGUCUAACUCAAUCUUAUAAAACAGUAAGGUGAUGCUUGCACCCACUUAUAUAUUACAAAAUAUUUUUAUCUAUAGUUGACGUUGGAUCUCCAACAUACUUCCCAUUUUUUAAAAUUAAAUUUUAAUUUAUCAAAAAAAUUCUCAUAUUUUCUUCAUCUAAUUUUAAAAAAUCAAAAUUUUGAUCCUCAAAGUGAUAUAAAUAAAGGUUUUUAACCCAUAUUAAAUGUUAAUUACCUUAAAGAUUAAAAAAAUUGUGAUUUUCAAUAGGUUAAAAGGGGUUAGAGGAACACAAAUUGAAUUUAAAAAAUUUAUAGAAACUAUUUAAAAAAAUACGUAUGUAUUUUUUACAACCAUCACUCCAUUAGGUGUUAGGACACAUUAGUGUUACAUAAAAAUAUAUUUAUAGAUAGCAACGUGAAAAAAAAAAUUGUUAAUAUUUCUUUAUGCUAGACAUUAAAUUUACACUCUUUUUUUUCUAAUGUUACUAAGUAAAUGGAUGUGCAAACUUUGGAUUUUAUGAACGAUAAUUACUUUACAAAAUACUUUAGUGCAUUACAUUACUAGCGUAAUCACUCAAGUAAAAAUUUAUUGCAGGUAUUCUCAUAGGAAGGGCUUACAAAGUUGUGUUUGGAUUGCCAUUCAUAAUUGUUAUUUUUACAUAUAAAUGGAGAAAAAGACAUAUGUCAAUGUAUGGAAAUAUUGAAAAUUACCUUGAACAAAAUAGUUUGACACCAAUUAGAUACUCAUACAAGGAAAUCAAGAAGAUGGCUGUAGGUUUCAAAGAGAAGUUAGGUGAAGGAGGAUUUGGCUCUGUCUUUAAGGCAAAGUUGUGCAGUGGGCCUUUUGUGGCCAUCAAAAUGUUAGGCAAAUCGAAAGCAAAUGGACAAGAUUUUAUCAAUGAAGUUGCGACCAUUGGAAGAAUACAUCAUCAAAAUGUGGUACAGUUAAUUGGAUUUUGUGUUAGUGGCUCAAAGCGUGCUCUUGUUUAUGAAUUUAUGUCCAAUGGAUCUCUUGAUAAAUUUAUUUUCUCAAAAGAGAGAAAUAUACAUUUAAGCUAUGAAAAGAUAUAUAAUAUGUCAAUUGGAGUGGCUCGUGGGAUUACUUAUCUCCACCAUGGGUGUGAGAUGCAGAUUUUGCAUUUUGACAUCAAACCUCAUAACAUCUUACUAGAUGAAAACUUCAUCCCUAAGGUUUCUGACUUUGGAUUGGCAAAGUUAUAUCCAAUAGAUAAUAGUAUCGUCACAAUGAUUGCAGCAAGAGGAACCAUUGGAUAUAUGGCUCCAGAACUAUUUUACAAAAAUAUUGGAGGAAUAUCCCAUAAAGCUGAUGUUUAUAGCUUUGGAAUGCUUUUGAUGGAAAUGGCGAGCAAGAGGAAGAAUCUAAAUCCCCAUGUAGACCACUCAAGUCAACUUUACUUUCCACUCUGGAUCUAUGAUCAUAUCGAAGAAGAGGAAGAUAUAGAUAUGGAAGAUUUGACUGAAGAGAAAAAGAUAAUAGCAAAGAAAAUGAUUAUAGUGUCUCUUUGGUGCAUACAAUUAAAACCAAUUGAUCGACCCUCAAUGAAUAGAGUAGUGGAAAUGCUUGAAGGGGACAUUGAAGACUUGGAAAUACCUCCAAAGCCUACUUUAUUUCCAAAUGAAAUGAGUAGAGAUGGUGAAACAAUAAACUCGACAUCGAAUGAAUUGAACUCGUUCUCUUAUACAUGCAAUUGAUCCUUUAGUGAAGCAUACUAUUUAAGGAUGUAUAAUAAAAUUUUGUUUUACAAUAAUAUAUAGUCCCACGCACGAGCUUCUAUCUAUCACUCUCAGCGUGAGGGGGGUGUGUUGGAGAUCUCACAUCGACUAGAGAUAAGGACAUUUCAUAAUAUAUAAAUGGGUGCAAACCUCACCCCAUUGAGCCUGUUUUAUGGGGUUGAGUUAGGCUUAAAGUCCACUUCGUAAUAUGGUAUCAGAGCCAUUUCGAGCCUAUCCUAGCGAGUAUUUGUUGGGCUUAUCAGGCCACCCGCUAUCGGGCCGCUAUCGGACCACCCAUAAUAUAUAGUCCCACGCACGAGCUUCUAUCUAUCACUCUCAGCGUGAGGGGGGUGUGUUGGAGAUCUCACAUCGACUAGAGAUAAGGACAUUUCAUAAUAUAUAAAUGGGUGCAAACCUCACCCCAUUGAGCCGGUUUUAUGAGGUUGAGUUAGGCUUAAAGUCCACUUCGUAAUAUAUAUAUUGAAAUUAAUAAAAUAUUGUUGUAUCCAUGAGCCUAUAUCAUCUUUGCUUAAGACUCCGGUUGUGUACUCAUAGGUUAAGAUUUGAAUUCAACCACAGAUUUAUGAAAAAAAAGGAAAAGUACAUAAAGUUCAAUAUAAUUUAUAUUAUUAUUAUUAAUAAUAUAAUUUAUAUUGUUAUUAUUAUUAAUAAUAUAAUUUAUAUUAUUAUUAUUAUUAAUAAUAUAAUUUAUAUUAUUAUUAUUAAUAUAAUUUAUAUUAUUAUUAUUAAUAAUAUAAUUUAUAUUAUUAUUAUUAAUAUAAUUUAUAUUAUUAUUAUUUUUAAUAUAAUUAUUAUUAUUAAUAAUAAGUAUAAUAAAAAUCAUAAUAUGAUAAAUAAUAAUCCGAAAUAAUUAAAAAACAUAAAAAUUUUAAAAAAAUUAAUUUUUUUUAUUGCAUUACGAUUUUGGCAGUAUGGAAUUCUAAGUUUUCUUGUAAUAAGUCUUACAUUAUAAAUUGAUUUUAUAAGAUUGAGUUAUACUUAAAAUUCACUUUUUAAUAUAAAAACUCAAAAAAACUAAAGUGAACCAACACAACUUCAAAAACCAAAAGCAAAAAUCGUAUUAACAUAAUGAUUUCAAUAAAAAAAAUUUAAAACAUAUAAUGAGAAAAUCGUACUUUGAGGGAUGACUUACUUAUUUUUAUAAAAAAAGUAAAAAAUUCAAAUACUUUAAACAAUGGUACCAUUUCAGUAAAAAAAAUCUUGGAUUGUAUACAUCUGAUAAUUUUUUUAUAUUUUGAAAGAUAAAUUAUUUCUUCAUUUUAUAUUAACUACAAAAUUUCUUAUUAACUAAAAUAUUUAUAUUUAUAUUACAAAUAAGUAGGAUAACAGUUAUAUCAAUGUGAAUGUAAAAAUAAUUAAAACCUAUGGAAUUGAAAGAUAUAAACAUUUUUUAAUACCAUUAAAACAUAAAUUUUGACUAGAGAUUCAAUUUGAAAAUACCUAAAUUAAUGAGGAGUUUAAAACUUAAUUAAAUCUAGAUUUUAAUUUCACAAGUAUUUUUUUAUAAAUUUAAAAUAUAUACAUGUAAGUUUAAUUUUCAUUUAUUUUAUAAAUAAUUAUUUUCUUGAUAAAUGACUUUUUAUCAUUAAUUUAUGUUCCUACUAGGGAGAUGGGACCUAGAGAACUAUUGAAGUCUUCUUCUCCUUCCUUCGGUCGGGCAGAUAACUGGAUGAUGAGCUGGGAUUCUUCUCGUCCUCCUGCUUCUCCUUCGACACUUGGUCUCGGGUGAACACCGGAUGGUGGGGGUACCUGCGAAGACACUCCGACGCUCAAGUCAGUAAAGCGGGUGGUCAGCUCUCAGGUAGGUGAACAAUGAUAAAUGACGUACCUUAUUUCUUGGGAUGCAUGCUAUUUAUAUUAUUCUAAUGGACCUACAUUGUUGGGCCCGUUUAUCGAGGUGGAUACCGCUUAGGGUUGCAUUACCUAAUUCUUAAUGAUGGAUUAACUUUGCUGACCUUGGUUUGAGCGUUAAUGGUAAUCAGGAUUGGCCGUCGGCCUCAUCCUCAGGUAUGAGUCGGCCAUCGGCCAGAUUUCCCCGGUCUUGGUCGUCUCGAUCAAGUCUUCUAAGGUCUCGGCCAGGUCUCCCAGGGCCUCGGCCAGGUGGGUCGUCGGCCAAGUCUCUCAGGCCUCGGCCAGGGUCUCGAUCAAGUUGACCCGAUCUCGGGCAAUGAGACCAAGGGUCGGCCUCGCCCAUUCCGGUACAAUUUAAUUGAUAUAAAUGUGUGGAUACAUUUAACGUACCAUUAUAAACUCUUCAAUAUAAAAACAAAGUUGUUGUGACAAAAAGAAUUUAGAGUAUCUAUUUUCUUGAAAAAAUCAUUUAAUGUUUAUUUGGAUUAAAACUUACUAAAUAUUACUCUUUUGGUCAUGGAAAAGUUAUGCAAUCCAACACAUGAAAAAUAGAAAAGACAAGUAUUGUCUACACAAAAAAUGUAGAAUGUCACCAUGCAUAUUCAGGUAGAAUGAGUUCAUGAUUCUGCAUUUGCAAACUUUGGAACAAAAUAAUAAAUUUAGUAACCCAUUUGUUUUAACUUUAUAAAUGUAAAAUAUUAUAGAUGUACUUCUACUUAAAAUGACAAACAAGUUGAAUGUAAAACAAAAUUUUAUUAUACAUCACUCACUAGAAAGUAGGCUUCCGUUAAGGAUCAAUUGUGUAGGAACUAAUUGAAAGAAAUAAGAGAAGACAAAAGGUUGUAGAAACUAAUUGAACGUAAUUGCACAAAAUUGCAAAACUCAUCUUCUUCAUUUUGAUUUACUCAAUCAUAUAUAUAAUAAAAUUACAAUUACUGGAAGCUAUAAAAUAGGAAUACUAACAUACUUGUAUACUGACCAUUAAUGCAAUAUAAAGGUAAAAUAGUUUAAGGGUAAUAAAAUCAGAAUUAAUAAUAAUAAAAUCAAAAUUAAUAAUCAACAUCCUCCCUUAAUUCUGAUUUGGAACAACCUUCAUGCCCAACAUAUCUCUUAACUUGAUGAAAGCAUCAAUCUUGAAUGGAUUAGUGAAAAUAUCUGCAAUCUGAUAUUCUGAUCUGCAGUAUUCCAAUUUGAUCAUGUUUUUCCCAACUUGGUCUCGCAGGAAGUGAUAUCGAAUAUCAAUGUGUUUUGCAAGAUUAAUUGCAGAGACAUUAUCAACAUAAAUCUUAAUUGGAACAUCUAUAUUAAAACCAAUUUGAGUCAUGAUAUUGCUAAGUCAAACUGAUUGACAAGCACUUGCUGCUGUUGCUACAUACUCAGCUUCACAAGUAGAUAAUGCAACAAUUGACUGUUUCUUUGAUGACCACAAGCAAACAGUCUUUCCGAUCAAAAAACAAUUACCACUAGUGUUCUUCCUCUCGUCUGAAUCUCCACCCCAAUCACUGUCUGAGUAUCCGACGAUUUCAAUCUUCUUAGAUGAAGAGUAAAAUAGACCAAAAGUUGUAGUACCUUUGAUGUAGCGCAUAAUUCUCUUUACAGCUUGUAAAUGAACUUGUCGAGGUAACUCCAUGUAUCGACUGACCAAUCCCACAACAUAACAUAUGUCGGGUCUAGUACACGUGAGAUAUCUAAGGCUCCCAACAAUCUGCUUAAAGUAUGUUGCAUCUACAGUUUGCCCAUCACCUUUCUUCGUGAGCUUAAUUCCAGUUUCAAUUGGAGUUUUAACUGGGUUUGAAUCCUUCAUCUUAAACUUCUUUAAAAACUCAUCAGCAUAUUUCCUCUGAUGAAUGAAGAUUCCAUCAUCUCCUUGGAUGACUUCAAUGUCCAAAAAGUAGGACAUAAGACUGAGAUCAGUCAUCUCAAAUUCCUUCAUCAUGAUAUGCUUGAAAUCACCAGUCAUUUUGAGAUUACUUCCUGUAAAAAACACAUGAUCAACAUAAAGACAUAAAAUUAGCAAAUCUCCAUGAUCAUUAGUCUUUACAUAAAGACCAUGAUCUGAUGCACAUUUUUUGAAUCCAGUGGCAUGAAGAAAUGAAUCAAUCCUUUUGAUCCAAGCUCUUGGUGCCUGUUUAAGACCAUAUAAAGCCUUAGUUAGUCUGUACACAACAGUUGUAGGAACUAAUUGAAGGAAAUAAGAGAAGGCAAAAGGUUGUAGAGACUGAUUGAACGUAAUUGCACAAAAUUGCAAAAGUCAUCUUCUUCAUUUUGAUUUACUCAAUCAUAUAUAUAAUAAAAUUACAAUUACUGGAAGCUAUAAAAAAAGGAAUACUAACAGACCUGUAUACUGACCAAGAAUGCAAUAUAACGGUAAAAUAGUUUAAGGGUAAUAAAAUCAGAAUUAAUAAUAAAAUCAGAAUUAAUAAUCAACAAAUUGCAUAUAUACUUAUACUUUAUAUUAAAUAAUUAGGAGAACGAGUUCAAUUCAUUCGAUGUCGAGUUUAUUAUUUCACCAUCUCUACUCAUUUCAUAUGGAAAUAAAGCAGGCUUUAGAGGUAUUUCCAAGUCUUCAAUGUCUCCUUCAAGCAUUUCCACUACUCUAUUCAUUGAGGGUCGAUGGUGAACAUAUAUUUAUUCACACUCACUAGCCUUAUUCAUAGAUUAUUGGACUAUAAUAAUAAAUAAAUCCAUUGUUUUAAUUAAUAUUCUUAUAAUUGGGUUUAUUUGGGCUUUAACUAUUAUUAUUGUUAAUUUUGUGUUUUUAGAGUAAAUUAUCCAGAGGAAGCAUCUACCUUUGUGAAUGGGCCAAAUAUGCAAAAGUCCAAGUUGCUUCUUGAACCAAAACAGAAAACAAAUUCUGAGGAGAAGAAAGAGAAAAUAAAAGCUACAAUAUCUCAGAAACAGAAUUGGAAGCAAAUCUUCUGUUAAAUAAAAAGAAUUAUGGAAAGUGGAAACUGUUUACAAAAUCUAAACUGCAAUAUUUUCCCAAGAUCCUUGGAGCAGGAAAGCCUAUAAAAGGACACAAGCAUCAAGGAGAAGAGAGAGAGCUUCAUAGGGUUUUCUUAGUUUAUUUUCUUCUCAGUAAUUCUUUUGUUUUGCCUCCGCAUGGAAGGCUAAAACUUUUUGGUUGAUUCUUUUGUAAUUUCCCAUUGAGUUCUGAGGUUCUGUUCAAUAAAAGUUUCAUUUUUCAAUUCUUUAUAGCAGUUGUUUUUAUUGUCUAAUCUUCUGGAAAACUAGUUUUCUGGAAAACUAGUUUUUGUGAGAGGUUGUACUUGAACGCAUGAUUGAGAGUCUUCCUUGUCUUAAACUUUGGUUUCUUAGUUAGUUCGCAUCGUUCUAAUUAAUUUCUUGGGCGCAUGAUUCAAGAGAGAGGAGGUAAGCAUUCCCAUGGAGUAUACGCAUGGAAAAAAGUGGGUAUUGAUUAAACUAGUAGACGCAUGUUUUACUGGUGAGUUUCAGUUGAAUUAGAUUGAUGCAUGUUCAAUCUGGUUUAGCUCUGUUGGAGGAUUGAGAAAAGAUUAAUCUUUAGAGAACCUAUGAAGAAUUCAAUGGUGGAAGAACUUAGGAUCAACCGCUUUUUUAUUUUCUAUUUUAAUCUCUUUUAUAUUUUUUGCACAACUAUCUCAAACUCCCUUUUUAUCUUUAUUGUUAUUGCUAACUUUUAUUGCUUGCAGAUAGAUUUUAAACCCUGAUCAACUAAUUUUACUAUUGGAUUCGUUGGGAGACGACUUGGGGACAUUUGUCCAUAAUUAUACUAUCAUCUCUCUAGUGUUAGACAAGUCUACGCUAGAAUCAUAUUAAUUUGACAGCAAAACGACAGUUAUCAGUCAAUCACUUGGUUUCAAUUGUAUACACCAAAGAGACACUAUAAUCAUUUUCUUUGCUAUUAUCUUUUCCUCUUCAGUCAAAUCUUCCAUAUCUAUAUCUUCCUCUUCUCCGAUAUGAUCAUAGAUCCAGAGUGGAAAGUAAAGUUGACUUGAGUGGUCUACAUGGGGAUUUAGAUUCUUCCUCUUGCUCGCCAUCUCCAUAAAAAACAUUCCAAAGCUAUAAACAUAAGCUUUAUGGGAUAUUCCUCCAAUAUUUUUGUAAAAUAGCUAUGGAGCCAUAUAUCCAAUGGUUCCUCUUGCUGUAGUCAUUGUGACGAUACUAUUAUCUAUUGGAUAUAACUUUUCCAAUCCAAAGUUUGAAACCUUAGGGAUGAAGUUUUCAUCUAGUAAGAUGUUAUGAGGUUUGAUGUCAAAAUGAAAAAUCUGCAUCUCACACCCAUGAUGCAGAUAAGCAAUCCCACGAGCCACUCCAAUUGAUAUAUUAUAUAUCUUUUCAUAACUUAAAUGUAUAUUUCUCUCUUUUGAGAAAAUAAAUUUAUCAAGAGAUCCAUUGGGCAUAAAUUUAUAAACAAGAGCACGCUUUGAGCCACUAACACAAAAUCCAAUUAAUCAUACCACAUUUUGAUGAUGUAUUCUUCCAAUGGUCGCAACUUCAUUGAUAAAAUCUUGUCCAUUUGCUUUGGAUUUGCCUAACAUUUUGAUGGCCACAGAAGGCCCACUGCACAACUUUGCCUUAAAAACAGAGCCAAAUCCUCCUUCACCUAACUUCUCUUUGAAACCUGCAACCAUCUUCUUGAUUUCCUUGUACGAGUAUCUAAUAGGUGCCAAACUAUUUUGUUUAAAGUAAUUUUCAAUAUUUUCAUACAUUGACAUAUGUCUUUUUCUCCAUUUAUAUAUAAAAAUAACAAUUAUGAAUGACAAUCCAAUCAAAACUUUGUAAGCCCAUCCUAUCAGAAUACCUGCAAUAAAUUUUUUACUUUGAGUGAUUACGCUGGUAAUGUAAUGCACUAAAGUAUUUUGUAAAAUAUUUAUCGUUCAUAAAAUCCAAACUUUGCACAUCCAUACUUAGUAACAUAAAAAAAAAGUGUAAAUUUAAUGUCUAGCACAAAGAAAUAUUAACAAUUUUUUUUCACGUUGCUAUCUAUAAAUAUAUUUUUAUGUAACAGUAAUGUGUCCUAAGACCUAAUGGAGUGAUGGUUGUAAAAAAUGCAUACGUAUUUUUUUAAAUAGUUUCUAUAAAUUUUUUAACUUCAAUUUGUGUUCCUCUAACCUCUUUUAACCUAUUGAAAAUCACAAUUCUUUUAAUCUUUAAGGUAAUUAACAUUUAAUAUGGGUUAAAAACCUUUAUUUAUUUCACUUUGAGGAUUAAAAUUUUGAUUUUUUUUAAAUUAGAUGAAGAAAAUAUGAGAAUUUUUUUUGAUAAAUUAAAAUUUAAUUUUAAAAAUGGGAAGUAUGUCUGAGAUCCAACGUCAACUAUAGAUAAAAAUAUUUUAUAAUAUAUAAGUGAAUGCAAACAUCAUCUUACUGUUUUAUAAGAUUGAGUUAGACUUAAAGUUUACUUCUUAAUAUAGUAUCAUAGUCAAUUAGAGUGUAUCAUAAUAAGAGUUUGUUGGACUUAUCAGACCACUCAUAAAUAUAUAGUCACAUGCACGAGUUGAUAGUCUCGACGUAAGGGGUUAUGUUGGAUAUUCUACAUCGAUGACUAGAUAUAAGGAUAUUUUAUAGUAUAUAAGUGGGUGCAAACCUUACUAUGAGUCAGUUAUAUAAGGUUGAGUUAGGCUUAAAGUUUACUUAUUCGAUGUCGUAGAUUUCUAACGAAAUAUUACUCGUAUCGUAGAUUGAAAAAAGCUUUCAACGGGUACUAUGAAAAUGACACUUGUCCCAAUCCAUUAAGUGGCCUUCAAAAUUACGAAAAUGUAGUACCGUGUGAAGGUGACUUAUUGGUGAUAAGGCGCAUGUUGAGAACAAUUCCAAAACCUUUGGAUGACAGCCAAAGAGAAAAUAUUUUCCUCACACGCGACCUUACCAACAACAAGUUAUGUUCCAUGAUAAUAGAUGGGUGUGGUUGUACUAAUGUGGCAAGUACAAGAGUGGUGGAAAAGCUUGGACUACCCACUAUCUCUCAUACAAAGCCCUACAAGAAUGACUUAAUAAAGAGGGUGAAAUCAUGGUUACUAAACAAGUCCUCAUAACUUUUGUUAUAGGAAAGUAUAAAGAUGAGGUUUUAUGUAAUGUUGUGUCUAUGGAAGCAACACAUGUUCUUUUGGGGAGGCCUUGGCAAUAUGAUAGACAAGUUCUACAUGAUGACCAAACAAACAAAAUGUCUUUCAACUUCCAAGUGCAUAAGGUUAUAUUAAAACCCCUAUCUCCCAAAGAAGUUCAUGGGUACCAACUAAAAAUAAAAAACAAAAGAGAAAAUGAAAAAGAGAGAGAAAGAAAAGAUAAUCGGGUCAUAAACUAUCAUCUUACACAACUAAAUCAAUCAUGUUGACUCGUGCCAUGCUACAAACUGCACCUCCAAGGUGUCCUCUUCCUUAUCUUUUUCAUUAGCAAAUACAUCUAAAUACUUAACAUCUUGGACAAAGAAGUUUUGGGAUGAAAAUCAAACACCUUCUAUGGAUUCUCACCUUUUAAGAGGAUUUUUUUCACCAAGUACUUUCAUCCUCAAAUAUUAUUUCCCAACAUGGCUUGUAUAUAGAGCUUCCACUUUUAAACUCCUCAAGCUUAAACUAACUAUGUUGUUUGCAUGAGUUCUAAAUUCGAGGUUGGAUUCUCUCAAACUUGGGGGGCAUGAUACAAUCCAAGCCCAUAAAGAGAUGACCAAGGACUCACAUUACCAUCCACACUAUAAGAAGUCAUCUCAACUUUCAAGUAAAGACCCCACCAAGGAUCUAGCAGACCUUACCAGAAGGAGAAUGGGCAAAAACUAGAACAUCAAUUAUUCUUCCUUCUAGUCUUCUUAAGAAUAAAACAAGUUGUAAAUAAUUUGGGCUCACAUUGGAGAUCCAAAUAGCAAGAUGGGCUAGAAUAAGGUGCCUUUAGCAUAAUAGCGGGUGUAGUUAUCAUUUUGUCUUGUUUCUAGCCCUUUAAGAAGGAAAUUUGACCUAGUUUCUAGAAGAACAAACAUAGGGUGCGUUUUUGACUUAGUCAAACCCUAAAGGCAGCCUCUCAAACAUUUACCACCCUACCCCUGCCCUUCUUGCCCACCAAGGCACCCAUUCCUACAAAUAGGGUGUCAUACUCCAUGUAUUUUCAUGUUGAAUUUGAAUAGUAAAGUUACUCUGCACAACUUGUGUGAGGUGUUUGUGAGGCUUGUGUCCUCUUAGCAUUAGGUCUUAUCUUGAGUGAUUUGAGAGCUCUCAAGUGGCGACCCUUUACACUUAUCUUGGAGGAAACCACCCUCCAAGUGGCGUGUCCACCUCUCUCCCAUCAUUCAUAAGCUUCCUUUUCCUUCAUCUUUUCUUUUCAUCUUCCAUUCCACCAUUUUCUCUUUGUGUUUAUGUUUUUAUUUUCCUCCAUUUUUCAUUCGGUCUCUGUCAUCUUAUUAUGUUUCCUUCCAUGCUCUUUCAAUUUCACACCAUACAUCAUCGUCAUUAUAUAAUGUGUUUUUCCUUUUGCCUUUGGAAGUGAACCUUCACAUUUACUUAACCACUUGGUUAAGUUCGUGUCCAAUGAGAAUCUUCCCUAGGUCUUACUAUCUAAUUGUUAAAAAUAUCAAUCCUAAGUAAAAUGUCACCUCUAAAAUGGAACAAUCUAAAAUCAACUCACAUCAAAAGAGGUCAAUCUUUUUUUAUCUUAUGUAUUGGAGUAAGUUAGUGUUGAUUUCUCUCGGCAAGUGUACCGAAUCAACUGUAAUAUAUUACUCUUUAAAGUACGCAUGUCGAACCCACAGGGAACAAUUCUAAUUAAGAUGUUCUGUUAUAAAACUCAUUAAGUAUAGAAAAUAAUUUUGAGACUUUGUCCAUAACCAAAUUAAAGAAUUCACGAAUAACUCGGAGAGUUAGGGUUUGAUUCAGGACGUAACAAAACCAACUUAUCAAAUAUAGAGAAAGAUACUUGGGAUUGAAUUGCGUCUAUCUCAAUCAUCUGUAUUUUGAAUAAUACAAUAUAUAAUACUCAAAAUUACUUAUUCUUUAUGCUUAAUUUAAAGUCAUUCACUUUGAUUCCUCACAAAUGAAAUUCAUAAGAUAAUUUAUCAAAUACUGAUUCCUCAAAUAUCUAACAAAUCAUCCAGCUUUAUGAACAGAUCUAUGAUGCAAUUAAUAACCUGGAAUCUAUUCCUAGCAUUACAAGUUAUCAUGUAUUUUCGUCUAUUUCAGAUCCUUAAAGGUACUUUCCAGUUGAAUUUAAGGAUCAAAAUCAAGACUCUAUUGAUCAGACAGAAUCAAGCAAUAAGCAUAAAACGAAAAUACCAAGAACAAGUAGAAAAGAUAAUAUUAUAUAUAUAUAUAUAUAUAUAUAUAUAUAUAUAUCACCAAGAAUGCAUUUGAUCAAGGUAAAUUACAUUCAAUCCCAAGUUAGAAAGAAUUUAGCCACUCAUGACAGCUCCUCCAAUCUUCAUUCUUGAUCUGGAUUGCAUAAGAAGGGCUGAUAUGAGCAAGUUCUUCUCCUAAGAACAGAGGUUUUUCCUCCUUCUCUCACUAAUCUCUCUCUAUAAAAAUUGAAUCUUUCUCCACUGCUCCUUUUGAGUUGUGUUUCAAAAUUUAUAUAAUCAACUUUAGCUCAAGCUAGCCAAUUUAGCUUAAGCUAGAUCUUUCGGUGCAUUUUUAGCUUGAGCUAGCGAUUCUAGCCUGAGCUAAAUCAGUACUGCACCUUUAAUCAACUCUGGACAGUUUUAGCUUGAGCUAGCGAUUCUAGCCUAAGCUAGAUCAGUACUGCACCUUUAAUCAACUCUGGACAGUUUUAGCUUGAGCUAGCAAUUCUAGCCUGGGCUAGAUUAGUACUGCACCUUUAAUCAACUCUGGACAGUUUUAGUUUGAGCUAAAUCCUCUAGCUUGAGCUAAAUCUUCUUGUGAUCCAAUUAAGUUUUUACUUUCUUUCGGUCAAUGGCAUCUUGAAUAAUUCUUUCAAUGCUUCAUAUUCAUCUGCAAUUUACACAAAAAUUGAGAUUAAAUUUCUUCAUUUGUUUCUUGGUUCAAAAUAUAUAAUCAGAUUCAAUAAUUCUCAGAUUAGGGUAAUUUUCUUACAUUAAGCAACAAUUAAGUUCCAAAGUGUUCAAUUUUCUCAAUCAUAAAAACUACACAUUGGCACUUAUUAGUUAGAUGUAAACAUUAUAUAGAUGUAAUGCAUGUAUAUAAAAGAAUGUGUGUAACAGCUUAAUCAGAAUACUUCUGAACAUUAAAGGUAAAUUGAAGGAUGAUGUGAAUGCAUGUCUGGAUUUGAUUGAGAUGAAUAUACGAGAGGAAUUGGCACCGUGAGAAGUUGGUAAACAUACAUAUUUGCCUGCAGCGUGUUACACUUUGUCGAAGAAUGAGAAAAUAAGUUUUUGUGAAUUUCUUAAAGGUGUUAAGGUACCACAAGGCUAGUCUUCAAAUGUUAAGACUCUUGUAUCUAUGCAUGAUUUGAAAAACCAAAAACCCCAUCCCUUAUACAAAAACCAAAAACAAGUUUCCUUGCACCAGCAAGGAUCCACCAGACCUUACAUGACAAUACUAAAAAACACGUAUAAAAUACAAGAUACUGAGACCCCACAACCCUCAACCCAACAUUGAAACACACUCUCAAAACAGACACAAAAUCCAACAGUUAAAGAAUAUCUUUACUAGCAUUAUGACCUACAUCGAACUCAAUGCCAAAUACAAUAGUCGAUAGCAUGCAAAAAGAUUUUAACAACAUUUCUGUUAAUGGAAAUUUGAGAACUACUAAUAGAAGUCUAUUAUUUUGUGUAAUUAAAGAAUUUAGAAAUUAAUAUGAUAAGUCUUACGUGCUAGAUACAGGAUUAGCACUCCCAGCGGUGAUAGACCAGAUGAGCCUGAAAUGAAGGAACAUAUGAAGUUUAGAAUAGUGGUGAUCUCAACAGUUAUUAAAAAAAUACUAUAAAGGACCACAUAUAGCUAUAAAGUACCACAUUUUUCCUUUUACAAAAUUGUUCGAAGACGUAUAUAUGAUACUUAAAACGUAGACUUUGACUCAGAAACCGCGUUUCUAUCUUGUUUCCGUAACUCAUUUUAAUCCAUACAAAAUUUUAAAUAUUCGUGAAGUGCAUGAAUUUUUAUUUCGGUAUUUAAUCAUGUAAUUUUGUUGAUGGUGUUCUUUGAGUUUCUAAAACCAUCCUAAAUUCUUCGUUUUAAAAGCUUAUAUUUUGAAAAAUAAUUUUAAUGACCUUACAAUUUCUGUGAGUCCCAAAAUAAUGUUUGUUUAGUUAAGAAACUUCUACAUGUGAUUGGUACAUAAAUUGUUUUGGUGAAUGUUCCCCCGAAAAUGGCCUCAUAUGUUUCUUUGAGUUAAUUUCUUGAACAUAUUCUUCUUGGACAUGGGAGCAAGAAAGAGUGUGUGGUGGCAGAACGAAGCACUAACAAUUUUCUGUAUGUGUAAAAGGUAACGGACAAAGAAAAAACAUAUGGAAGCAAUUCCAAACACGUAACCCAAAAUUCCAGCAUACUUUUCAACUUGUAGCCUAAAAAACUCAAUAAUUAAAAGUGCGUUUCGAAGAAUUUGACGUAGAUCUCCAAAAUUAUAAUAUGCCCAAAAAUGUGUAUGGUUAGACCUUGUGGACUUUGACCUUCAUAAAGUUAAUAAAAGUGAACAACUCAGAGAUAAUUCUUGAUAGAAUUAAACACUUGAGUUACAUAGGAUGAGCCGGGAGAUCCUCAUUCAGCUAAUUAUUAAUUGGAAGAAUAAAAAAUCAUUAAGCAAUUUUUGUGUGGAAAAGCUAGCAGGAAAUUUCUAAACCAAUAUUUCUGCAUGCAGGUAUCAAAAUCCUCAAGUGCAUGUAGUUUAUUCCAUGAAACAUUACAUUUUAGUCUAGUCUUAAGCUUGUUUCACACUAUUAUGUCCAUUGUAGCAAAUUAACCAAAACCCUAUUCGUAAGCAUUCACGUUCUCUGUACCCCAAUUGCCACAAGAAGAAUACUCACCACUAACUAGUUGGUAUUAGUUGAUCACACUCUCGAAACUCACUACAAGUAGUUGUCACUCAUCAUCAAUGUUCAUUGAUAAAGGUUUAUCCAAGCCCAUCAGAGUUUUGAUAAACUUUCACUAUAAGAAAAUCAUGAAAUAAAAACUAAAAUAAUUAGUUGUAAUAAUAACUAAAUUAGAGACUAUUUUAGAAACUAAAAAAAGAUUGGUUUCUAAAUUUUUUUUAUCAGCAAUGACAAAUAUAUAAAUGCGAACCACAUUAGGAGUGGAACAACCCAUUAACAAAAGAAAAAACAUAGACCUCUCUAGAUCCCUAAAAAGGCAUCACAGAAUCAAAUGCAUACAUAACAGGGGUUCCAAACACCAACUGGAAAAAGAGACCGGAGCAGCAUGAGAUUUUGUAGAAAUCCAAGACCAAACUUUUUUUUGCAUCAAAGAACAAACUUCCGACGCGUCAGCCACUCCCCUAUUGAAAAUAACCGAGUUUCUGCGAAUUUAGAUCUCCCCCACGACCCCUACCCAAAUAGUAUUCCAAACCACAUUAAUCGAAGUAGAGGACGUGUUCAUCCUAAACUGCGCAAAGUUUGACAUAGGGUCAUUGUGAGAUACAAAUGACACUCCCAGCCACUUAAAGCAGUAACACCAUACCCGCCAAGCAAAGUUGCAUUCGAAAAAUAAGUGACGGUAUGACUCUUCCUCCUUUCCGCACAGACAACACAAGGAACUUUCCACCAGCACCCUUCAUCUUUCCAAAUUGACCCUAGUAGCAAUCUUGUUUUGCAACACCCUCUAGGCCGUAAGCAAAGCUGAAGGAAACGCUUUACAAUUCUAGAGCUUACUAAAAACCGAAGAUGGGUCCGCCACACUAACCCUCCUCACUAAAGAGUAAGCAGAGUUGACAGAGAACAUCUAACCUUCACCUUAUCUCUGUCAACUACCACAUUGUCUAUCAGUCCCUUUUCUUUAGUCAUCCUUGAUGCCCCAACCAACCCUUCUGCCACAAUAAGAAAAAGGAACGGGGCUAGCGGAUCAUCUUGACAAAGACCUUUCUUAGGGAAGAAUUCCUUGGUUGGACUACUGUUCACUAGAACAGAAACCGACGCCGAUUUUAAACAUCCUUUUAUCCAUUGAAUCCACAACUCACUAAAGCCCAACCUCCUCAACAUAUAGUAAAUGAACUCCCAACUAACUGAGUCGUAUGCUUUCUCAUAAUCAACUUUGAAGAAAACGCAACUUUUUCUCUUCCUUUUAUACUCUUCCAGGACCUCGUUGGCGACCAACACACUGUCCAACAAACUCCUCCCUUCAAGAAAAGUCGACUGUCUGACAUCAAUACCUUUGUUGAUCACUUUCUUGAAGCGUAGUAAUAACACUUUAGAGAUGAUUUUAUACAGGCACCCAACUAAAGAGAUAGGGCGAAAUUUACCGAGUUGCUGGGGAUUCUCGACUUUUGGUAUAAGACAAAGGAACGAAGCGUUAGUGCCUCUGGGCCAGUGACCGUUGACUGCAAAGUCUUUUACUGCCGCUACCACACCAUUUUUAACAAUAUCCCAUCAGAAUUUUAGAAAACCAAAAUUGAAACCAUCAGGGCCAGGACUCUUGCAACUAUCACAUCUCCAAAUCGCAGCCCUAACUGUUGGGUUUAAUAGUGCCAAAGUUCAAGAGGGGGGUGAAUUGACCUUUUAAAACUUUCUCGCAGAAACAGUGUUUAACUCAGUUUUACAGAAAAUAAAUCGAUUUAUGUGAAAAUGAACAGAUUUAUUUCAGCACUGUUUUUGUUUGAAACGCUUUUAAUACAGCAAGGUUAAUCACAAGACUAUGUAGAUAGAUUUUCCAGAUGCACACACACAAAUAUCAGAAUGAAAAACAGUGAAACACAAAACAGCAAACUUCAAUUUCAAGCAAGUGAUUAAGGUUCAAUUGAUAACAUGCUAAUUAAUUGAGUGACCUUUGCAAACAACCUGUUCCAGUGACUUUUGACAGACUAUGAGUGUUCUUCUUGAUGUCAAGCAAUUUUCCAGAAAUUAAGAACAAUGAAUCACAGAACAGCAAGCUUCAACUUUCAGCAAUUGUUUAAGGUUCAAUUAAUAGCUUUGACAGUUUCUUGAGCAGUCUAUCACAGUCAAUGUGUUCCAAUGGCUUUUAGCAGAUUAUAUAUGUUCUUAUCAGAUUCAAACAACUUUUUCAGAAAUCAAGAACAGUAUGCACAGUGCCCAGAAAGAACAGAUUUAUUUUCAAUUGAACAGAUUUAUUUCUUUGCUGUUUUACCAAUUAUGCAGAAACGAAAUUGCAGAGAGUGAGAGAGAAUGAACACAAGCAGUUAUACUGGUUCACUCAACCUGAGCUACAUCCAGUCUUCACCAACAACAGGUGGAAAUCACUAAAACACAGUACAACCAAGUACAAUUCCCACUGUUCUUGAAACCUACAAGAACUUAGGUACUCUUGCUGAAAAAACCUAUUUCAGCUCACACACACACACUCUCCAAGAACACCUAUGAAGAAGAGUGUUCAACCAAACUAUUACAAGGAAUAAGAAGUGAAACGACUACACCUGAUUGAGGAUACAAAGAUCAGCCUUAAACCAGUAGGCAAGAUUGCUAGAACAGUAGCUGCACCUCACACCAAGCUUUUGGAACCAAACCAAGAACAAGCACUUUGUGAUUUUCGAAAUCUUUGAAGAAUAAAUGCUAAUCCUUUGUAAACUUUUGAUUCUCUGCUGUAAAAACUUGUUUUUGCAAAUGUAUGAACUGUUGAAUUGAUUAUUAACUCAGAAAACAAGUUUGCCUUUUAUAGAGAACCAACUUAUAAUAGAUAUUUGAAAAACAGUUAAAGCUAUUAUAAAAUGAACAGAUUGAAAACAAAAUGAACAGAUUUAUUUUCAAAAAGCAGUUAUAGAAUCUGUUAAGUGAGGAGACUUAGUCAACCAUUCUGGUGCAGAGAUAAAACUGAAAAACGUUUAAGCUUGUCAUGGCACCAGAGACAAAAAGAAUCUAUUCAUUUACAGAUGAACAGAUUUAUUUUUCAAAACGAAAACAGAGAAAGUUUAACUAUUUGAAACUCAGUCGUUUUGAAAAGAAAAAGACUUAGUCAAAAUGCUUGAUGCACAAAAUCUAAUUUUCACAGGACAAAGCCAAGGCAUCAGUGUAAAAAAUGAAUCUGUUUAUUUAGAAAAGAACAGAUUUAUUUUUAUGCAGUAAACGUGUUUUUUGUAAAACAUGUGAAAAACAGUUUAAGAAAACUUAUGCUUGUUCUUAUCACAUGGCCAGUAGUUAUGAGGUGAGUUACUCAGCAAAAAGCCCACUCUUAGACAACCUCUAAGCACUACCUAAGACAUACUUAAAGCAAAGCAAAAUACAAAUGAAAUGUACAUAUAAGUCUUCAUCAAACACUACAUAUCAGUCUUCAUCAAACACAAUCUUGAAGGGGCAGCAACCAUCUUCAACAAUCUCUUCUUCAGAAAAGUCAUCUAUCAGCAUAUCGUUAUCAGAGUCCGAUAUAGAGCAAAACUUAACAUUAUCCAAACGAACCUGACAAGCAUCGUUCCUAGCAAACCUAUCUUUGAAAAAAGUCUGAACCUUUUCCUUGAUCACCUCCUUAUCCUCGCACCAUUUACCAUUCACAUGAAAACCAUGCAACUGAUUUCUCACCCUUCUCCACUUAACAAACGAGUGGAAAAACAUUCUAUUUAGAUCCCCUUGUUUUAUCCAGCUUUGUCGUUCUUUCUGAAACAUGACUGCCUCCUGCUUAAACUUAGCUUUAUUAAGUUCAGCAAGGAGAACCAUUCUUUCUUCCCUUUCAGACCCAAUCAGCCCACAAACAUCAUCGCGUUCAUCCAGAACUUCGAUCUUAUUUUGUGCCUCCUUGUUAGCAAGAUUCACAUCACCAAAGCUUCUUUAUUCCAAAUUUUUAGGUCAGCUUUUAGCCUUUUCAACUUUUCUUUAAAAAUAAAAAUCCUGUCUCCUACAACCUCAUAAAAGUACCAUCUCGAGCUCACAAACUCCUUAAAACUGUUAUCUCUAAGCCAAACGUCCAAACAUCUAAAAGGUUUUGGGCCCAGUCUACGAACACCUCUUUGAGAAUAACAGUGCAAUGGUCAGAGACAAAUCUACUUAAGACGAACUGUUGACAAUUUGGCCAGAAAUCCAACCAUUCCUUUGACACCAACACUCUGUCAAUUCUGCUCUUUACUAACUCGUUUGACUUAUACCAGGUAAACUUCUUGCCUACCAACGGAAUAUCAACCAAUUUCGAACUUUCAAUAAACUCAUUGAAGCCUUUUAUUUCUCUGGAAUAAUCUAGCGUCUGAUAGAAUUGAAAUCACCAAUGACGCACCAAGCCUUUGAUAGCUGAUUCAGUCUAACUGCAUUGAUUUCACUCCACACUUCCUUCUUUUCCCGUAGGGAACCAGAGCAAUAAACGUUCACUCCCGUUACACUUACCCCAUUACCUCGCUUCCAAAGACCUUCAAUCACAAAGUAGUUCCUGUCGUUUACCACCUUAGACUUUUGAAAAGACUUACUACUCCACAUUGUAAGAACUCCUCCAACACUAUUACAAGCUUUGUUCUCAACCCAAUCAAUUUCGUUAGACCCCCAAAGAAAGUACACCUUCCCCGGCUAAACCCGAACUCUUCGUCUCUUGUAAGCACACCAUAUCCGUCUACUCCUUAUUGAUCAAAUCCCUUAAAUAAUUCCUUUUUAUGGUGCCACCUAACCCUCUGAUAUUCAGACUAAUUAUCUUCAUAAACAAACUUACUCCUAUCUCCCUUCCACUUCCUCGAAAAAUCACCUCCCUGUUUUGAUAGAGACAACAAAUUGUUUACAAUUGCUCCUUCGCGACCGGGAAAAGAAAAACCAGCUUCUUUACCCACACACCAAACCCUUGACGCCUCAUUCUUAUCUGUCUUUACCUAGAAAAUUUUAUUGCAAUUCUCAAUUGCGCUGUCAAACGUGAAUAAAGAAUCAAUAUUAGAUUUUGACUGAUGAACCACGAGAACCUGAUCUACCCUUACAUCCACCAAAUUGCUCUCGUUCAUCACAUUAUCAUCUGACCCGUUCCGGCCAAUGGCCAAACCUGCAUUCGGCCUUGGAGUUAAAACUGCAGCCUGUAUAUUUGGUAGCAAAAACUUUGGUUGCUAAUUAAAUACCAAUUUAGAAACUAUUUAACAAUAAUAUAAACUAAUUUAGAAACCAAUUUAGUUACUAUUGCAACUAAUUAUUUCGGUCUCUAAAAAUUGGUUUCUAUUUCAUGAUUUUCUUGUAGUGUUUACAAGUUUAAAUAAACCAUGUUGAAAAGAUUCAUAUUUAUUAUCAAUCAUUGACAACCUAGUAGAUGGUGUAUUGAGUAUGAGAUGUUGAGUUUCAUGGACUGCUAUUCAAGUUAUAACUAAAUUAGAAUGUAUUGAAGACAAGACAACAUUAUGCUAGAAAUAUUUGGUUUUUGUUAGAAAAAAAUAUCGUUUGGAUUGAAGAAUAUAAAAAACAACCUAUCAAAGGUUGGUGGAUCGAAUCUCAUGCAAUUUGAUUGGUUGGAAUGUUGAAACAUAUAUGCAUGACAUAAUGGUCAUAUUAGACAAAACUGACCAACAUGAAAAAAACUUGGAAGAGUUGUUCAAAACUAUUAACAAAUAUAGUUUGAAGUUUUUUUUUAUCAGCAAAAACUAAAUGAAUAAAAGGGGAUGCUUCAGGAGUGUACCAACCCGUAUAAAAAAACCAAAGACAACAAAGGAAGUUAAACACAACAAAAUAUACUUGGAUAAUAGGGAUGGUGUCCCUUUUCAACAAUCUCCAACAAGUUUAGAUUAGUAGACUCAAGAUAUGUUAUGCUAAGCUUUCAUAGAUAAUAUUUUUCACCUUUGAAAAGAGGUGGAUGAUUGACAACUUGACCUUCUCCUUGAGUCUAAUGGAUUGAACCUCUCUUUCUUAUUAGGAUUUUACCCUAGAGGCAAGCUCUGGUUUGACAUAUCUUUAGUCGCAUCAGAUUUUCCAAACAAAAAUUAAGCUUCCCCCGAUGUAACAUAAGGCUAACUUAGGUCGAAUCUCUAAAUACAUAUCUCAUAUAUUAUAUUUUCACUACUUCAUAUUCUACUUAAAUAAGUUAAAAUUGGAGGGGGGAAAAAGGAAAUUGGAAUGAAAAACGAACUAAAACAUAAAACAAAGUAAAGAAUAGACCAUCAAUACAUAAUUGUCUAACAGACUGUUCAUCAAAACAUGAAAUGUAAAGAAUNNNNNNNNNNNNNNNNNNNNNNNNNNNNNNNNNNNNNNNNNNNNNNNNNNNNNNNNNNNNNNNNNNNNNNNNNNNNNNNNNNNNNNNNNNNNNNNNNNNNNNNNNNNNNNNNNNNNNNNNNNNNNNNNNNNCUACUUAGAGAAAGUGAAAGAGAAAGAAAGUGAGACCGACCAUCUAAAAGAUGCAGUAAAGUAAAUGACUAAAAUGUAAAUUGUGAGAAAUAUAAAUAGAUGAAAUGUAAAUUGCAGGAAACAUAAAUUAUUGGAAAUUAAAGUGCAGGAAAGUAAAUUGCAAAAGUCGUAGAGUACAAAAACUUAAAGACUGGAAACAUAAAAUAGAGCAUGAUUCAAAAUGUAAAUUGCAAUUGAUUUAACAAGAACAAAAAAUGAAUUAGAUGCAUAAAUUGAAAAUAUAAAUUGUAGAACUAUAAAUGAACAAGAAUUAAAAGGAAUAAACGAAAGGAAAAGCAAAAUUCAAUUUAUGAAUGUGAAACACGGGACAAAAUCAUGGUUCGAUAAUCUUCAACUUUGAAUGCAAGAGACCAAAAUUUGGAUUCCUUUUUAAUCAAGAAAACACAAUCGUUCAGUUUGAAUGUUCAUAAAAAAUAUUUUCAAUCAAAAAGGAAAAUACUAAAAUAGAGCAUCAUCAAACAUGAUUUUUAAUUCACUGUUACCCAAUUACAAAAUUAAAUUCACUUUCAAAUAUAAAGCGCAAAAUAUAAAGCAAUGCAGAAGUUAAAAAAGAAAAGAAGAAACAUGAGAGAGUGAAGAAGAAAAAUAAAGAACUCUCAUAAUAUUGGAAACCAACAAAAACUAUUAAUAAAAAACUGAAAACUAAACUAAACUAGUGUUGCACCUAAGUGCUUGCUGAAACAUAUCUUUUCUUCUGCAGUUACAGUUUACCUAUAAAGUUUUGAAGCUUUACAAAUAGGUGGUCCUUGGUUGCAAUUGAAAUCGGACCCAAAAAACUGAUCUAAAACUAGCUAAACUGACAAUCUUAAACUUAGUUUUGUUGACUAUCUAAUACUUCGUUAAUGCGCUUCGUUAAUGCGCUUCGUUGAAUGCUGACUUUUAACCGUUUAAUGCUCAUUUUGUUGAUUUUCAUUCUUUCAACUCAACUUUUUCCACUCUUCGUGGUAUAAGUAUUUUCAUUAAAGACCAAUUCAAAAAUAUUCCUACAAAAGAUCAUAAGCAAUUGUUAGGCGGUUGAAGCAAAAUUUAAGCUAAAAACUAUAUUUUUAUUACUUUUUUAUAAAAGAAUACUAAUUUCUUAAAGAAAAUACAAAUUUACUCUACAACCAAAAAAUAAGAACCAAGCAAAUCUCCAAAAUCAGAAAAUAAACAAAAACAUUCAAAAUUUAUGUUAAAUCCUAAACUUUAAACCCUAAACCAUGCAUGACUGUCGAUAUAAAUUUGAUGUAAAUUUUGGACUUCCUUUUUUAAGUUUGAUAGUUUUGGCUUCAAACUAAAGCCUCAAAUCAAGAAAACUCCCAAUAACAAUGCAUAUACAAUAAUAGAUAAAUAUUAUGUACAAAAUCAUAUAAUUUAACCUUAAUAUUUGUUGUAAAACAAGAACCUAAUAUAGCAAAAUAAAAACAAAAAAUAGAGUGUGUGAAACGAAAACAGAGUAAGUGGUAAAACCCUAAAUUUCUUCAAUGACCAUUGGAGGAGAUCGCGGAGGUUCAACGAAGACCGGAUCUGCUCCAAGGUUUUCGCGCGGCGUUGCCUCUUCUACCCUGAAUCGUAGCCGCACGACUGGGAACGCUCACGCCUUCGCUCUACUGAUAGUGUGGAAUCUUGAGAACGUUGCGAGAUUCGUGGGUGGUUGGCUCCUCCUUUCCCGUGGGUCUUCCUCCAACUCCGGCGACAGUCACGACUUCGUUAGGGUUUGAAGAUGCGGUAGUUUUGGGUUUCUCCAUCUAUAAAUACCACAUUCCAUCCUCUUGCUUCACACUACUCUCACUCACGGUUCUUCAUCCUCUUGAAACCCUCUACCGUGCUUCUUCUCCUUCUUUUCCAUUCUUCACCUUUUCUUUUUCUUUCUCUCUCUUCAAUAUUUUAUUAUUAUAAUAAUUAUGUGUUCUAUUGGAGUAUUACUCUUUUAAAGAGAAACUUGCUAGUUCUGAUCCUCGAAAACUACCGGGAAGUUCCUGUUGUAUCUUGGGGGACUUACGCAAUACACCGCGGAUAAGUCCUUAUGGACAAUGUGUUGGGUCUAUUAGUGUCUAAGUUCAAGAGGGGAGGGGUGAAUUGAGCUUAUAAAAUUUUCGCAAAAACACACAAUUUUUCAGUAUUCCAGAGGCAAAAAGAACAGAUUGUUUUUACAUGAAACAGAUUGAUUCUUCAGAGCAGUAUUGGCACAAUUUGAAUUUUGUUCACUGUAAAAUUGUGAUCAGCAGAGAAUUAGAACAGAACCAGAUCUGCUUAAUAUUGUGAGGAUGAAGGAUAUAGCUAUGCUUAGAGAUCAACCAAAAUUACACAACACAAGAUUUCAAGAAGUAUGAUCCUUUCUCAGGUUUUAAUGAAUGGUCAGUUUGUUCACAAUUCACUUAAGCCAUUAUAUGCAGCAACCUUGUUUAUGAUCAGAAAACUUUAACAAGACAGGAAGAACAGUUUUCACUUAACCCAGAAUUAACAGAUUCAAUUUAAAAAGAACAGAUUCAGUUCUUGACAGAAUUAAGCAAAAGAUCAGAAAAGAGUGCAGGGAUGAGAAUGCAAGAUACACACGUUUUUAUACUGGUUCACUCAUACAGAGCUACAUCCAGUCUCACCUUACCCCAAGGUGGAAUUCACUAAAAACAGUGCCAAUCACUUACAAAAACCAGCAGUUCUUGAACACUANNNNNNNNNNNNNNNNNNNNNNNNNNNNNNNNNNNNNNNNNNNNNNNNNNNNNNNNNNNNNNNNNNNNNNNNNNNNNNNNNNNNNNNNNNNNNNNNNNNNNNNNNNNNNNNNNNNNNNNNNNNNNNNNNNNNNNNNNNNNNNNNNNNNNNNNNNNNNNNNNNNNNNNNNNNNNNNNNNNNNNNNNNNNNNNNNNNNNNNNNNNNNNNNNNNNNNNNNNNNNNNNNNNNNNNNNNNNNNNNNNNNNNNNNNNNNNNNNNNNNNNNNNNNNNNNNNNNNNNNNNNNNNNNNNNNNNNNNNNNNNNNNNNNNNNNNNNNNNNNNNNNNNNNNNNNNNNNNNNNNNNNNNNNNNNNNNNNNNNNNNNNNNNNNNNNNNNNNNNNNNNNNNNNNNNNNNNNNNNNNNNNNNNNNNNNNNNNNNNNNNNNNNNNAGAUUUAUUUUGUGAAAACUGCCAACUCAGCUUAACAGAAAUAACUGUCUGAGUGGUACCUUUGGAGCCCUAACUAACUUGUGAAAAGCCUUUCAACUCACCAAGGAAUAAACAUGUUCUUUCUCAGUGAAACAUAUUAAAGUAUAACGCACAGGCCAGCUCAGCUUAACUGAAAUAACGAACUGAGCUUUCCCUUGGUGCCUUAACAGAAAUUUAGAAAAGCCUUUUAACAGAGAAGAAAUAAACAGAUUCUUUCUCCAUAAAACAUAUUUAUUUGUGUACUGUUUUAAAACUGUUAAAACCAUUUUAAAAAGCUUUUCAAAAACUAUUUAACGAAAGCCUUUUUAACGGAGAAGAAAUACACAAAUUCUUUUUCCAUAAAACAGAUUUAUUUGUGUACUGUUUUAAAACUGUUAAAAAACAUUUCAAAAGCUUUUCAAAAACCAUUUAACCACAUCAUGUGCUUGAUCUAGACUUGGUUAGGCAUCUAGGAUAGGUUACACAGCAAAAGGCAAUCAUACACACUUACAAGCCUAAUUACAAAUGAAUCUAAGAACCUAUUACAAUCUUCAAAGCACUCAAGCCAUUUUCUUCAUCAAACACACAUCAAGUCUUGGUAGGGAAGAAGCUUCCUCCAGCUUCAACACAAUGAUCACUCACGCCUCGGGAAAUAUUUUGUUCGUUUUAAAGCCUAUUUUACUACAAUCGUAAGGACUUAUGGCUGAAAAUACGAACAACAACGACAACAUUGCUCCGGGAUCGUCAAGUGUUGUUUCCACAACGCAAACCAUUUUUGCUAAACCAUUUCCGGAUGUCUCCAAAAUUGAAGUCUUCACCGGUCAGAACUUCCAACGUUGGUAAGAACGCGUGUCCACCCUAUUGGACAUGUACGGAGUUGCUCAUGCACUUACAACUGCCAAACCCGACUCAACCACGACUACGAAGCAAGUUGAUGAUUGGAUCCAUGCGAAUAAGGUAUGUCGUCACACUUUACUCAGUGUGUUAUCUAACGAUCUGUUAGAUGUUUAUGCUUCUUAUAAGAAUGCGAAAGAAAUUUGGGAUUCUCUUAUCCUCAAAUAUACUGUCGAAGACAUCGUCAGACAAAGGUUCGUAAUUGCAAACUACUAUCGCUGGGAGAUGAUCGAAGGCAAAGACAUCAAAAUCCAAAUAAAUGAAUAUCACAAGCUGAUUAAAGAUAUCAAAACUGAAAGCAUAACCUAGCCGGAUGAAUUCGUGUCCGAACUCUUGAUCGAAAAGCUCCCGCAGUCUUGGACGGAUUACAAACAACAACUGAAGCACAGACAUAAACAUAUGUCUCUAUCGGAUCUGAUCACCCACAUCAUCAUCGAAGACACAAACAUGAAGGAGUGCGCUGCUGCAAAGGUCAAAGCUUUGUCUGCCAAAGCAAACGUGAUAGAAGACAAACCAGCUCCAAAAAGGUACGAGAAAAAAUUUGAUCACAAAAAGAAACCUAAUAACAAAUUCUUUCGUCCCAGUGGAACUAACCCCACUUUCAAGAAAAAGGGUAAUUGCUUUGUCUGUAGAAAGCCAGGUCUUCAUGCACCUUAGUGUAGACAUAGGGCAAAAAACGACUAUCCUCAUAAGGCAAAUCUAGCCAAAGGGGAAGAUACUAUUGUGGCAGUCGUUUCACAAGUAAACCUUGUGACAAAUGUGAGAAAAUGGGUGGUAGACUCUGGGGCUACCAGACACAUCUAUGCAAACAGAAAUGUGUUUACCUCCUACACAAGUGUGGGGGAUGGAGAAGAACAAGUAUAUCUCGGUGACUCCAGGACAACUCCUGUCCUAGGAAAAGGAAAAGUUAUUCUGAAGCUCACAUCUGGUAAAACUCUAGCUUUGAAUGAUGUUCUACAUGUGCCGUCAAUUAGAGUUAAUUUGGUCUUUGUGGCAUUACUAAGCAAAGUUGGGGUUAAAGUGUCAUUUGAAUCUGACAAGAUUGUUAUGACAAAAAUAAUGUUUUUGUGGGAAAGGGAUAUUGUGAUCAAGGCCUUUUUGUAUUAAAUAUUUUUGAAAUUAUGAAUGAAUCUAAAUCUUAUGCUUAUAUUGUUGACUCGUAUGAUAUAUGGCAUGCUAGAUUAGGACAUGUGAAUUCUUCGUAUGUUAUAAAAUUGCAACGACUAGGAUUAAUCAACAUGCAUGACAAACAAAAUAGUAAAUUUGAUGUAUGCGUAGAAUCUAAAAUAACGAAGAAAACAUGUCACUCUGUAGAAUGUCAAACUGAAAUUCUUGGUUUAAUUCAUACUGACCUUGCUGAUUUAAAACAAAUUAUGUCUAGAGGUGGUAAAAAUUAUUUUGUAACUUUUAUAGAUGAUUUUUCUAGAUACACCAAAGUGUAUUUAAUUAAACAUAAAAAUGAAGCUUUUGACAUGUUUUUAACUUAUAAAGCGGAAGUAGAAAAUCAACUAAAUAAGAAAAUUAAGAGAAUUAGAUCAGGUAGAGGUGGUGAAUAUGUUUUAUUUAAUGAUUAUUGUGUAAAAGAAGGUAUUAUUCAUGAAGUAACCCCACCAUAUUCGAGUCUAAUGGAGUAGCUGAAAGGAAAAAUAGGACUCUUAAAGAAAUGAUGAAUGUCAUGCUUAUUAGUUCUAGUGCUCCUGAUAAUUUAUGGGGUGAAUCUCUACUUACUGCGUGUUUUUUACAAAAUAGGAUACCACAUAGGAAAACUGGUAAAACACCCUAUGAGUUGUGGAAAGGUUAUCAACCUAAUUUGAAAUACCUAAGAGUGUGGGGGUGUUUAGCUAAAGUGAUGUUACCUGAUCCUAAGAAAAGAAAAAUAGGCUCUAAAACAUCUAAUUUUAUGUUCUUAGGAUAUGUAGAACAUAGUGCUGCCUAUAGGUUUCUAGUUCUUAAUAGUGAUAUAAUUGAACGUAACACUAUAGUAGAGACGAAAAAUGUUGAGUUCUUUGAACACAUCUUUCCUCUAAAGAGUAGUGGUACAUCUGAACAACCUAUAGAUAGUGCUAGUGAUACCUUGAGUGAGGAUGUUAGGAGAAGUAAAAGACAGAGAAAGGAAACAUCUUUUGGAGAUGACUUUUAUACUUAUCUAGUUGAGAAUGAUCCAAUAAGUUUUGUAGAAGCUACUAGUGCUCCUGAUGCUAAACAUUGGGAUAAGGCCAUUAAAAUUGAGUUUGAUUCAAUUAAGAAAAAUAAUACGUGGACCUUAGUAGAUUUGUCUAAAGGAGCAAAACCCAUUGGUUGUAAGUGGAUCUUUAAGAAGAAGUAUCAUCCUGAUAGAUCCAUAGAGAAAUAUAAGGCAAGAUUAGUAGCUAAAGGGUUUACUCAAAAACAUAACAUAGAUUACUUUGAUACUUUUGCACCUGUUACUAGGAUUUCCUCUAUCCGUGUAUUGCUAGCCUUAGCAUCUAUCCAUAAGUUAGUAAUUCACCAAAUGGAUGUUAAAACAGCUUUUCUGAAUGGUGAAUUAGAAGAGGAAAUUUAUAUGACUCUACCUGAAGGAUAUGUAGUUCCAGGUCAAAAGGAAAAAGUAUGCAAACUUUUAAAAUCUUUGUAUGGUUUGAAACAAGCACCAAAACAAUGGCAUGAAAAACUUGAUAAUGUUUUACUUUGUGAAGGUUUUUCUACCAAUGAUGCUGAUAAAUGUGUGUAUUCUAGAUCUGAAAAUGGUGAAUAUGUCAUUAUAUGUUUGUAUGUAGAUGACAUGCUAAUUUUUGGUACAUGCAAUGAUAUAGUUUUUUAAACAAAAUUGUUUCUUGGAUCUAAGUUUGAGAUGAAAGACAUGGGUGAAGCAAGUGUGAUUCUAGGAGUUAAAAUCAUAAGGAAGGAAGAUAGUAUAUUACUAUCCCAAGAAAAAUACAAUGAGAAACUUCUUAAGAAGUUUGGUUACUAUGACUUUAAGUCAGUGAGUACCCCUUAUGACGCUAAUUCUAAAUUUGGCAAAUCCUCUGACAAAACCCCUAGGGAGAAAAAUGAUUUUAGAAACAUCGAGGGGAAUGGGACUUAAGCCACUUGCAAACAAACAAGUGAUGGAAACCCAACCUUUGUCAUUGGAGAUCCCAUGAAUAAGGUUCAUAUGGGUAAAAACAAGUCACUUGUUAGUUCUGCUAGCACUGAUAUUGAUUUAAAAUCAUUUUUGUCCAUUCCUAUGGUGUGUGUGAAAGUGCUAGUUAUUGCAUUAUCGAGAGGAUAAACUUUGUGGUUAAAAUUCAGAGGUAAAAGAGUUUUAAUGAUUUUCAUAUCCCUUAUGGGUGCUGUAUGAUUUGCAACAUACACUUGAUGAAAUCACCUAUAUGAGUGUCAAGUGGGGCCGCUUGCAUGAGAUCUUGGCAAGAUCUCUAUAGCACUCAUGAAUACCGGGCACGCGCAUGGCCUAGUAGCGCAACACAGCGAUAACAACAAGUAAUGUGGGGGUUUAUUGUGAUUGAUAAACCUCUAACACAUACUAAAUGUCUUGGUUCAUAUAGCUUGCUAUACCAACUACACUAUGUGUUAAGUUCAUCAAUCUAAGACUGGUUCAUAUAGCUUGCUAUACCAGUUCUGAUGCAUUACAUCUUAGAUAAAUCCAGUAUUAUUUUCUUUCAAUAUUUCUAUGUUUUAUCUUUUGCAAUAUGUGGGGGAUUGUUGUAAAACAAGAACCUNNNNNNNNNNNNNNNNNNNNNNNNNNNNNNNNNNNNNNNNNNNNNNNNNNNNNNNNNNNNNNNNNNNNNNNNNNNNNNNNNNNNNNNNNNNNNNNNNNNNNNNNNNNNNNNNNNNNNNNNNNNNNNNNNNNNNNNNNNNNNNNNNNNNNNNNNNNNNNNNNNNNNNNNNNNNNNNNNNNNNNNNNNNNNNNNNNNNNNNNNNNNNNNNNNNNNNNNNNNNNNNNNNNNNNNNNNNNNNNNNNNNNNNNNNNNNNNNNNNNNNNNNNNNNNNNNNNNNNNNNNNNNNNNNNNNNNNNNNNNNNNNNNNNNNNNNNNNNNNNNNNNNNNNNNNNNNNNNNNNNNNNNNNNNNUCUAUAAAUACCGCAUUCCAUCCUCUUGUUUCACACUACUCUCACUCACAGUUCUUCAUCCUCUUGAAACCCUCUAUCGUGCUUCUUCUCCUUCUUUUCCAUUCUUCACCUUUUCUUUUUCUUUCUCUCUCUUCAAUAUUUUAUUAUUAUAAUAAUUAUGUGUUCUAUUUGAGUAUUACUCUUUUAAAGAGAAACUUGCUAGUUCUGAUCCUCGAAAAUUACCGGGAAGUUCCUAUUGUAUCCUGAGAAACUUGCGCAAUACACCGCGGAUAAGUCCUUACAGACAGUGAUCACUCACGUCUCAGAAAAUCUUUUGUUCGUUUUAAAGCAUAUUUUACUACAAUAUUUUCUCAACAAUAUAAAAGAAACUAUAUCAUCUUUGCUGAAGGAAGAAAGUAUAUUAUAUGGAAGCAAUUCCACAAAGUAACCCAAAAUUUCACCACACUUUUCAACCUAUGGCCUAAAAAUUUGACACGAUCGAUCUCCAAAAUAUAACGUCAAAGUAAUAGUGCGUUUUCAAUUUUAAGUCCCACAUAAUUUUCGUGAUUUUAGACUUUAAUUACGUUUAUAGUUACUUACAAAAUUUGGUAUUUUUAAUUAAGUGUGUAUUAAUUUGUAUAUUAAAUUUUUUAUAUAAAUUAAAUUAUUGUCUUUUAUUUUUUUAUUAAUUCAAUAAUUUAAUAUUUAUUUCGUUACUUUUCUUCAUGUAUUAAAAAAUAUAAAAUUUUAUAAUUAAUAUAAAAAAUAUUAUAGUUAAUAUAAAACGAUAAGCCUCUAAAGAACAAAAUCAAAUAUUUGCAUCCGUUUAAAAGGUGUCACUCUUUUAAUCAAUAAAUUUUUUAAUGUACAUUUGUUUAUUUAUAAAUAUAGAUUUUACAUAAGAUUUCAAAUAGAUUUACAAGCUUUAAUUUAUUAAAAUAUAUAAAUCAUUUUAAUCAAAUUAAAGUUGACUAAAUCUAUAAAAAUAAUUUAGGUCGAUCUACAUUUUGAAAACUAAAUAUAUGUUUACAAUACUUGGUAUUAGAAAACUAUAAAAUAAUGAUGCCUUAAAAGCAUUUAUUUUAUAUUUAAUAAAUUGUCUUAACCAAUAUUAAUCAAAUAAAUUAUCAACUAUUAAUGAAAUAUUUAGAAUAGAUAAAUAAUAAUUUUGUAAACAUAUUUAUAUAAAUCAAAUUAAAAACUAACAUAUGUUUAAAAUAUAAAUUGUUCGAAUGUACAUGACAAUGUUUGUAAUUAUUAUAUUUUGACAAAUAUAUAUGUGACAACUCAUAUUUAUUUUUGUAAAAUUAAAAAUUAAUAAUAAAUAUAUUAAAAAUUACAAUAUAAAAAAUCUAAGUUAAAUCCAUUUACUACCAGAUGAGGCACUAAAGGAUAUGAAAGGACUUUACAUGGAUAGAUGGAAACCACCAGUUUUUGGGAAAAUGAAAAUGAACAUAGAUGGAAGCUAUGAGUUAUCAUUCACUAAAUAGUCACAGAAAAGUCUAUAAGGAUCAAAAUUCUACGUAGGUCUUUGGCUUUUCUUCUUGUAAUACAUCGAAAGCAGAAAUUUUGGUCAUUUUGCAUGCAAUUCAUGUAACCAUUUUAGAAUAUAAUAACAUGUCCUUGUAUAGCAAAUUUCACUNNNNNNNNNNNNNNNNNNNNNNNNNNNNNNNNNNNNNNNNNNNNNNNNNNNNNNNNNNNNNNNNNNNNNNNNNNNNNNNNNNNNNNNNNNNNNNNNNNNNNNNNNNNNNNNNNNNNNNNNNNNNNNNNNNNNNUGAAUAUAUCUAGCUAGAGUUGAUUAUUUGUUCCUUUGUCACUGUUUCAUCUGGAAAUAGAAUAGGUUUUGGAGGGAUUUCCAAGUCUUCAAUAUCCCCUUCAAGCAUUUCCACUACUCUAUUCAUUGAGGGUCGAUCAUUUGGUUUUAGUUGUAUACACCAUAAUGCAACUAUGAUCAUCUUCUUUGCUAUUUUAUUUUCCUCUUCUGUCACAUCUUCGAUAUCUACAUCUUCCUCUUCCCUAAUAUGAUCAUAGAUCCAAAGGGGAAAGUAAAGUUGACUUGAGUGGUCUGCAUAAGGAUUUAGAUUCUUCCUCUUACUUGCCAUCUCCAUCAACAACAUUCCGAAGCUAUAAACAUCAACCUUAUGAGAUAUUCCUCCAAUAUUAUUAUAAAACAAUUCUGGAGCCAUAUAUCCAAUGGUUCCUCUUGCUGCAGUCAUUGUGACAAUACUAUUAUCUAUCGGAUAUAACUUUGCCAAUCCAAAGUCAGAAACCUUAGGGAUGAAGUUUUCAUCUAGUAAGAUAUUAUGGGGUUUGAUGUCAAAAUGCAAAAUUUGCAUCUCACACCCAUGGUGGAGAUAAGCAAUCCCACGAGCCACUCCGAUUGAUAUAUUAUAUAUCUUUUCAUAGCUUAAAUGUAUAUUUAUCUCUUUUGAGAAAAUAAAUUUAUCAAGAGAUCCAUUGGGCAUGAAUUCAUAGACAAGAGCACGUUUUGAGCCACUAGCACAAAAUCCAAUUAACUGUACCACAUUUUGAUGAUGUAUUCUUCCAAUGGUUGCAACUUCACAUAUAAAAUCUUGUCCAUUUGCUUUGGAUUUGUCUAACAUUUUGAUGGCAACAAAAGGCCCACUGCGCAACUUUGCCUUAAAGACAGAGCCAAAUCCUCCUUCACCUAACUUCUCUUUGAAACCUGCAGCCAUCUUCUUGAUAUCCUUGUAUGAAUAUCUAAUAGGUGCCAAACUAUUUUGUUCAAGGUAAUUUUCAAUAUUUUUAUACAUCGACAUAUGUCUAUUUCUCCAUUUACAUAUAAAAAUAAAAAUUAAGAAUGGCAAUCCAAACAAAACUUUGUAAGCCCAUACCAUUAAAAUAGGUUCGAGAAUAUCUGCAAGAAAUUUUUACUUUGAGUGAUUACACUUAUACUAUAAAAUGCAACAAGAUAUUUGUUAAAGUAAAUGUGGAGUACAUAAUUAAAACAGAGGUAAAUUAAGAUGAUAAAAUAUCAAUUUCAGAAUAUAAUAAAGACUGAGAUAAUAAAGGUUGUGUUGGAUUAGUAUAAAUCACGGGGAAGAUGAUAAUGCGACUGUAAGAAGAAAUGGACUAAUGGUUGUCCAAAUUAAAAACUAAAUUUAUUAUAAUUUUGUUUCAUGUGGAUUGUGUAUAGUUUAUGGUGUAAUGAUGAAAUAGAGACAACAAAACACCGGUUUUGUAAAAUGUAAAAUUAUUAGUAAGGAUAAAUGGAUAGGAGUUGAUUAAGUUUCACUAUUAAUAGUUUUACUCAGUUGACUUAGAGUUGUGGAUUAGAUGACAUGCAUACAACAGGCUCGUUUAAAUUGUGCAUUAUGAAAAAUUUGCAAAAAAAAAAAAAUGUUUAAAUAGUAUGACAACUAAUUUUGGUAUGUAAAUGGAACAUGUUGGCAAAUGGAGGCUGAUUACUCCCUGAUAUUUUGUAUAAACGAGUUGAGUUGGAUCAUCUUUCUAAUGUUUUAUUUAAGUUUAUUAAUUCUUUGUUAAUAAAGAAAAGCAUAGGUAAAUUAAGAUGCAAAAGUUCUUACCUGUUACAUCCAUUAAUAGUUCUUCCAGUAUUCCUGUAUCACCCGAAAACGAAGGAAAAUAUCAAUUUCAGAACUGUUAAUCUCAACAACUAUACCAACUAAAUGCAUGACUUUUUCUACAAGCAGCUUAUGUGCAUGAGUUCUAACUAAUAAUACAGGUAAAAUAUACAAAGUAAUGAAUUAAUACUCAUCUAAAAAUUGAUAGAAUACAGAAGGGUGAAUCNNNNNNNNNNNNNNNNNNNNNNNNNNNNNNNNNNNNNNNNNNNNNNNNNNNNNNNNNNNNNNNNNNNNNNNNNNNNNNNNNNNNNNNNNNNNNNNNNNNNAUAUAUAUGUUUGACAUUUGGUUUAGGAUCACUCACCAUACCCGCAAUUAAGCUUCUGGUUAGAAGAGUCGAAAUAGCAAUCUCUAUAGGAAAGUGAACAAUGUUUCUGACAGGGUAGUUUUAUCCAUGAAAUCUCGAAUCCAUAGGCGAGUGCGGUGUGCAUGGAAGAGUAGGAAUGGUUAUCGAAAGUGGAGAGAGAAGUGGGAGCAACAAGCUUUACCUCACACCCAACUUCUAAGUCCUCUGCUUUUAGGUCUCCACCAAUUGCAUAUGAAUACCCCUUCCCCUCCCACUUCACCCACUCUCCACUCUCCACAUACUUCCCUUUCUCUCCCACCGAAUCGUUACAAUUCACCAACACUAUAUGCGAGAAACUCAGAGAUUCCCAAUUUACAGAGGCUCUUAGACCAGCUUGGUAUGGAUCCGUGUAGUAAGCGUAAGUGUCAGAGAAAUUGGAGCGAGAGAGGAAACGGAGAGGAAGGGAGGAGAGAUUAUGGUGUUGAAGAGCAGGAUCAACCACUCUCACUGUGUAGUUCUUGUAGUUUAUUGACUGCACAUGAUAUUUUGCAGAGUACAGAUACAACACCGUAACAUUAUUCUCACAACCAAGCUCAUACCUUUUCUCACCACACUUUUCUGGGUCGCCUUUUAAUCGAAAAGGGUGAUUGAUGUUGGUGAUUUUACCACAGGAAGAAGGGGGGCAGCCACCAUGGAUUUUAUGGACUAGAAGUAGCAAUAUCACCAUGAAUGCUCUGUUUCGCCACAUCAUGUUCAAAUUAUCAUGUGCAAACAAAUCAAAGUCGGAUAUUGAUAUUUAAAACAGCACAGACUAUCUUUAUGACUAUUAAGGACCACAUGUUUCCUUUUAGAAAAGUGUUUGAGGACUUAUGAUACUUAAAACGUAGACUUUGACUGCGAAACCGCGUUUCUGUUUCCGCAACUCAUUUUAAUCAAUGCAAAAUUUUAAAUAUUCGUAAAGUGCAUCAAUUCUGAUUUAGAUAUUUAAUCAUGUAAUUUUGUUAAUGAUGUUCUUUUGAAUUUCUAACACCUUCCUAAAUUGUUCUUUUUGGAAGCUUAUAUAAAUAUGGUGUUGAAAAAUAAUUUUAAUGAUUUUAUAAUUUUUAUUUUAAAAUAUAUUCAUUGUCUAGUGGUAGUGUAAUACAGUCCAGUGGUUUUGUUCGGACAGUCUAAGAGGUCAUUAUACUGUCUAGCAUUCUCUAGUAGUAGUGUAACACCGUCUAGUGGUUUUGGCCGGACAGUCAAAGAGGUCUUAUAGACCGUCUAACGGUUCUAGUGAGAUCGUCUAGCUCGUCUAGCUAGUUUAGUAACAAGACUAUCUAGCGGGUUUGUUUUGUCUUUUUAUUCUAUUUAUAUGUUUAUAUGUUGUAAUCUUGAGAGUGUGUGUAUCUCAUGCUCUAUUUUUCAAAAAUUCUGGUUUUCUUCUUUUGUUUCUUGCUUUUACGAGUUGCGUUAUCAUUUCAUUAAUUUGUGUUACUAUGCAUUGAUAAGUGUCUAAUUUCAGUAAUAUUUCAUAUUAAAAUAUAGACACUUAUGAGGAUUUUUUUCUAAUUUACAUAAAAAAUAAUUCCUUAUUUAUAAAUUUAUACUUUUUUACAUUUUUGUAUGAUCUUUAUUUAAAUAAGAGCAUUUUAUUCCCAAAUUUGGUGUUAAUUGCAGGUUUCUAGGGAGGAUUGAAGAUUUGCAGUAAAGGAUAAUGAUUUGAGCUAAAAAGAGAAAGCUGGAAGUUCUCAGAAUAGAGAAAAGCGCCGAAAAACCCAAUGUCGCCAAAGGAGUAUCUCACUCAAGCGAGAUAUUCUCGUUGAAGUGAGAAUGCGUCAGACAGAAUGGGCUUUUUUUUAUGUUUUAUCACUUAGCCCAUCAACGCGACACAGGAAGCGACCUAACCCUUGAAAGUUAGGUUAAAUAGGGGGCUAGAGGCUCAACCCUAGUGUGUCAGAUUGAGAGGAAAACACCAUAGAGUGAAUUGUAACCCAUUUGAGAUAAUGGAAGGUGUUAGAAGUAUGUGUGGCUUAUUAUUCUACCCUUUCAAAUUGGGAGUAAUUUGUUCGAACUCUUAUGUAUUGAGAUGAUAUCUAUAUAAUAUAAUAUCCAGUUCUUGAUUGAUUAUUGGUACUCACCUAAAUAACAAUACUUAACAUAUUUGAGUGCUAGAAAUAGACUUGAAAUGUUAAUUGUUAUUAACAUAUGAGUUUGAUUCUAAAUUGUUCUUAUAAAUAUGUGAGGGAUCGAUAUUUAGGGAACAUUCUUAAGAAUUUUAUAUGUGAGGAAUCGAUAUAAAUGACUUUUAUACGGGCAUCAAUUUCAGGCAAAGAACUUAAUAUUAACAUGCUAAUCAAAAUACAUGAGUGAUACAAAUGAAACCCAAUCCCCAUUUUUCCAAUUGAAGCAAUUACUCUUUGAUUUGUUUUCUUGUUAAUUCUUGUCGUUAUAACAAUUUUCAAACCAACUUUUUAUUAUUCUGUUUUAUAUUUAGCGAAUAUUGUACUUGAAUAGUCAAUUAUUCCUUAUGGGAUCGAUAUCCGUCCUUAAGGACAAAUUAUUGCUUUUGACAACGCGGUGCACUUGCCGUAAAAAGUCAUCAUUACGUGUGUAAUGAAUUACCAUUUUUAUUAUGCUAUCAAAGUAGGUUGAAUGACCUAUUUUGCCUCCACUGUUGUUUCUAUUCUUUUUCUUUCUUGCUGAAUAAUUGUUUUCUCUUGUGGACUAUUUUUCUUGUUUUCUUCAUGUAUUUUUCUGAAACAUAAUACAGAUAGCAAGGUUUUGUUCUGGAUCUUUGCAAUAAUCCCUCAAGCUGAUAUUACUUGCAUCUUGGAGAAUAUUUUGGAACUGCGUUUAUCUCUCCUAAACUAAAUGGAGAAAAUCCCUUCGCAUAAAGGGAAAAUUGUGGUAUUAAAGUUGACACCUCUCAUAGUUAAGUUUGAUCUUGUUGGUACUUAUUCCACCAAAACCCUCCAAUCAAAGGUUUGAGCAUUCUGGAGUGCUCAGACAUUCUCAAACAAAUUGAAUAAAGUAUUACUCACAUAGGUAUUUUUUAAUAUAGCAUAUGAUGACUUGUCAUAGUACUUUCCAUCCUCUUCCCCUAAUCAUUGCCAUCUAUCUUGGUUGUCUUUUUGUAAUUGUGAAAAGUUUAAUUCUCCCAAAUUACCAUUCAAACCUCUCUCUUAUCCACUUUUAAGUUUCACUCCUAACAAUUUUGUGACCAACUUUCUAAUUCUCUUACUGUUUUCCUUUACAAUUAGAAAUUGAGAAUACCCUAGGAAACUUUUGUUUAAAGGUCACCUCUCCUAAUCAUCCUUUCAAUAAGUGAUUGAUAGAUGUUAUUUAUUGACUUCCCUUUUCUAAAUGCCCUUUCUGGCAUUAUUGGUAAGUUCUGAUACUAAGCCUUUAAGGCUCGGCUUGAUGCUUAAUUAGUGGGUUGUGUGGCGUUAUAGCUAUAGGUAAGGUUUGAUAUUAAGCCUCUAAAGCUUGGCCUAACAGUACAAGAAAAUCAUGAAAUAGAAACCAAUUUUUAGAGACUAAAAUAAUUAGUUGCAAUAGUAACUAAAUUAGAGACCAUUUUAGAAACUAAAAAGAAAUUUGGUUUCUAAAUUAGUUUCUAUUAUUUUCUAUUAUUGUUAAAUAGUUUCUAAAUUGGUAUCUAAUUAACAACCAAAGUUUUUGCUACCAAAUUUAGAAACUAAAUAAUUGGUAGUUAAAACCUUAGUUGCUAAUUAGAUACCAAUUUAGAAACUAUUUAACAAUAAUAGAAAAUAAUAGAAACUAAUUUAGAAACCAAUUUUAUUUUUUUAGUUUCUAAAAUGGUCUCUAUUUUAGUUCCCAUUGUAACUAAUUAUUUUAGUCUCUUAAAAUUGGUUUCUAUUUCAUGAUUUUCUUGUAGUGUAAGGUUUGGUCGGUGGCAUUAUAGGUAGGUUAUGAUCUAUAUAACGAUAAUUUGGACUGAAAGAGAGCCAAUCCCAGAAAAAUUCCUAUGAUUAUAUAUUUAAUAGAUGAAUAUCGUUUAUGUCUCCUAAACAUUUAAGACACUUUUAAGACAAGAAUAAAAUGUUAUAAAGGUAAUUUUGGCCUUUAAUAAUGAAUAAAGACUUAAAGUAGGACCAAAUACAAGAAAAUGAGAGGAUUAAUAGAGCAUCAAAAGGAUAUACAAGGUCAGAAAAAGGCAAAACAAAAACUAGGGUUGAAUUGUUUUCACAAGAUUUUCGCAAUACUGGAGUCAGAUUGAAAUCUUAAUCAAAUCAACUAACUAAUUUAUCUGUUCAACUAAUUAUAAAAAGCACAACAAGUAUAUAUUCAAAAAUUAAAAACCAGUUGUUACGAGAAUUCAACCAAUUGAUUUAAAUGCAAAACACCGAAAAGCAAUUGAUAAAACAAAUAUCAGAGUAAGAGAUAGAGAGAUUACACAUGAGAUUUAUACUAGUUCACUCCUACACCAAAAGCUACAUCUAGUCCUCAUCAAACCAUUGAGAAUUCACUAAAGCAAACAUACAAGAUUUACAACACACAACACUCUUAACCACACACAAAAUUCACACUAGUGCAAAUAACACUUUUUACAACAUUAAGUCAGUUAAAUGAGAACCGAUGUAAACAAAAAUGUGGUGACAUUUUUGUAAAUAUUUGACACAUAUUACACCAGUGAAGCUAUCCAACCGGUGUAAUAUGUCCUACUUAGAGAAAAAAAAGUAUUUUUAGAUUUUUUAUCUUUGGGAUUACAUAUAAUACCGGUUUAAUAGAGGAAUUGGUGUUAUAUAUCAUUUUCAGAUUAAAAAAACUUGUUUUCAAACAAAAUUAAGAAUGAUUGCAGCGGUAUUAAUAACUAAACUUGAUAAAUGAUAAAAAGUUGAUAUAUAAUCCAUACGACGACUCUGUAUGGGGCAAUACGUAACUGGAAAACAUAUAUAUGGAUCAUUGCAUCAAUUUAGAAAAUUUAGGCUAGAGAACCUCAUAAAAGUUACCCUAUAUCAAGACAUGAUUUCAUGAAUUAUAUUUAAAAAAAAUAGAGAUUUUAUACAGAUACAAACAUCAAUCAAAAUGUGAGAAAACAGCUUUAUGAUAUUUAUUUGUAAUCCAUCUACUAUUUAGUUUUUGAAAAUUACCUCAUUUCUAUGAGACCAAAUUGUCCACAAAGUAGCAAUUCAUAUGGUUCUACAUAUUUGGUUAUGUUUCCUUGUUAGCCUACAUGUUCAUAGGUAAUGUAUUUUAGCAUUUUUGUGGUGUACAAAGGUAAGUCUAAGCGCACACAUAUCCCAAAUUUGUUUUGCUACCCGACAAUUAAAGAAUAAAUUAUUUAUAGAUUCGUCUAAAUUGACACACAAAAUGCAUGAAAGAUUUGUGAUUGGGAUGAGUCUCUUACAAAGAUUAUAAAGAGUGGCAACUUUAUUUUGGAGUAACCUCCAAACGAAUAACAUAACUGAUGGUAAAGCCUUGAAGCUCCAUAAACUUAGAAACACGUUGUCAUCCUUGCCUGCUUCUAAUCGCUCUAAACCACAUAAUUUUGCUCCUCUUAUUAAUUGUAAUAUCACGGACAAAACAUUGUGGCACUAUAGACUGGGGCACCCUUCACAUGAAAGAUUACAUGUCUUACGCAAACAAUACCCUUUUAUUACUAUUGAUACUCAUCAUGUAUGUGACACUUGUAAUCGUGCAAAACAGAAAAAAAACUUCCUUUCACUUUAAGUACUACUGCUACCUCUUCUAUUUUUGAUCUUGUACACUUUGAUAUUUGGGGACCCUGUUCCAUAACUUCUAUGCAAGGUUUUCGUUAUUUCUUAACUAUUGUUGAUUAUUACUCGCGCUAUACUUGGGUUAUUUUGUUGCAUAAUAAAUCUGAAGUGCGUCCGCACAUCAUUAACUUCACUCUUUUUGUUCAAAAUCAUUUUCAAACUAAUAUCAAAACGAUUCGUACUGACAAUGGUGUUGAGUUUGCUAUGUCAAGUUUUUAUGCUUCAAAGGGAAUUAUACAUCAAACAUCUUGUGUUGAAACACCACAACAAAAUGGCAUUGUGGAACGUAAACAUCAACACAUACUAAAUGUAACCAGGGCCUUACUUUUUCAAGCAAAUCUUCCUCCCAUCUUUUGGGAAUUUGCUGUAAAUCAUGUUGUUUUCUUAAUAAAUUAUAUUCCUACUCCAUUACUUAAUAACAUCACUCCUCAUGAACAAUUGUUUGGAAAACCGUAUGACAUUUCUUUUUUAAAAGUGUUUGGUUGCCUAUGCUAUGCUAGUACCAUUACUGCACAUAGGAAGAAAUUAGAUGAUAGAUCUAUCAAAGGUAUUUUUCUUGGUUUCCCGCAAAAUACAAAAGGUUAUAUUGUCUUAAAUUUAAAGUUUUAUCGCAUAGAGAUAUCAAGACAUGUAAUCUUUCAUGAAACUCAUUUUCCAUAUAAAUUGGAUAGUGGCUUGCCUAGGGACUCCAACACUUUAUCUCUCCCUAUUUCUAACGCAUAUAAUUCUGCUCUUGAUUUUUUUCUGAUACUGCACCUCCUUCCGAGCCGUGUGCCUCUACUCCUGCACCUUCUGUCGAGCUGUGUGCCUCUACUCUUGCACCUUCUGCCGAGCCGUGUGCCUCUACUCCUGCACCUUCUGCCGAGCCGUGUGCCUUAUUAUCCUCUGAUCUUCCGGAAAAUAAUGUCUCUGCUCCUGCAUCCAACACUGCACCUCCACCAACAUCAUCACCUCCUGCACCUCCAGGAAGCACCUCACCCCAAUUUCCAAGAAGAUCAACUCGUCCUCACCGACAACCUGCCUAUCUUGCCGAUUUCCACACAGCAACCAACACUAUAAGUAGUAGAUAUCCUAUUCAUAAUUACUCUUCUAAUUUUAGAAAUAUUAUUUCCUCUAUCAAUUCUCAUCCUGAACCUCGCACCUAUACUGAAGCCUCCAAACAUGCUUCUUGGCAAUCUGCCAUGCAAGCUGAGCUUCAAGCUCUUGCUGCCAACAAUACUUGGCAACUUACCCCUCUCCCUCCAGGAAAGAAAACUAUUGGUUGUAAAUGGGUAUAUAAAAUUAAAUAUCAUUCUGAUGGCACUGUUGAGCGCCACAAAGCUAGAGUUGUUGCCAAAGGGUUCACCCAACUUGAAGGACUUGAUUUCUUAGACACUUUUGCACCUGUUGCUAAACUCACUACCGUCCGCCUUCUCCUUGUUGUUGCCACUACCAAAAAUUGGGUUUUAAAACAACUUGAUGUCAAUAAUGCCUUUCUUCACAGUGAUCUCUAUGAAGAGGUAUACAUGACCCCCCCACCUGGUCUCUCUCUUCCUUCUCCCCAGCACGUCUGCAAGCUUCAACGGUCUUUGUAUGGUCUUCGUCAAGCUGGUCGUCAAUGGUACGCAAAACUUUCUACUUUUCUUUUAUCAAAUAAUUACUCUAUCUCUGUUACUGACCACUCUCUUUUUCUUAAAUAUAAUAAUGAUAAACUCACUCUUUUUCUUAAAUAUAAUAAUGAUAAACUCACUGUUAUUCUUGUUUAUGUUGAUGACUUGGUCUUGACUGGUGAUGACACGGAGGAAAUCAAUACAAUUACUGCAUCCCUUCACCAUCACUUCAAGAUCAAAAAUUUAGGUAAUCUCACUUACUUUUUGGGACUGGAAAUUGCUCGCAACAGUACUGGUCUUCAUUUAAGUCAACGCAAGUAUACUCUUGAUCUCCUUCAAGAAACUGGCAUGCUUGACUCUGCACCUGUGGCCACUCCUAUGACUCACACCUCCCGUCUCUCUCCGACCAAGACUCACAAAUCUGCCCUUCAAAUAGCUUCCAAUCAAGUUUUUCAUGAACAAACCAAGCACAUCGAAAUUGAUUGUCACCUAGUUCGUGAAAAACUUAACUCUGGUCUCCUCAAAUUGCUACCCAUUACUUCUGCAAUGCAAGUUGCUGACAUAUUCACCAAGUCCCUUGCUUCCGCACAGUUCUCUACUCUCAAAUCCAAGCUGGGCCUGACAAAUAUCUACUCCCCAGCUUGAGGGGGUGUCAACAUAUUUAAUUUUCCAUUUUAAAUUAUUGGGCUUUGUUUGUUUGGCUCAACCUUCCUUUUCUGUUUCCGCUAGGUCUUAAUCUUUCUCUUAUAUAUACACCAUGUAUUUUACUCUAUAAUAUAUAAGUGAAUAAAAUAAAAGUUUAUUUUAUAUUUAGUUUUCUCUACAAUUAGGGUUUAUCAAAACCUUUUGUCUCCGUUACGACUACGUUCGUUACAUUAAAGCAUCACAUCAGGGCAAGGAAUAUUCAUCUUCAUUUACUGUAAUAAUAACCAAAAUAAAUUAAUACAAUAAAUUAUUAAGUAAAGAUAAAAUGGAAAAAAAAAUAAGAGCAGUUAAGAGGAGAAUAAGAAAUGACACAAUGACCAUAAUACAAUAAUAAAAUUAAAUAUUAAUAUAAGGAUAAAAUAGAAAAAAAAAUUAAGAGUAGUUAAGAGAGGAAUCCCCUUUAUAUAUAGGUAUAAAUAUUACAAAUAAGUAAGAUAACCGUUAUAUCACUGUCAAUAUAAAAAUAAUUAAAACUUAUGGAAUUGAAAGAUAUAAACAUUUUUUAAUACCAUUAAAACAGAAUUUUUUAAUAGAGAUUCAAUUUGAAAAUACCUAAAUUAAUGAGGAGUUUAAAACUUAAUUAAAUCUAGAUUUUAAUUUCACAAGUAUUUUUUUAUAAAUUUAAAAUAUAUACACGUAAGUUUAAUUUUCAUUUAUUUUAUAAAUAAUUAUUUUCUUUUUAUCAUUAAUUUAAUUAAUAUAAAUGUGUGGAUACAUUUAACGUACCAUUAUAAACUCUUCAAUAUAAAAAACAAAGUUGUUGUGACAAAGAAUUUAGAGUAUCUAUUUUCUUGAAAAAAUCAUUUAAUGUAAAAUAUUUGGAUUAAAGCUUACUAAAUAUUACUCUUUUGGUCAUGGAAAAGUUAUGCAAUCCAACACAUGUAAAAUAGAAAAGACAAGUAUUGUCUACACAAAAAUUGUAGAAUGUCACCAUGCAUAUUCAGGUAGAAUAAGUUCAUGAUUCCGCAUUUGCAAACAUUGAAACAAAAUAAUAAAUUUAGUAACCCAUUUGUUCUAACUUUAUAGAUGUAAAAUAUUUAAUAGAGAAAAACAAGUGAAAAAUAUUAUAGAUGUUUUUCUACGUAAAAUGACAAACAAGGUGAAUAUAAAACAAAAUUUUAUUAUAUAUACAUCACUAAAUAGUAUGCUUCACUAAAGGAUCAAUUGCAUGUAUACUUAUACUUUACAUGAAAUAAUUAGGAGAACAUGUUCAAUUCAUUCGAUGUCGAGUUUGUUGUUUCAACAUCUGUACUCAUUUCAUCUAGAAAUAAAGUAGGUUUUGGAGGUAUUUCCAAGUCUUCAAUGUCUCCUUCAAGCAUUUCCACUACUCUAUUCAUUGAGGGUCGAUUGCUUGGUUUCAACUGUAUGCACCAAAGAGACACUAUGAUCAUUUUCUUUGCUAUUAUCUUUUCCUCUUCAGUCAAAUCUUCCAUAUCUAUAUCUUCCUCUUCUUCGAUAUGAUCAUAGAUCCAAAUUGGAAAGUAAAGUUGACUUGAGUGGUCUACAUGGGGAUUUAGAUUCUUCCUCCUGCUCGCCAUCUCCAUCAAAAGCAUUCCAAAGCUAUAAACAUCAGCUUUAUGGGAUAUUCCUCCAAUAUUUUUGUAAAAUAGUUCUGGAGCCAUAUAUCCAAUGGUUCCUCUUGCUCCAGUCAUUGUGACAAUACUAUUAUCUAUUGGAUUUAACUUUGCCAAUCCAAAGUCCGAAAUCAUAGGGAUGAAGUUUUCAUCUAGCAAGAUGUUAUGAGGUUUGAUGUCAAAAUGCAAAAUCUGCAUCUCACACCCAUGGUGGAGAUAAGCAAUCCCACGAGCCACUCCAAUUGAUAUAUUAUAUAUCUUUUCAUAGCUUAAAUGUAUAUUUCUCUCUUUUGAGAAAAUAAAUUUAUCAAGAGAUCCAUUGGACAUAAAUUCAUAAACAAGAGCACGCUUUGAGCCACUAACACAAAAUCCAAUUAACCGUACCACAUUUUGAUGAUGUAUUCUUCCAAUGGUUGCAACUUCAUUGAUAAAAUCUUGUCCAUUUCCUUUGGAUUUGCCUAACAUUUUGAUGGCCACAAAAGGUCCACUAAGUAACUUUGCCUUAAAGACAGAGCCAAAUCCUCCUUCACCUAACUUCUCUUUGAAACCUGCCGCCAUCUUCUUAAUUUCCUUGUAUGAGUAUCUAAUAGGUGCCAAGCUAUUUUGUUCAAGAUAAUUUUCAAUAUUUUCAUACAGUGACAUAUGUCUUUUUCUCCAUUUAUAUAUAAAAAUAACAAUUAUGAAUGGC
rnacentral:lncRNA from 1 species